rnacentral:lncRNA from 1 species
UUGUUAAAGCUUCCUUUUAUCUGGAAGAAAAAAAAGGGAUAAGUUUUUUUUUCUCCUGGAUACGCAGCACCAGUAGUUGCUUAAAGUUGGACCGAUCUAUUUUUUGCUUCUAAGGUUGCAGUAUGAGAUUAUAUUCAAAGUUCUGCUACUUGAUACUGAAACUUGGGGCUAUAAUCCCUCAUGAUGUCUCAUAUUAUAGAUCUAUUCAUGCUUUUUAUGUUGUUGGUGUGAAUCUCAUGGUAACGCCGAUAACAAGCGUUAUUGAAUUUGCUAUCUUGCAUGGGCAAGAAUGUAUAAUAAUCCCUUAUGCUUCUUUUCCAUGGUACAUUGAACUUAUUGCAUACAGCAAAAUCCUCUAUUAGAUUAUUUCAUGCACCAAUGAUGGGAAUCUACCAGCAUCACUAGCAUUGUAUGUGCACCUAUUAUUCGGGAGAACAUCGAUUGUAAAUUUAUUGAGAGCUUCUGUUUAUGGUCGAAAUUCUUUGGAUGUAAUGUGAAAAAUAAAAAGGUUUGCUUUAGUCUUGAGAGUCAUCAAACCAAAACUAAGCAUUAGGGUUAAAAUAAAGUAGUUAAAAUUCAUAGAUACAGAGUGAGAGAAAAAAAGGAAAAGUAUGUUAAAAUGGUGAUAUAUUUAGAAGGAAUGCUUGACUUGAUGUAGAAUAUUUUAGCUACUAUGGGUAGGUCUAAAGAGGUCUCAAAACGAGAUUUAUCAAAUUAGAAGCCAAAUUGCAUACUUAAACUUCUGCUGGCCGUAACUUUUUCUUGCAAUAUUUGAUGAAAAUGUUUUUUUUUCUCUUAAAAUUGAAUAACCUUUUGAGAUCUACGACACCGCAUUUAUCCUUAUAAGGUUCAACUCGUAAAGGAAUUGAGGAUGAUUUUUCUCUUUAGGCUUAGAUGGCCCAACUAAAGUAAAAGAAAAGAAAAGGUUUUGACCAGAAAUACCUUACAAUUCGAGAAAAUUAGAUGAAGCAGCAAAAAAAAACUAAUGCAGAAGUAGAAAUCUGGCUCCUAUAAGUUAUAUACUAAGUCAAGAUCUAGCUUAAAGAGAUUUUAUUUUUUAUUAUUAUUUUCAAUAUCGAUGACUAUUUUCAGAAAAUUAUAAUAUCCUCAAACAUGAAAAGGAAUCCGACCUGGAUUAUAUAGAAAUAGAUUUUAUGUGGCAUUGUGAUCAAUUUUAUCAUGAAAUUAAUGAAAGAAAAGGGAAUCUAGCACCUUACUUCUGAAAAUCAUUUUUUUUUCUUUUGAGAAAUCCAAGUUUAGAAAAUUAAAAAAAAUCUUUUCUUCUCUUUAAUCGGAUUACAUGUUUUACUUAUAUUUGGUUUUACGGGCAUUAAAAGCUUAGCUAUUCUUGCUGCAACAAGCAUCUAUGACUAAAAUAUGAUUUACUACGUGACAUCAAGGGCGGUUUCGUAAAAUAGAAUAGGGAGCAAGAAUAAUUAGCUAUACCAUUUACUUGUGCAAACAGCAUUGUGUCUUUUAUUAAACAAGCAAUCCAGAUAUCUCAAAGCUAUAAAAUAAGAACCAUGAAGUAUUUACCAAAGGAUCUAUGAAUUGUUUUUCGCUCCACAUAUUCCAGGUGAACACCUUUCUAGGAUAAGCCUUAGUUAAUAUAAUUUUUCAUUCACAUAUUUAAUAACUUGAAGCACAUGACAAGUAAUUAUUGGGAAGUAGAUGAUGCCCUAUACUUCUGUUUAGUUAUUCUUCCUCCACAUGUUGGUCAACACUAAGCCGGAAAAAUGUAUUACAUUAGUAACUAAUUGUUAUGUAAUAAUUUAUAGCAAGCUUUAAAAGAGCUCCUUGUAUGAUGAUUACCAUUGUUUUGUUGGUUUAAGUACAUCAUUUAUUUUACUUGUGCUACAUACAUAUGCGCGUGAAGUGAAAGUGGAAGUUAGUGAUCAUGUGGCAAAAACAUAGAUAAUUUGGGAUCAUGUGAAAAGAAAUACUAAAAUAUGAUCAUGUUUUAUAAUUGUAUAAGAGUGCAAGCUCUCUACAAUAUUAUUUGCAAGUAAUUUCUAUAAUGCGACAAAAUUGGAUGCUAGUAAUAAGAAUUUUGAGAUUCUGAAAAAUUAUAUCAUAUCAUGGACUUGUUUGGUUUGCGGAAAAAGAAGCAAAAAAAGUAAGGUCAACUUUGGUUGGAGUUUGUAAAGAAGAAAAAUGGAAAAGAAGCAUUUUCAGUAAAAUAAGAUUUCUAUUUUAUAAAAAAAAUUAUGAAGGACAUGGACAAAUUACUAAAAAUAUGAAUUUUUUUAGCCAUCAAAAUCUAUGGAUAGAGUUUUUCACGCUUUCUGGUAUAAUGGACAUUUCAUACCACUAUUUAAAAAAAAAAUGUUCAACCAAAUGUAAGCCAUUAUAAAGUAUAUCUUUUUUUAUAAAUUAACUAAAUAUGCUAAAAUAAUUUUUGUAAGCAUCAUAUUUUCAUGAAUUAGUUUUUUUUAAAAAUAUUUCAGGGAUGAAAAAUUUUAAUGUGUCUCAACUGAUAUUUAAGAUAUUGUAAGUAACGGUAUCGGAGGAGAUGCAAGGGAGAUAUCGGCUUCGUCCAAACGAUAUAUCCUUAUGUGUCGGUUAUAUCGUAAGUCGUAACUCGUAAGGCAACUAGAUAUCGGCAUCACGUUAUUUCCAUCGAGCGGAUACCGUUAUUGCAGCGAUAAUUAUAUGUCGGUCACGGGCCGGCUAUAAAAGGCGAAGUUAAAACUCCAAUGAUGCGAUUCGCCAUGGAGCUCCUCUCGCUCCCCUUCUUGCUCCUUCUGGCUCUUUCUUUUUUCUCCCGUCCGACGGUCACCAUCGCGAGAGGAGGCGGUGAGUGCUCUCUAUCUAACUAGGAUUCUCGAAUUCCUUUUUUGCCAGAUUUCUUUAUUCCCCGGAUUUCUUUCCUAAGUUUUCUUGUUUUCGAUCCAUUGAUCGCUUUCUUUUUUUUCUUCUUUAAAUUCUAUGAAUUGGAUUCAGUUGUUUUGGUGGUGGGAUCUGACGCGAAUCUUUAGCGGGUCGAACGGAUCCAAGAAAACCCAUUGUUUAGGGUUUAUGCGCGUUCUUGAUUGUGGGCUUUUAUUCCCUAAGAUUUAUACGUUAAUUUUGUCAGUUUUGAUUCCAACUAGAAACUUGGGAUGUUGCUCAAAUUUCGAUUUCUUUCCUAACAGUUUUUGUCUUUGUUAAAACUCACUCAAAACGUCAUUCAAAUGUCAACAAGAAUUGGAUUUAGUAUCUGGCUUUUAGGAUCUUUAACGAAUCUCAAGCGGACGAACGGAUUCAAGAAAAUCCGCUGAUCAGGGUUUUUGUGCUCUAUUCUUGGAAUCGUGAUCGUGGUUAACAAUCUGAGAUCACGCAUCUUUCACUCAUGAAAGAGUGUUGGUUUAGGUAAUCUUGGUAAGAAAUAAAGAAAGAGCAUUGGUUUAUUGAUCAGUGCUAGAUUUGGUACGCUACAUCUUGAUUCCUUUCCUGAUUGAUCGCCUCUAUCCUGUGUUCUUUAAUCCUAUAAGCCGUUGUAAUUCAAAAUUAGUUACCAUAAUAGUCACAGCAGAAGUACAUACGUUCAGCUGAGCGGUAAAAAAAAAUUCAAGAAGUUCCUAUAAGAGAUAGAAGCCAGUGGGAUUGAGCUGUUCCGGCACUUUGCUGGGUAGUUUGGUCGGAAUGUAAAGCUCGGUUCUUUUUUCAAGAAGUUCCUAUUAGAGAUGGAAGCUAGUGGUAUUGUGCUGUUACGGCACUUUGCUGGGUAGAUUGGUCAGAAUGUAAUGCUCGGUUCUUUUGUCAAGGGAGGCAGCUUAUUAUGGAGUUAUGUAUGAAGACUCGUGCCUUAUGGAUGAAUGGGUCGAGAAUUUGGCAAAAACGAGUUAAGUUCACCCCAUACAAGGCAGGGAUUGGUCUUCCCGCUUUGAUGUGGUGACUGACGGGAGCCAGACUCUCUUGGCUCCACAGGGUGAUCGAGUGACUGAGGUUGGUUUUCUAGGGUGCUGUCUUGGGUGUUGUCAUCCAUCUUUUUCUUUCCUCUUGUGGAUUUCCUUAUUCCUAUACUCCAUUUCACGUUCUAAUGAAAACUGUUCUUCUCAAAUAAAAAAAGGACGACGAUAUGAUUUCGUAUGUUCAACGUAUUAUUGCCCAUGACUCCAUUUUCUGAUGAUUGUUAACAUCGACCAACAAGCGCUGGUUUGUGAUUGAAGCAACCUUAAACUGAUUGUUAAUUCUUUGCAGAAGAGUUAUGUUGUGUGAUCAAUAUGUGCUCUGAAAGAGGCGCAUCUUUCUUCGUAAACUUGGAAAACAUUAUCUAACUUUCAUUUUUGGGCACCCAUUGUAUAUUUGUCAGGUCAUAUGGACUGUACUCAUGGAGUAUUUGCCCGGCAUCUGUUUGAAGAGAGCCAGCCUCGGAUAUCGUAUGUUUUGGAUAAGAAUUUCUUUGAUUAUUCUCCUGUUAUCCUUUUUCUUUUUUACUGAUUUCCUUUAUCAGACCACAUCUAAAGGUUGAUGCCUGUUUGUAUUACAGGGAAGCCAUGACUCAUGAGUAUAUGAGUAACUCUGAACUUGAGAAGGCCAUGAAGGAAUUUACUCAAAGAUGUGCUAAUAUUUCCAGGAUAUACAGGUAUGUUUCAUUUGAACUUUGAUGCUGAUGUUGCCAGUUUUUUCUUAAUGGGAGUCACAGGUAACUGAUAAAUCUUGAAUGGGAACCAAAUGUGAACGCUACAAUGUUUUACAAUGCCCCAUAAACAUUGGGGACAUUAAUGGAACUCUGCUAUUCAGAAAUACAUCCAUAAUUAUCAACUGUUUGUGCUAGAGUGCCAAAAUAGGAGAUGCCUACUGCAUAUUAACUUUUUUUAAUCCUCCACUGGUCUGCCAGCUUUUACCUAACUAUGCUGAUCUCUUUUUCUUCUCUCUUUGAGGGAUUGUUGGAAUCUGCUACCAGCAUUGGAAAGAGUGUGAAAGGGAUACCAUUGGUAAUCUUGUUGAAAACAAAAGAGUUACUUUGUCUUUCUUUAUCUGAAUGUGUAAAGCGUGUAAUUUUGGUGAAAAUAGUAAUUUCUCUUGCUUAUUGCAUGUAGUGGGUAGUGGAAAUUUCUGACAAGCCUGGGCAGGAAGAAGCUGAACCUGCAUUUAAGGUUAGUGAUCUUUAAUCAACCUUUCUCUUAUCUAUUUAAUUAUUAGUUUUUUCUCUUUUUUUUUUAAAUUUCAGAUAUUCAUGCAAGAAUAUCUUUUAUAUGUAUAUGUGUGUGCAUAUAUGUGUGUAUUUCAAUUUUGAUGUAUAUUCUGUUAAAGACCAGUUGCCAUCUUUACAGAGUGAAGGAGAUCUUGGUAAACAUGUGAAUUACCAGUACUUGCCGGUGGAAUUGUUUUUUCCCUUCUUCCUCUUUCAAUUGUUUGGGUUAAAUCUGUCAAAAAUUAUGUAUGUGCAUUCACAUAUUCUAAUUGAUAGCUUGGAAAAGAAUAUGGCAUGGAUUGGUGGUUCAAUUUCAGAUGCCACCUUUUGGUUUUUAUACCUGACCUCAAUCACUUAUAUGUUAAUGCAGUUUCUUCACAUAUCCUCUUUCAUGUGAUUUUUACUUUGGAAACUUCAUUUUUUAUAUCUUUAAAAUCUAUUGGGAUAACUGUAUUUUGGGAAUAUUUCCACUUGCUAUUAGACUCUUAUCUAUCCUAGAUGCUGGUCAUGUCACCAAAAUUUUGAUCAUCUUGAUCUUUGUAUUGCUUUUCCCUGAAUAUUAUAUUAAGGGAAAGGUGAACAAGUUUGGCCCAAAUCGCUGUGUAUUACAUUCCAUCACUCAUAUGAAAAAAUAUCCACAGGACACCUUAUUUCUGCUUGAAAAGUUGAGGUGUCAGUUGAAAAAUUAUGCCAAUUAGAAGUUAGUAAACUUUAAGUAUAAUUGAUCGAGAUUUGGUUAGGAUUUAUCAAUAUCCUGGAUUUUUGUAGUAUGGGUCAGCUUUUCAAUCCUAAGCCUGACCAAAGAGUUUGAAUUGUGUAGCCCGAGUUUUGGUCCCGAGGACCAAGCAAAUGGUUUUCGGGAUGAACCUAUUGAUAAUCUUAACCUUCUCAUCUUUUCCUAUUAGUGGUCUACUGGAGGUAUAUGAAGUUGCACUGGAGUCAUCUGCUGUAGUUUGUGCCUAAGGGUAAUUUGCGCUGUUUCUCAUAUUUGGUUCAGGCAACUUCAUGGAAGUUAAGCAUCAAGACUUCGACACCAGUUGUUCUUCUUUUGUUACUAUAGAUUGCAAUGUUGUUUGGUUCAUGUAAGGAUUCUUUGUCAUGCCUUUUUGCACCAAUAAUAUGUCUAAGAUCUUGUUUUUGCUAACUUUGAUGAAUGUUGAUUUAUUUGUCAUAUUUAGGGGCUCCCCCACCCCCCAUGCCCUGCCUAAUUUAUUAACUAAGAGAAAGACAUUGCAUGUAACACAAAACACCACCAUCACAAUUUUGCUGAAGAGAUUGCUCAACAGUAAACUCUGAAUAUGAUGGUUCAUUCUUCAGGUGAUUCUGGAGAUUGCAUUGCUAUAUAUGUAUCUAUCUACAUCGUCAUUAUGUUGUAGGUUUCUAUCUGUUGACUCUGAGGGGAGUUAGUCCAUCAAAAUUAUUGAAUCAGAUAUGUGCUUAAUCGCCACCCCUUUGCAGAAUAGCUAUUUUCAAUGUGUUGUUAAUAUCCCAAUUAUGGAAUAAAUAAUCCUUUUUUUUACUUGUGUGCUGGCUCUAUUUAGUAAUUUUGUUGAUCUUAGUUUGAGAGACAGUUCUGCACAUAAGUCUGCUGUCAACAAAUUAUGUUAUCCCACAACCUUUUAAAUCAUAUUGAGACUAAUUUUUUCUAUGCUUUCUAUAUUCUGAUAUAUAUCUUCUUUUGUCAUGUUUAGUUUGACCAUAUAUGAAUAAUGGAUAUGACAUAAUUCUAUAGUGUGGAGAGAUGAGCAAAUGAAGUAACAUAUUUGUUUGAAUUUGAACCUGGGACUGCUUUGAGACUGCCAAUAUCAUAUUCUGACUGCAUUUCUGUGGAUUCUGUGCAUUUCUUAUGAGUCAUCCCCAUGGAUUAUGCUCUUUUGUACUCUGAUGUCUAAAAUGCACUGAAGAUUACCAAAUGGAUAUCGUAGUUCAUUGGAAACGUGCACGGUGAUGAACCUGUUGGGAGAGAGCUACUUAUAUCUCUUGCAAAUUGGCUGUGUGACAACUAUAGGAAGGAUCCAUUGGUAACUCUUUUCUCUCCCUUCUUUCUCUAGAAAUCCCCCUUGCUCUCACAAGGUUUCUUCUUUUUUUUUUCUUUUUUUUUCAGCACAUAAGUAUAAAUUUUAAUAUUUUUGACUAGUCUUGAUUAUAUAAUUGCUUUUUAAGGGAUAUUGCCAUGGAUAUAUGAAAAAAAUUGGCUCUCUAGAGCCUACCCUGAUAGAAGGGAGAAGGGUUGUGCAUUAUCACUGUUGAAGUUUUUGGUAUAUCGAUAUGCCUAAUAAGCUUCAGCCAAUGUGGUUCGUGGAAUCUAGCAUCUUGUUCUUCAGUAAGAUUGUUUAGUUUUCCUGGUUCUUGUUGUGUUCUUAGUCAGGGACAGCUAUCGACGUGCUGGCAUUGUGUUUAUAUGAAAACUAAUGGAUAGAUGGAACAUAUGUAUGCAGCAGCCAUGCAGCCAUGCCUGCCAACGUGCACACCUAGACACCGAAAUCGUGGUCAAUGAUUGAUUAACAAUCACCAUACUCACAUGCGGCACAUAGUUAUGCUGCAAUGGAUGGUUGAUUUGAUGGUAAUUGCCCAUCAAUAAAAAGAAAAGUUAUCGAAGUUAAAAUUGAGCUUUGAAUUUAAUUUGUAGUAAGAAUAUAUCUUCAAAACUAGCAAGUAACUGUGAGAGAAAAGGUGGAAAAAGAAGCUAAUGUGCACUCCCUCAUUUUAUAUAAUGAAUCACUGUCAGUGAUCAGUUUAACAAUCAUAGUGCUUACACCUGGAAACCUGAUAACCAUCACCAUCAAGCCCUGUCCAAACUAUUUGAGUUGGGUUCAAAGUAGCAUAGAUAGCAACCGUCAAUGUUAAGCCACAAUAUUCAAACAGUAUCAUAGGUAGGGAGUCCUUACAUACCUUCUAAGAUAAUUGAUGUUUAUCUUUUUUCGUAACUCACCAUUAAGCCUUGUCCAAACUAUCUGAGCUGGCUUAAAAAAGCAUACAUAGCAGCCACCAAUUUCAAGCCACAACAUUUAAAGUGUUAUAGGGAGUCCUUACACUCUUUUGAGAUAAUUUAUUUUAUCUUAUUAACUAGCAGACUGUAGACGGAAGUGCAUGGAAAAGAAACUAAUUCAUAUAUCUCCAGCUUAUAUUGAGCUUUUUGGAUCUGCAAAUGGCAAAGUAUUCUUAAAAAAAAUUAUAUGCAGGAAGAAAGCUAAGAGUUAUGUACAAUAUAAAAAAGAUGAAACAUUGUUAGAACAUUUUGACCGGCUCUCCUAGUUCUAUCACACAAAGAUACAUACAUACAUACGUACAUAUGUAUGUAGGUAUGUGGGUACGUGCGUACGUACGUACCUAGGUACAUAGGUACGUAUGUACAUACCUACACACACACACACACACACAUAUAUAUAUAUAUAUAUUAAUUUAGUCAUAUUAUGUUCCAUAGAAGUUAUGGUCAUUGGACUAUUUGUCUAUACCCAAUUUCAAGACUUGUAUAUAAUGUAGAAUGAACUGAUAAUUUAAUGGAGAAAGAGGAGUCAAAUGGAUACCUCAUUUAAUUAGUGUUACCACUAAUUUCUUUUCUGCAUUAUCUUUGGUGAAAAGAGGAACUAGAACUGUUUUUGGAUGAAAAACAAACAGGAUCAGAGGUAUCACAGAUCUCAUCAUGGAUCUUAUAUGUUCCUGGUUUCUAUUAUGUGAUAACUUGUGCGAUCUCCAACUAUUUUGCACAAUACGAAUGGAAGACACUUCAGAACCUUUGAAUAUUUGAAUCCAAUACUUUCGUGGUGACAGAGAGUUGAGCGGAUCCUGUCUUGGCUAUCUGCUACCCCAAUUUCAGGGACUUUACAAGUGCAGAUAUUCAAUGGCAUUUGCGAACUCCAAUAUGUGAAUAUUCACUUAAUGUAUUUUUCACUACCUUGUUUAUCCACUUGAUGCAGCUCCUCUCUUUUUCUUCUUUCUGUUGAAAUUUUUCCUUUUCCAAUGGUAGAUAGCUGGUCAUUCUAAUUGUAUAAAUGAAUGCUCAGAAAUUUUUUGUCCACAUGUGCUAGAAUUUAUUACAUACAAUCUGCAGGAUUAUGCUGAUUAGUUAGAAAAUUUUAGUUUAUACAACAGAAAUUCAUGGAGUCUCUGCUGUACUUUUCAUCUUAUUCUUAUAAGAAGGCUAGUAUCUUAUCAUGCAACAUUUUUUAAAAACUUCGUUUAGUGACCUCUAUAUUCUGAAUUAAUGUUCUGUGUUUAUAGGCAACAUUGAUUGUAAACAAUGUUCACCUACAUGUUCUUCCUACUAUGAAUCCUGAUGGAUUUGCUCUUAGGAGACGUGGGAAUGCAAAUAAUGUGGACCUAAAUCGGGAUUUUCCUGAUCAAGUGAGCACUUUCAUAUUCACAAUAUGUCAAUAUUAAUGAUUUUAUAACAUCUUCUAUGGUUAUUUCUUGCUCCAGUCUGCUGCUAGAUUACUUUAUUUACUUCCUGCAGUUUACGAUUGCUAACCUUUAUUUAUAAUAUUACUGAAUGAAUUUGAAUAGUUUUAUCCUAUGAAUGACAUUGUAAGCCUGCGACAACCUGAAACGAGAGCAAUUAUGAACUGGAUAAAAGAGCGACACUUCACGGCCUCUGCAAGUUUACAUGGGGUAAGAUUUUCUUUUUUGUUCUUUGUUUUUUUUUUUUUUGGUUGAACAUUGCUUAUUGUUCUUGGCUCUUGCCCUAAUAGAAGAAAUCUGAUGAUUAUGGGGAACCUUUUUCCCUCCAUUAAAUCCAUAUUAUUGCUGAUACCUUAUGGAAUUGUAAAUGCUAAUCUGUAUCCAUUAUUUUACAAAGUCUGGUAUUCGUCACAAGCUUGGAAGGAAAAUGGCAUGGAUGAUAAUUAUAUGAUUCUGUAACCUGUCUUACCACCGAACGAAGAACAGGAGCACCAUGGGCAGUGGUAAUAGUGAUGGCUAGAGGACCAGCGACAGUCAACUGUUGGCCCUAAUUUGAUUGUUUUCUAGUUCUGGAGAAUGUUUUGAUGUAAACAUCCAAUAAACAAAAAGUCUUUCUAAAUUUAAAAUUUGUAAAGCUGGUACCCAAGUGCACUUGUUGCAAAUUAUCCUUGGGAUGGCUCUCAAGAUACAAGAAAACAGUAUGUUGCAUGCCCUGAUGACAAGACAUUUCGCUCCAUGGCAAGUUUGUAUAGUCGUUCACAUUACAACAUGUCUUUGAGCAAAGAAUUUGAGGGGGGGAUUACUAAUGGGGCUCUUUGGUAUCCUAUCUAUGGCGGCAUGCAAGAUUGGAACUACAUACAUGGGGGCUGUUUCGAAUUAACCUUGGAAAUUAGUGAUGACAAAUGGCCUAAAGCAAAUGNNNNNNNNNNNNNNNNNNNNNNNNNNNNNNNNNNNNNNNNNNNNNNNNNNNNNNNNNNNNNNNNNNNNNNNNNNNNNNNNNNNNNNNNNNNNNAUCGUGGUUGCUUAAGGAUGCAAUAGUUGUAUUUCACUAUCAAACGUUAUGUAUAUCAAUUGCAUGCUAUCAAUUUGCAUCCCCAAAUAUUUUGAAGUUUGGUUUCUAACCUUGAUUUAAAUUGAUCAAUGAAACCAUGGAAGCGGUGAGAGGCAAUCAAGUUUAUUAAACUGCCUUUGCAGUCGCAGUCAGUAAACCUUCUGAAGGCUUAGAUGGAACUUUUAGGAAACCAAGCUGGCACAUAAAGUUAAAAGUUGCCUAUUAAUUCAUCAGACUUAAUUAAAUAUUGUAAUGUGACAUACGAUAUAUAAAUCUUAAAGGCAUAGCUUUGAGAUGAGGGUGAGGUGGAAAAGAGAUGGAGUAUUUGAUGUAAUUCUUUGGUCUCAUUAUUUAAUUCAUUCAGUGUUGAUAAGUAGAUAAUAUUUUAAAUUUGUUAGUUUUGCUUCUCUCCCUAAAACAUUGUUUGGAAAAGUCAAGAGGGUGAUUACCCGUCUGCCCAUAAGUAGUGGCAGAGCACCGGGCAACCUUUAGGGUCAAAUUGAACAUGGCAAAUCCAUGAAAGGUGUGUAUGUGGUGGUUGAGCUGGAAAGCAAGCAAUGGUUUCAUUGUAGAUCAUAAUUCAAAGUAGCAUCUGGAAGAGAACUAGAGAGGGACCAGGAGCAUGGAUGUGGGAAUAGGCACACUUAACAACCCCCGCUUCUCUUGGGAAUUGUUUCUUCUGUUGGAUGCACAGGAAAGAAUCCCAUGUGGGCUUUGAGUGAUGAAGGUCAUAGUAUUUGUCUGAAUUUUAUCAUGUUUAUGUACCACUGUGCCUUCAUGACGUAACUCAUCUUCUGUGGAAAAAGGCUGAAUGGUAAAAGGGCCAUGAGUCUUGGAUUUCCUUUCUUGGAGAUUUAAGCAGUAAUGAUAUUUGAUGAAUAAACAUCACCUAACCUUGCCUGUUAAUACUUUUUUUUUGAUGUAAUUAUCAUAUUUCAUUUAUCUUUUUUGGAUGACAUGGUGAUUAUGAGCACUUCUUUGAGUGAAGCAAAAGAUUUCUCCCCUGGUGUACAUUAAAACUUUAUAUAUUUUCUUUGAUUUAUGGAAACUUCCUUUGUGCUUACAUGGCAUAUCGUUCCCCCUAAAAUAAUGAGAGUCCAUUUGGAAACUUUUGUGAUGAGUUCUCUAUAACAUAUAUUAUUGGUUUUCCCAAUAAGUUUCUUUCAAACUGACCAGUUAAUAUCCCUUUUUCUCUCUCACUACCUGCUUGUGAUGUAAAUCUAGCAGUUCUGGUUAUUUUUCGAUCAAUAUAUAGCCACAGAACUAAUGUAAGGACUUAUGAAUGAAAAUCAUUUCCAAAUUACUUUUUUUAUAUGAAUAUUGAACUUAUUUGAUUUCAUUUGAGUCUUGAAAAUCAAGUUUUCGCUUGGUUAAAAUGACAAAGGUGUUUCCUGAUAGGGGGUAGGAAUUAUUUUGGUGGUUGUGUAAUCAUAAGAAAGGUGUAACAAAUAAAGUCAUAUGAUUUGUUGUGUUUUUCUUACCUGAAUGACAUAUCACCCUGGAAAGUAUUGAACUCUUGCUGUGUAAUAUGUAAAACAUUCAUAAAAUUCUUUCACUUACUUUAUAAAGUAAAUUGGUUUUGGUUAUGGUUAAUCAUGGUGAGUGUUUGAAGCCAGCUGAUCUAGUUAUACCUCAUCUUUGCUUAUGGAAUAGCACAGCCAAUAUCUGCUUCAUUAAGCAGGUAUUGGCAGGUGCUUUCUAUCGUGUGAAAUUGUUAUAUUAAACUAGUUUUUACAGGGUGCACUUGUUGCAAAUUAUCCUUGGGAUGGCUCUCAAGAUACAAGGUAAUAUAUUUUAUGAGCAUUCUGUAUCUAUUACUUGAUUUAUACUGCCACUGUAAUAUAGGUUGCUUUCUAAGUUUGAUGUUGGACUUUGUUAGCAACAAGAGCAUAUGAAUUUUUUUUCUAGACGUAUAAAAUAUAAAUGAACGUACAUCUGAUACUGCUCUAUGGUUAUUAUCUCCUUGCCGCACCCUUAUGGGCUUCUUCAACUAAUCCAGUUGUUUGACAUGAUUUAUAUUUAUGUUAGUUUGGUGAGAUCCUGUGGUAUAGUAAAUUUCAUAGUUCAUUUUUUUAGCAGAAUGUAAGCAUCCUGCAAUUCUCAGAUGGAUGUUUUUGUCAUUUUUUUCUACCAGUUUUAUUUUGCAAUUGGUAUUUGUAUGAUAUUCAGUUUUUCCUUUCUUCUUCUUCCCUAACGUUUUCCUUUUGAAUCUCUCUUCCACUACGCACUGAGCGACUUAGGCUAGGAAUAAGAAUAGUCUGAUGGAGGGAUGCCACAAGGUUGAUGGUGGCCACAAAAUGUCGUUUACUCUCUUUUGAAAGUUUUCUGCCACCACUUGAAGUCUACAAGCAACUCUUGUUUUGUUAUAAAUUUCUGUUAUGUUGUUGGCAUUAUAUUUUAUGCUAUAACUCUGUAGAUUAUCACAGCUGCGCAUCCUAGUCUGCUCACUUUCAUUUGCACCUUUUUGUUUCUAUUUGGCCACAAAUUGACUUGAAGAAAGCAGUCAUGUCACACAAUUUCUUCCUUGUGUGCCUAUAUGGCAUGCUAGUGCUGUCAAUUUGUUAUUCACUUUGUGAAUCAAUUUUAGCUUGGACAUGCAACUUAUUCUUAGGCUUUCAGUUUCAGUUCUACUAGCAUAUGACCCAUGUAUGUGUGGGGUACAUUUUUCUCUUUUAUUCUUAGUAUGUUUGUCUCAUACAGAUGUGACCAUAACAAUUUAUUUUCUAACUUAGUUGGAUAUAAAUCAUUUCGAUUCAAAUACUCUUUUUCAAACAAAGUGCAUACCGUGGAAGUCGGUUGUUUAAGCUAACAAGUGUCCGAUGUCAUCAGACUUAUAGAUCAAAAGGCAACAUGACAUAGAAAACUAUUCAAUUCAUAUGAUAUAAAACUAUUAGAAACUUUAUUUGAAUAACAAAAUAACCCAUAAUUAGAACCAAGUAAUCCUAAUUGGAACACAGUCGAACUGGACAGGGGCUGUCCUAGCCAUCCAGUGAGAUCACGACACGUGGGAUGGGUGCAGGACAACCCCGAAACACACUUCCGUCUCCCUUCUUGGCCAUCCCGCCUUCAUCUUUGCCGGAUCACGUGCUGAAAUGGCCGACGUGCCCUUGUUUUUUUUGCGACGUUGCUUCGGCCUUCAGCUCGUUGUCGGGAAGUCAGCGUUGUUGCUGGGAGGAAGGAGGGAGGAAGCUCGGUUCAUGGGCUCAUCUUUCUUUUGUGUUUUUUCCAUGAUGAGCGGAGCAUGAGAUCAGAGCCUUGAAUCGCUCAGAAACCCCGCCUUUCGCGUUUUACAUGCUCGAACCACUUGGAAACCGCUCCUCCCAUGUUUUUCCCAUGAUGAGCAGAGCACAGACCUCUCGGGAGGGAGGAGGGAGGAGGGAGGAGUCAUGGGGUGCUUAGAAGUUAUGGGGCGCUUAGGAGCUACAAGGCAUGCCUUUAUUAGUAUUUUUUGCUUUUUUCCUUCUCGAUGCGCACACUGAGUAGAUGCGGUCCACGUGAAUUUGUGCGAAAGUCUCCUUCGCAUGAAUUUAUCCUUUGAUCACCAGCCACAUCGUUCUCAAAUUGUGCAAAACUCCAUCAUUUACUUAUCUGCAUAGAUCUCAAAGCGAAUAGCUGAUGAUUGAGUGGUGCAGAACUGCAGAUGUUGACCGAGAGCUAAGAAAUCGUCCUUUAGUUCACGUGUACUCACCUCUUUUUAUUUUUUUUAAAUUUUAUUAGUGAUUGAGAAAUCGUCCUAGACACGUACCAGGAUGCUUGAUCGGGACAACCACCGGGAUGGGGUGAGACAUGGGCGCCUUGUUCCAUGGGAAAACCGAGACACCCCUUUCCAUGGGAUUUAAAACCUUGGUUGAAUUGUCAUAAGACAAAUCCAAAAAAAAAUACAUUAUAUUUGAACAAAGCAUUCAGAAGGUAAAAUUUCCUGAUGCAAUUACAUAAAAAAUAUGUGAAGUCUUUUGUUUUCAUGAUCUGUUGUAAUGCAAGCAAUAUCCUUGUUCAUAAAUUGUUUAUUUUUUCCUUUUCCCCCUAUGUAGAUGCUAGUGUCUGAAGACAUCUUGAUGUAUCUUAUUUUAAAUCUUUUUUUUUUGCAAAAUAAAUUAUAUAGUUUUCUAUGCAAAUUCACUCCGCUAAAAGAAAAUAACCCCCCCUAAAAUAUAGUUUUUAUUAAUUGCAUAACUUUUCAGGAAAUAACACCUUUAUGUUCCGGUUCAUCUAACUAUAAUGAUUUUAGCCCCUCGCAAUGAAAUAAAACCAUUAUUGAAACUUUCAUGUCAAGGAGGAUUUUUGCUAUUAUCCACUUCUCGCUUGUAUUUCAAUCAAUAACUUCAAAUUUUACAUUGUGAUGAUGGUUACUUUCUUGAGAUCUUUUUGGUGGGGUUGGCCGCAAUAUUUUUGUGGGGCAGGAUGAAGGUAGAUUAACAGAGCUUUCUGAUAUAAUUUUCUAACUUGCUUUUGGUUUGGAGGAUUACAAUCUAAGAAGGCCUUGUGGAAUAGUACACAAACAGGCAUAGUUAUUGGCCGGUUGACGGGGCCCAAUGAAGCAAAAGAAGAAAGCAUGGUAGGAGUUGGCAACAAUAUAUCAUUACUAUGCCCCAUGAUCGGCAGUGCUAGAUGUUGACCAUCAUAUGGUUACUAUGAAAACGGGCUACUUUUUACAGGCCAGGCUACUCUAUUUGUGCUGAUUCAUCUUGUUGUUAUUGUCAUGCCUAAAGUCUUCUGUAUCUUAGGAAAACCAGGACAUUUAAUUUGCAAAUGUUUGAGAGUUUUGCAAAUUUAAAUGGAGUAUGUGUUUAGCAGUGUUAGAAAAGUAAUUUCCAUAUUGAUAAUUCGAUAAAAUAUUAUGAUCUAGCAGUUGCUGAUUUUAAGAGAACAUUUGAUAAGUAUGUCAAAUAAGUAAUAACGAUAUUGUAGCUAGAGCUAUAAAUGUAUGGUAUAAAUUUGCCUAGAUCUUUGUUGGGCUUGUUUGAAUUGUAUCAAGAUAUUGAAAUUGAAACAUAAAUUAAAAUAUAACUCCCAACUUUCAUAAUCGCUGCUGGGCAGUGGGGCCCCAAAACCCACUAAACCAGGUCUGGGUAACGGUGGCUACCGCCUUAUUUUGUGAUUGACUGGUUUUCCUUCCCAUUUCCAUGACAGUUUUAUCUAUCUUCACCUUGAAAAACGUCCACUACAACACCCUCUACUUAACACAGUGGCAACAAACUCUCAGUCUUUUUGUUGGUUACAGGGUUUCAAUCUUGGAUUUGAGAAAGCUCGGGCCUCUUUUACUUUGAAAUGUUUUGUGAUUUUAACUUUUGGUGGAUCAGUAUUCCGUGAGUACCAUAACAACAUAAUAUUUUAUGUCCCAAACGAUGCAUGUAUGCAUGGUCUGUGUGGCUCAUGGCAUUAAUAUUUGCAACUGUAACUGAAAAUAGUAUAGUACAAGGUAAAAUCUGAAGUCUAUCUCUUCCUGGAAUGCCCUUUCUAUUGCUGAAGCAUUCAUACCGAAGCAUUUGUUGCCCUUCGUGGUGGAUCCCAGGCGCAAUUGCAAGCUGUGGAAUUAAAUGCCACUUGUACAUGUGGCAAAUGGAGAGCUCUACUCAAGCAGAGCCUUCAUGUUAGUGUAUAUAUUUAUUAGAUGAGAAACUAUCCAAUGUUGUCUUUUGGAAGCAAUAUGGUACGCAUGCAUAUGAUGUGUUUAAGACUGUAAUUUUGCUUAUUGUAAAUUAUUCUUAUCUCUAUUCUCUUCUUUGAUGAUAAAUGAUGAGAGGAUAUGGAUUCUUUAUCAUGCGAUUAGCUUUUUCAUGAUUCCAUCUUCUAUGUUUAUUGAGCUUUCUUGUUUGAUGUGUAUACAUUUCAGAAAACAGUAUGUUGCAUGCCCUGAUGACAAGACAUUUCGCUCCAUGGCAAGUUUGUAUAGUCGUUCACAUUACAACAUGUCUUUGAGCAAAGAAUUUGAGGGGGGGAUUACUAAUGGGGCUCUUUGGUAUGGUGGAGUUGCAUUGAUUUUGAAUUUCUUUUUUUCUUUAUUUUUAACACUUCAUGUUACAUGCCUCUCCUAUAAUUAUUUUUGAAAAACUUGCUCUUGUUCUUGUGUUACUUCUCUGAACUUGUUCUCAGAAAAUGUUUUUUUAGGUAUCCUAUCUAUGGCGGCAUGCAAGAUUGGAACUACAUACAUGGGGGCUGUUUCGAAUUAACCUUGGAAAUUAGUGAUGACAAAUGGCCUAAAGCAAAUGAGGUUUGAUUGUUAAUGAAAUCUUCUGCUAUUGCAGCGCUUGCUACAUUUUCAUCAUCGAUGACAUACUUUUCUGGACCAUUUUCAUGAUAUCUGUUAAACCUGUGUGACAUUCUUUCUCAUGCUUUAUAUCUUCUUGUGAAUAUUCAAAGUCUUGGCAAUAUUUAUUUUCCUUCAUUAGCUAACUUCAACUUUUUUCACUAUCAUUUACAACAAAAGAACUUGUAUUUGCAUGCAUAUAAAAUAGUCCUACCUUGUUUAUAGAAAAGAACUAGGAUAAAGAAUUGAUAACAUCAAGUUACAGAUAAAAUUGGAUAGUAUUGGCAGUUAUUGAUUCAAUUACAUGAUAUAUUGAUCAUUUUCUCAUCAAUAAAAUAAUAUUAUCAAUGAGACUGGAUUUUACUUCAGUGUCUUUGUAAAUACAUGUUAUCUAUCAUGGAGUUAAAAUCUCAACCUUCAAUGUAGGAAAGGGUAAAUUUGGCAUGUUCACUUUUAUCAAUUCAACUGGUUAAAAAUUUUAAAAAACUUAAGGGAUUCUCAUUAGUGCUGUACACUUUCAAGAAAUUAGAUUUGCUUUGAUUCAUGAUAAUAUUAUUCACUAUUCCUUACUAUAUGGUAAUACUCUGGACAUACCAUGAAAGAGGAGCAAAUGAAGCUUCAAAUUCCUCCCUUUCAGGUAGAGAUCCACCUACCUUUUGUUCUCUCUCUCUCUCUCUCCUCCCCCCUCCUUUCUCCCUUCCCCUUUCCAAUCUCUAGUUCUGAAGCCCAGUUUUUUUCUCUUUCUCCAUCCUUCGAAAUGGAGGACAUUAAAUCCCUUGGUCUAUAAAAUGAUAUGACACCAAUGUUCUGAAACUUGCCCGGCUAUCGGCUGUUUUGGUGUUCAAGACCCGUUAACCCGUGACUAAGGAUUCAAGUCCCAGCGGGAUGUCUCGCGGGACACUAGGGCGGGGUACCAUCCCAUGUGUCGGGACAAGACCGUCCGCCCAUUGUCCUCGUAACUUGAUCGGCACAUCUUGGGACAUUCCUUAUCCCAAUUGUCGGAAUGGGGCGGGAUGGCAGUACAUCCUAUCCCAUGGAAAAAGUGAGAUAGCCCUGUCCCAUGGAAUUUAAAACCUGCAUGUGACAUCAUAAAUAAAUAAUUAAGUAAAUACUAAAAAUAGUAGAAAUAUUUAAAAAUUUAAAUAUAUAAAAAUAAUAUAUAUACACAUAUAUAUGUAAUGAUAACUAUGGUACAUGCUUAACAUUAAUACCAUAAAUGAAGAGAUGCUUAAUUCUUACAGGUUACUCCUCAAAGAAUAAUACAAAAGAUGUAUAUAUUAGCACCUAAUAAUGAUACCCUAUAAGUUUUUCAUUCUUCGAAGAAGAGUAAAAAUAUAAUUUACAAAAUAAUGUCUAGAAUCUUCAAUAUAAUCCAUCACAUCAAUCAAACAAGAAGUCUUUGAAUAGCGGAUGGAAUUGGCAGGUGAAUACCGGGUCAACUAGGAGAGACAAUACUGGGUCGUUUGAGAGAGUCAAUAGUGGGUCGCAUGGGUUUUUAGGAAAUGCAGAUCUAAGGUUGAUACUCGACUUGUGUAGGCUUACGGUUCAUGGAUCAAGCAGGUUGACCCAGUCAACCCAGUCGGGUAUUAGAACAUUGCAUGAUACAGACAUGGCUAACAAAGGCUAUCACCUUCUUGUGUGUAGAAAGAGAGAAGAGGGGGAGGUAGGGAGGUCUGUGGGCUUGCAAGCUUAUAGACAGGAUGAAAAAAGGAAAGCUAGCAAAAGCUCCUAGAUGGGGGAGGAAGAGAAACAUCACGAACUAUACUGGAGGGGCUCCAAAUUGUUUGAUAUUCUAUUAGUCAAUGGGGGACCUUGCACCAGUGCUCACCACCCCCCCCCCUGAUCCUCAGCAAGUUCCAGCUGUUGAAAAUUUAAAUCUGGACCAUCUAACUAUAGAACAUUGACAGCUUAGGAAAAAAUGGAAGGUACCAAAGGAUCACCUUGAGAAAUUUUAUCCCGAUCAAUGUUGAUGCUUUGCUAGUUAAAAUUCCUAAUAUGUACUAUAUUAGAUAGCAGCAAUAUUAAUUGUAUAUCUUUCUCAUUUUUGUUCCAAAGCCUCAUGAACUAGAUAUGGCUGUCUUUGACAAUGUCUGUGGAAGGUUCAAAUAGAAAUUGUUGGGUAAUGUCCUCUUGCAUGUUUUAUGGAUUUUAUAUGUCUUACCUAAGCAUUUACGAAUGCAACAUGUUACUGUGAAUUCAUGCUUGAUUUAUCUAGGUUAUUAUUAAAGAAAAUUAAGGAGCAAGUUUUGUAGUGCUACGUAUUAGGACAUUAUACAACCAAAACUCUUAAAGGAAACCACCUUCAGGGUGCAUUAAACUCCAACUCGUAUCUAUGUAUAAGAGAUAGUUUAUCCAAAAGACAGCAUGCUAAAAUUGUCGCGCUAUGAUGUAUAUGCAAAAUUAUAGGCUACCAAGUUACUUUCUUUAUCAUCUUCUCAUGUUCUCACUAAACCAUUUGUCAUUAGUUUGCCAUGAGAAUGAUGGACUGUUAGUUUGGAGUCAUGAUGACAAUUUCCAUCCACUAGGAUGAUUUUUUGAGACAUUUUCUACUUCAUUGAGGAAAAGGGACCUGACUACAUAAGUUUGCCCAUAGUCUGACUGGUUCUGAAAGGAUUCAAUUUAUUGUUGUUUGACAUGAGCAAAAUUUAACCCAGGUUGUACCUAUCAAUAUUUUCAUUAAUUAACUGAUAGGUGCUGUUACCACUUCUUAUCAUGUAAAUAGUCAAAGGCGAAAAUCUAUUUCAGCAUAUAGUGAUUUGAGUAGGGAAACAAUGGUUCAUAUCCUAGCAUGUCCCUAGAUAUAUAGCAUAUGAACUCGAAUCCUUAUUUGUGUGUUUUAGAUGAUCCAAAUCUGGUUGUUUCUUCACUAUAUACAAUUUGUUUGGUUGCCAAGGCCCAAGGCAGUGAGGAAUGGAGGAAAAGUGUGAGGUGAUGUUUAUGGUAGGUGGGAGUAGAGGAAGAAGAAGCUUCAAGAGAAGAGGGUGCAAGAAAAUGGAGGUUUGAACUUAGGAGGACAGGAGUGGAGCCAACAGAUGUGAAGAAACAAAGAUUUUAUUUCUUCAGAUUGAAAACUUCUGCCUCAACAAGGGUGAGGGCAUCCCUUUAUAUACACAAAAANNNNNNNNNNNNNNNNNNNNNNNNNNNNNNNNNNNNNNNNNNNNNNNNNNNNNNNNNNNNNNNNNNNNNNNNNNNNNNNNNNNNNNNNGCUUUUAUAAAGUAAGCAAUUUGCUUUUACAAAGUAGCUUUUGAAAAGAGGAUUCUUUUUUCCUUCGUCUUCUUCUGGGCUGGAGAAAUAAGAUGCUUUCUUCCUCCUGAAUUUAAGUUGAUGUAGACAUUGCUGUUGAUUAAAGUAGCUUUAUUAAAGCUGAGGUGUCCCAAAGUAGGCUCCGAAAGUAGCCGAAAGUGGAUUCCUUCUGGAUGAGGUUGCCGAAAGUAGAUUCCUUCUGUCGAAAGUAGCUGGUGACUCAGGAAUUGAUUUGACGAGUCACAUGUCUUGGUCGGUCGACUCUAAGAGGAUUAGUUUGAGUGUGCUGGCUCUUUGCCUUUAUCUAGUCUUGAUUUGACUGUUCCUUUGCAGAGUCCAGUGGUAAGGAUUCUUUCUCAGAUUUUUUCUGUCUUGUCUUUUGCAUGGAGAGACUGUGUUUCUUCUUCAUAAGGGUCUUGGAAUUCUCCUGCUAAGCAUCUAUACAUAUUGUGGUCUUCUGAAGUGGACAAUGAUGAUGUCCUUGAUUCAGUAGAUUUUAUGGAGGCAGUUGAAGGUGCCUCGAAUAUGCAGUAGCAUUGCUGCUUCAUAUGGUCAAGACAUUUGACCAUGAUCUCUUUGUCGAUGCAGUUAGGGUGGUUCUGAGAGCUUUUGCUUUAAUUUAAUAAAAUAAUUAUCAUUAAAGUUAGCUGAUUAUUGAGUUAUGGCAUGUUUAUUCAUGCUCUUAUAAGAAAUUAAAUUAGUUUUAAUAAAGAUGAUGAUAUCUUGAUAUUUUUCUCUAGACAUGCCCAGCCACCACUUAUAUAAAUUUUUUUUUCAGCAUAGGAAGAUUUUUUCUGGUUUCAAAUUUUGCGGAUAGGAUCCAUUUCCAUAUCCAAGGAAUUUUGUUCUCGAUGAUGAAAAUUAUUGGACAUAAUUUUGAGGAGAUUUGAUCAUCCAUCAUUUUGUUGAUGGUGGGAUACUUGUCCACCCAUUCUUCAAAAUAUUCGAAUAUUUCUUUGGGCAAUAUGUUGAGGUCUGGCCCAAAGUAAAUCCACCAUUCUUCAAGAGUGCUUUUUCUUGGGGUUCUCAUCAAAGAACAUGUUAGUAAAAGCUUGGACAUAGUUCCAGUAAUUUGCUAGGACUAUUUACCCAUUUACUUGGAAUGGUUUGCCUUGAUUCGGGUCAAGUCUCCAUUCAUUUGGUCUAAUCACCUUGUGAAUAGUGCAUUUGCUAAAGUUGAUGAUGUUGCUCCUCAUAGUAUUAUUAUAAAAAUUAUGAUUAAUUUCAACAGAACUAGUUAGGAGUAAAAUUACCUCCAUAACUAUGUUUUUUCCUUCGCAUGAAGGAUAACCCAAUUCGUCAAAAUAUUUUUGACGCAUAAACCAUGGAUCAUUCAGAUUAUUAACAUCAUUAUGAUCAAGGUACAUAAUCACCUGUUCGGAUUGCUUCUUCGAUUAAGUACUGUCCAGGAUAUUUUUCUAUAGUACUUCCUUCAUCGUAGGGUUGGAUGAUGAAGUUGGCUGGAAAAGCAUUCCUUCCUUUAUAGCAUCAAUUUGCUGUUGUUAGUCAACCUUCUUGUCCCCUUUUAGAUAGGUUGCCAGAUCCACCAUUUGCAGAUAUCUUAUGGAAAGUGCAUUGGCACUGCGUCCCCUGCUCAAAUGAGACAGAGCAUUCUUUGAACUCAUGGAAAGUGCAUUGGCACUGCAUCUCCUGUCAUAUCGAGCAGAAUUUCUGCCUCGAUUAUAAUAUGUUCAUCUGUGAGGAAUCAUCCCUGCAAAAAUUCUCUAGUCAGAAAAUCAGAAAGAGAUUUUUUUUCAAAUUUAGUAUGUUCUAUUUCAAAAUAAAAAACAAACAAUUGUGCUUGCCAUCCAGCAAAUAUUUGCUUGGAUACUAAAUUCUUAACAUCUUUUUGUAUAAUUUGUUUGAUUGCACUGCAGUCUAUUCUCAACAGAAAUUGCUGAUUUAGCAGAUCACUCAUAGAGAAACAUAUUAUAAUCGAGACAAAAAUUUUGCUCGAUAUGGCAGGGAAUGCAGUGCCAAUGCACUUUCUAUAAGAUAUCCGCAAAUGGUGGAUCUUGGCAACCUAUCUAAAAGGGGACAAGAAGGUUGACUAACAACAGCAAAUUGAUGCAGUAAAGAAAGAAAUGCUUUUCCAGCCAACUUCAUCAUCUAACCCUACGAUGAAGGAAGUACUACAGAAAAAUAUCUUGGACAGUACUUAUUCGGAUAAGCAAUCCGAAUAGGUGAUUAUGUACCUUGAUCAUAAUGAUGUUAAUAACCUGAAUGAUCUAUGGUUCAUACGUCAAAAAUAUUUUGACGAAUUGGGUUAUCCUUCAUGCGAAGGGAAGAACAAAGUAGUUAUGGAGGCAAUUUUACUCCUAAUUAGUUUUGUUGGAAUUAAUCAUAAUUUUCAUAAUAAUACUAUGAGGAGCAACAUCAUCAACUUCAGCAAAUGCACUAUUCAUAAGGUGAUUAGACCAAAUGAAUGGAGACUUGACCCGAAUUAGGGCAAACCAUUUCAGGUAAAUGGGCAGACAGUCCUAGCAAAUUACUGGGACUAUGUCCAAGCUUUUACCAACAUGUUCUUUUAUGAGAACUCCAAGAGAAAGCACUCUUAGUUUUUGCAGGUCAAUCUAGACGUGUUACAGAAGCCUCUUCUAAGCUGGUUCUAUAAAUGGUGGUCUUACUUUGGGCUAGACCUCAACAUAUUGCUCAAAGAAAUAUUCAAAUAUUUCGAAGAAUGGGUGGAAAAUUAUCCCACUAUCAACAAAAUGACGGAUGAUCAAACCUCCUCAGAAUUAUGUCUAAUGAUUUUCAUCAUCAAAAACAAAAUCCCUUGGAUAUGGAAAUGGAUCCUAUCCGCAGAAUUUGAAGCCAGGAAAAAUCUUCCUGUGCUGAAAAGAAAGUUUUUAUAUAAGUGGUGGUUGUGCAUGCCUAGAAAAAAAUAUCAAGAUAUCAGCACCACCAUUAAAACUAAUUUAAUUUCUUAUAAGAGCAUGAAUAAACAUGCCAUAACUCAGCAAUCAGCUAACUUUAAUGAUAAUUAUUUUCUUAAAUUAAAACAAAAGUUCUCUCGGAAGCACUCCAACUGUACCGACGAAGAGAUCAUGGUUAAAUGCCUUAACCAUAUGAAAUGGCAAUUCUACUGCAUAUUCGAGGCACCUUCAACUGCCUUCAUGAAAUCUACUGAAUCAAGGACAUCAUCAUUGUCUACUCCAGAAGAUCACAAUAAAUACAGAUGUUUAGCAGGAGAAUUUCAAGACCCCUACGAAGAAGAAGCACAGUGCACCAAUGCAGAAGACAAGAUAGGAGAAAUCUGGCAAAGAAUCCUUGCCACAAGACCCCGUAAAGGAGUAGUCAAAUCAAGACCAGAUAAAGCAAAGAGCCAGCACACUCAGACUAAUCCUCUCAGAGUCGACCGACCAAGACAUGAGACUUGUCAAAUCAAUUUCUGAGUCACUAGCUACUUUCGGCAACCUCAUUCAGAAGAAAUCCACUUUCGGCUACUUUUGGCGCCUACUUUGGGACACCUUAGCUUUAAUAAAGCUACUUUAGUCAACGUCAAUGUCUACAUCAACUUUACUUCGGGAGGAAGAAGCAUCUUAUUUCUCCAGCCCGGAAGAAGACGAAGGAAAAGAGAAUCCUCUUUUCAAAAGCUACUUUGUAAAAGCAAAUUGCUUACUUUAUAAAAACAAAUUGUUUUAGUCAUAUCUAACUUUAUUUCUUUUCUUAGCCGGCCGCUAACCAUCGGACUCCAAAAUCAAUUGGAAUCCACUUAUAGUUUUUGUGUAUAUAAAAGGAUCUCUCUCUCUCUCUUGUUGAGGCAGAAGUUUUCAUUUUGAAGAAAUAAAAUCUUUGUUUCUUCACAUCUGUUGACUCCACUCCUCUAGAGGGUGGCAAGCGUCAUGAACAAAAGGGAAGGAGUUAAAGGAUGGUCUAAAGGCAGUGCAUGGUGUCAUUGGUGGAAGACGAUGGAGGAUAACAGGGCUUGGAUGGUGGUGUGCUUGGAGGGACAAGUCAAUUAGUGAAGCAAGUGCAUAUAUUGGCAUUUGGUGAAAGGUGUUUUGGAGUAAAAGGGUACUAUCUUGGGUUGGGAUUGGGAUUUCGUAGCCCACUAACCCUGACUUGAAGCCUAGGCUUUUGGUAUGAAAAUUAGGCCUACUAACCUAUUGGGUGCUGGGUUUGGGUUUCAAAAUCAAGACUGAUUUUUUUCCUGGUCCCUUUGGGGUGCAGGUUGAGCCGCACCCUUAAUGUGAAAGCGGCGACAAUCAUUUGUGCAUAGUUUUAUGUAUAAAUAUUCUACUGUUUUUCUUUUUAUUCAGUCAUCUUAACAACUAGAUGGUUCCCCUCUCUGUCUGUCUCUUGCAAGCUUCCUGAGGUUCUUUCCUUCUAUAAUGAAGGUGGCAAUUGAAGUGCUGACAAGCAUCGAUGCAAUGGAUAACGAGACAAAAAAUUAGUUCACUCUCUUGUUCCCCUUGCCUCUCUACUUGUCCACCCUUGACCUUGCCCUCCUGUCUUGUCUUAUGACCACGAUAAGGCUCAGAAUAACCUAACAAUUAUCCAACACAAAUGUUGAAGAUUGGUCAAUAAUCAAGUAGUCUUGGUUUAGAUUUGUGUUUUUAUAUAAUUUGGUUUGGGUAUGGAUAUGAGAAAUCGGAGCCGAACUCAUUGCAUUAUUAUCCCUUACUGCAUUUUGGUGUUGGGGGUGGGUGAGAGUUUGGAUGGGGGUGUGUUUAGAGGUAGAGGGUGGUUGGCAUGGCAAAUAGGGCAUUUAGGGGUUUGGAGGGAGGUAUGUUGGACGAAGAGGAUGAAGGUGUCAAGGGGUGGGGUAGGGUGGGGUGGAGUGUACUACUACCACCCAUUGCUGUUCACCACUUGAUAAAAUACCUUCUACUGGUGCAUAAUUUGUUGUUGCAGCCCCAAAAUAUUGACAAAAGGAAGCAUGCAAGAGCGACUUAAGCUUUACAUAGGGGUGGAAAUUGGAUGAGUCGGGCAAGGUUAGAGAACAAACUAUAAUCAACAUGAGAUCCCAAAACCUGUCCAGAAUUUGAUUGAUUGGGCCAAGAUGGAUCAAAUCAAAUUGAUUGCGUUAAGCUGGAUUUUUGAGUUUAAGAAAUCACAUUUUUCACUUCAGCAUUUCAAUGAAUAGCUUCCGGGUCUCAACCACGGACCCUAUUUCACAAAUCUACUGAUGAUCAUCAUGCAUAAAGAGCAUGCAAGGUACUUGGGGAUUAUUUUUUCUUCUUUUUUGUUAAAUUAUUUUGAGGAAAUAUGACCAACAUUGGGGAAUGGUGUUUUCAUUAAUUGCUCCUUGGUCGAUAAAUUUGGAGAGUGAAAGUAGAGAUGUUUAAUUGCUCGAUCAAAAGAAAAGAAAAGAAAAGAAACAGAACCUAGGUGCUUCACACUCUCAUGUAUGGUAUACUGUCUCGGUACCAGGCUUUGUAUUGGUGCCAUCCUAUCAUUAUAGCGGUACUCCUGAUAUGGGGCCGGUUUGGCGUAUCGAGUAUCGGUACCGAAUCGGUGCGGUACGGUACGAUAUGUUCUAUACCGUCCGAUUUGGUAUGGUAUGGCAUACCAUGCUCUCAUGCAUAAUAGGCUGGCCUAGUUCAAUGUAGCUAAUCGAGCCCAAGCCUGUAACAACCCACCAAAACAUCCUUUACAAGGUUUUCUAGACUAGUCACAACUCUAGAGAAAAGUAUAUAAUUGAUUGUGAUGGUUCUUUGUUAUCCUAUGACCAAUAGGAGAUUGGCUAGCCUUUGGGCAAUAUUAUUAAUGUGGAAUUGCCUUUCUUCCUCUUCGGUGUUUUUCUUCCCUUUUGAUUGCUAGAGUAGAGAGGAAUCUUCUUGUUGACAUGAUCUACUCUACAAAGUUGUUUUCUUGGAAGAGAGUAGAAGAGAAAAUAUAGACAACCCAUGUAACUAUUUAAAGAGAGAUUAGAUGAAGCUAGAGGUACAACCAUGGUCAGCCGAACCGGUCCGUACCGGCCGAUUUGGCCCAGCAUAGACUGGUCCGGCCUGGAACCGGUACCCGAACAGCGUGGAUACCGGUUCCAGCUAUUUUCGGACUGGUACCGAUCGGUACGCAUACGUACCGGCUGCGUACUGUCUCGUACCGGUGCAAACCGGUACCCUUUUUUUUUAACUCCAACGCACGCGUUGUGGAUUUUAAACCCCAGCGCACGUGCGCUAUGGUGCAGAGCACGUGGCUCGUCCCUCGGGGCAGAGCGCCCUGCGUGCGGUUCCUCCUGCGCGUUUCCGCGUGCAGUGCGGCAUGAUUCCCCGCACUGAAAAUCGCCUCAUGUGCGGUUCCCUCACCUGCGCGGGGCAUAAAUGCCACAAAGUCAUAAAUGCCCCACGCGGGCAGCAGACGUGUGCGGACGAGAACUGAAAAAAACAAGGAAACCGGUUCGUACCGGACCGGUUCCGGUACGAACCGGUCUCGAACCGGUCCGGUAGGCGACUGGUAUGCCUACCGGUACCGGUUCAGCGUACCUUGGGUACAACUAUGUGAAACCAAAGGACAAACCAAUGAUGAGCCUUCAAUGAAGCAGGUUGCAAGUUUGUUGCAUGGAUCUGGUCAAUCGCACCAAAUUUCUAAUUGGCCCUAUGUGAAUUGUGGCAAAAAAUUAGUGGAGUUGAAGAUUUAACCUCCAUGUUGAUAGGGCUUUAUGACAUAUAGGUAGCCUAUAUAUAUUUUGAAGAUUUGUGCUAGUCAGUAAUAUUUUGAAUGUUCUCAUAGAUGCAUUGUAGCAAGCCAAGGUUAUGUGAAAUUUCACUAGAUUGAACAUAGCUAUUUUUCACUUACUACCACUCCUUGAAUGUUAAGAGUCUAUCAUAGCCAAGAUGUAGUUGUAGGCUUGGUAAGUAUUAGUGAUCUUAAAGUUUUUUUUUUUUUUAAAUUUGUUGUUCAUAGAGUGGUUUAUGCUUAAUUUUUAUUCACAUUAUGGCGCUUAUAAAAAGAAUUUCUAUUAAUGGCAAAAAAUCAUGCAUGCUGCACUUGAUUUGGUACAUAUGCACGGGAAUGGUGUUUAACCUUUGAAGUAAUCUGCAUUGUAGAAGAUCUUCCUCUUAUUUUUGCCCCAAGAAGGUUUUGGAGAUGUAUCAUAUUACUCAAUUAGCACUAGCACCCCCUCCAUCCUAAUUAGUGAAGAGGGAAAAAUUAAAAAAAUGAUUUUGAAGGAGAGAGGGAGAGGGAGAGCGGUGAGGUAUUACCUAGUAAUGGGAAUGAUCCAAAAUGGAGAAGAAAGUACAGGUUGCUAGCUCACUCUCCAUCAUCUCUCAUCAACCAUGAGAAUGAGCGAUAGAGAGAGAUAAAGAUCAAGGGGGUCAGGUGGUCUAGGGCCCCCGCGGCCUUCGCCGCGCCCCCGUGGUUGCUUCUCCCUCCUGCCCCUGCUCGCUCGCUGUUUCUCCUUUUCUUCCCUGGCUCCGGUGCGUACCGGUGUCCACGGCGGAACCGUACUGGUAGGCCACCGGACCGGUCCAGUAAGGGCUAAACCGGCUGGUACAUACCAUACUGAGAAGAUGGAGUAUGGAUUUGGAGAGGAAGAUUGGGGGAUAUGAAGGCCCUUCCUUGGAAAAGAGGAUUUCAUCCACCUAUACCAUAAGUCAGUCAUUCUCUUACAUGCAAAUACUUAGAACUUAGUGGAUUUAUAUAAGGAAGAAGGUCAAAUAAAAGCAAAACUUUUAUCUCCUUGAGAACUCACUACUAACUAAUGUCUCCUUCGCUUCUAGCUUUGGUAAAUGACAAUAGCUAAUUUAUAGCACCCAUCUUAAGAAUUACGAAAACUUGCAAUACCGUAGCUAGUAUGGGGGAAUCUGUGGCACCAACAUAAAGAUGACUCCACCUCCACUUUUAUAAAACAUUUAGAUAAUGUUAUAUAUUUGUUCACACUUGAGUAUAUGGGUUCAUGUUGUGUUGGUUGCCAAAUGCUUUAGCCCAAGCUUGGCUGGAAUUCAAGUCUGCUUGGCCCUAAGCCUGACACAAGCUAGGGAUCAAACUGCCAAAAUGUGAGCCAAGUUCAGGGUUGGGUUCAGAGCUUCCUGCCUAAUUUCCUCCCCUAGCUUUACCUUUCACCCAUAUGUUCAUUUAGAUUUGCCUUCAUUGAAAUUGGACCAAAUAUUUUUUGGCGCCAAUUUUUUGGUAUCCCUGCCUGAAAUUUUAAAAUUCAAGGUUUUGCAUUACCAGUCCUUAUUGGUCCCUAUUGGCGUUCUGUACCGUACUGGUACCGAAUUGGUAUAGUACAAAGGCUUGAACUAGUACCAUAGGAAAACAUGGUAUAGGUGCUGUUCCAACUUAGCGCAACUUUAUUGUGUCAGUAUAGGUGCAUGCCAUGCCGUGUCAUACUGUAUCGGUAUGGUACGAUACAGGACUUGGUAGCGAGAUGGUAGAUCUUUGUUCCAUAUUGAAAUAAAAUUUGAUUAGUAGGUCAUCAAACUCUAUUCCUGUUCUUUGAUUAGAACAAGAGGUAUAAUUCCAUUUUCCAAUCUUUCAUGAAGAUGAUUGAAAACACCAACCAGGUUAGUUUAAGCUUUUAGUAGCAGAGAACUUCCACUUAAGGUGUUGUACAAGCUUCAGAAACUUGCCCCUGCAUUCACUGCCUGAGUGUUUAUUCUUUUUUUGGUUUAGAGAGCGAUUGAGAGAGAGAGAGAGAGAGAUCUACUUCCUUGUUUUUUGAGAAGAUUAUUAUUCAUUCAAUAACUUUAUUCUUUGAUGACAUUGCAUAGACCUUGAUAUGGAGGUUUUAACUGGACUUAGCUAUUGAAACACUCUAAACCAUUCUCUCAAAUAAAGCACAUUUCAUCAUGUACAAUGCGCUAAAUCAAAUCAGAAAAGAAAGAUAUGAGCUACAUGAUAACUUAAGUUCGAUAAGUUUAAAGUUUGAAGAUUUCCCUCAUUAAGCUACAAACAAAAACAUAUGCCAUAAUAUGGAAAUGAGGCAGGGAAGUUUUUAAAGUAGAGUAUAAUUAAAUCCGAAAAUAUUCUCCUAAGAUUAAAUCUGCUAAUGCUCACACCAUGAAUUUUUUUUUUUAAGGAAAAAGUCUAAUUGAGCCCUAAUAUAACUCUAGAUCGAAAUAUAUCAAACUAAAAUCAAACUACUGAUGCAAUAAAGACAACCUCAAUCUUAAUUGAUCUCUUAAAAUCUAGCUACCAAAAUGAGACAUGGUGACAAAUCAAAAGUUUGAUACUUUUCUUUUUCCAAAAAAAAAAGAGAGCUGUAAGGAUGUAAUCUAAGGCCUUGCUCCUCUCUUCUUGAUCUCAAAUUCUACGUUUUAUCUUGUUCUUGAGUUGAGCAAGACCUUGUUGAAAGCCUAUCGAACUGUUUCGAGAUUCUGCAUGUAUGUUUGUAUUUGCAUGAACAUGUGUCUUUUAUUGUGUGAUAGUAUCACCUAAAUCAUUCUUUUUUAUUUUCUGUUAAUAUUAUACUUGCAGCUUCCUGUCAUCUGGGAGUACAACAGAAUGAGCAUGUUAAAUCUUGUUGCUAGUCUUGUGAAGGUAAAAUAUUUGUUCUAACUUUACUGGAUUCUCUUUUAUAGAUGACAUUUCCACCAUGAUGUCAUCAUAAGGCUGUUAUUACGUGGUACCAAAAACUGAAACUCUGCUUUUCUGUAUUGUAGCCUCAAAGUGCUGUUGGAAUUGGAAUGUUUAUUAGUGGUAAAGAUAUUUGAAAAACUGACCCAUGCACCAAUGCACCAGUGGGCCAUAUAUUCCUUUACAGUUUUGAAAUGUCAAAAAUUUUUCACAUUAUAUAUUGAACAUAUUAAUAGCUGUUCACCUGUUUAGGCAACAUUUUGUCACUAGUGUAUAAGACAAGUGUUGGGAGAGGAUGAUUAUGGCCUGUUGCAGUGCUGUUAUCCUUAACUCAGCUUAAAUUUCCAGUAUACUGCUGAUUAGAUGAAGCAAAGCACAUCUGUCUUUGAAAUUUCAAACUCUUUGAUUUGAAGUAGUUUUCACAGAAGUUGUCCGACAGGACUUAUGCCAUAAAUAGUGAUAGCUAUUAUAACAGUUUCGGCCAAUGUCCUUUGUGAUAUUAACAAAUAAAACAGCAUAAGAAAUAAUAACUGCUAUCUCUGCACGACAUUCAUUUUGCUAGGUUUGUGAUGACCAUUAUUUGUACAUCAAUACUGUGAUAUUAAAAUUGAUCUUAUAAAAUAAAUAACAAUGUUAUUUUGUAUAUACAACAGUAUUUUAUUUGACUACAAAAUAUUCAUAUUAAACAUUGUAGUAUGUUAAAAUGUUAUGGUUCAUAGUGAUCGAUUACAAGGUUUAAAUUCUUCAUACUUCAAGUACAGCAUGGUACGGCUAGUACAUGCCAGUAUGGUAUGGUAAUUCAAUCCAUUGCUAUAACUGGUAUGAUAGUCCUUAGUGGCUUUGAGGCAUAUCCAAUACAUGCAGAUAGCAGUGUUAUUGAAACAGUCAUUGUCAAUAAGACACUCUUAAUUCCAAAUCUUUCUAUAACAUGUAAUGGAGAGAUGGAAGGGUUUAUCCUUAUUAUGUUACUGGGUGGUAAAUUGGCAGCUUAGCAGGGCAACUGGAUUCUUCAUUGACUGGAAAAUAUAAAAUAUGUGUGUGGGUAGGCUUCUGAAGGAGAAGCCAGAAACCUGCAAAAUUCUAAAUAAUAAACUAUGCUGGGAUAUACUUAAAACAGCAUGAUUCAUGAUAAAGUUUAAAUGUUCUUUUUUCAAUUUCAUGUAUAUUUACUUGGUGCCAUUUUUUAUGUUUCAGUUAGUAUUGUUUGGUGUUGGGCUGUCAGAUUUUUCUUUUUGAAUUAUGUUAAUCUUUCAGACAGGAGUUCAUGGAAGGAUAUUCUCAUCAGACAAAGGGCGUCCUUUACCAGCCUCUGUAGUGAUCCAGGGAAUUGAUAUUAGAGUAUGUCUCCUCUAAUACUAAAGAAGAAUUUGUGUUAAUAUGUUUUUCAUUAAUUUUAGUCAACUGGAUCAUUUUGGUCCAAAUUGUUCAUGAUAAUGGUUUUUAAUUCUUCUAAUCAUUGUGUAUUACAUCUAAGCACUUGGGCUAUCUUAUCAUGUGGAUCGUCGGUUCUGUAGCUUAAAAGCUUUGUCUACAGUCAACCAUGACUGGAGCUAAACAGUUUCAAGAUACUGCAUAUUUUUGAUAGGGUUCUCUUAUCCUCAGGGGUUGCGAUUUUUGUAGAAUACAUAGAAGAUGGAAGAAGUGUUCUAGAUUAAUCUAGUAGAAUAUUAAUGAAUGUCAGAACAUUUUGUGGUUUCCAACCACUUGACCCAUUUCUUUUCUGAAGGUGAAUGCUAGCAGGACAUACGGUGAUUACCAUCGCAUGCUUGCCCCUGGGGAGAGGUAUGAAGGUAAAAUCUCCAUGUAAAAGGUUCUUGUUUUAUGCUAGUCUGUUUUUCCUUGAUAUUGCAACAUGUAUCAUCUUGGCAAUCACCACAAAGAUCACUGUCAAUAAUUUGAUAAUUGAAAGAGAUAUUUUUUAAGUUUUAGGGACUUACUAAGUAGUUUUCCUCAACUGCUUUAAGCCUUUAACCAGCAUUGCUCGUCUCUUUUAGUGAUGAGAAAUUUGAGCAACUUACCUUGUUGCUUAAGUUCUAAUGGGGUUGAAAGUCCUGUUUUCACUUUCACAUGCUGAAUACUCAAAUACUGGAUAACACAUACUGAUCUAUCCAAAUGCCUAGAUGGUUUUAUGUCUUUUGCCUAUGAUCAACAAAAUAUCACCAGAUGGAUCAACCGUCAUGUACUCUGUGGAGCAGUGGACUGUCUUGUUCCCAUGUUCGGGCUCCUUCCAGAGCUCUAGAUGAAAGAGUUAUGCCUUUUUUGGUUAAUUCUAAUUUCGUAAACAUUCGCCUGCCUCUUGGCAGUGUUGAUGCUUAUCAUUCUCUUACUGCAUGGUAGAUUACCUUGUCAAUGUGACCUGAAUGGUUAUGCAGAGAACAUGUGGUGUACCAUACGAAAGAAUGCCUUGGCAUGUUCCAGAAAUACCUGCAUAUAUGGACGCCCUAGAAACUGCUGGGAGCUCUUGAAUUUUCAAUUGAGAUAUUUGUAUAUUUGACAUGGUGAUGCUUAAGACCAUAUUUGAUGUGUUCUCCAAAUUAGAUAAAGCCAAUGAUUUUCAAAUUAGAACUCCAGCUAUGAAACUCUUGAUUUGCUCUAUCUAUAUAACUUAGCAGCAGGAAGUGUUUGGUUAUCGUGGAAACCUAAUGAAAUUGUGUAAACUUUUCUUGCAGUUACGGCAUCUAUGCCUGGCUUCCAAUCUAAAACUACACAUAUAUUGCUGGAAGAUGAGGCUAUGAACUUGGAUUUCAUUCUGAGUCCAGAAGAUUCAAGCAAACAUGAGGAAGUCAGGAACGAAUGUGAUUGCACCUGUGAUGGCAAGGACAAGCUUGAGGUGGUUGAGUUUCUAAGGGGGAUUAAUUUGGGGAUAUACCUUCUGCUUUCUGUGAUGUUCCUCAUUUUCUGCUGUCUGUUGAGGAGGAAAACAAUGUUUAAGUUUCUAAACCGUAGACAGUUUAAUGGGUAUAAAAGGUCAAUUGUUGUGUAAGGCUUUGACAGAAACACGCGCAUGUUGUAAAUUAUUUUUUUGGCUAGUUCAAGGCUAUUUUGUUGCCCUAUGGCAUGCAAUUUCCGUUGGGAAUAGGCUUGAUGGGAUUGUUGUGUAAGACUUUGAUAAUAACAUUCAAAUGCUGUAAAUUAUCUUUUUGCUAGUACGACGCAUUAACUGUUAACCUGAAAACUGGUGAUACUCUUCUACCAAAAAAAUAAAAGGCCAGUGCGAUGCCAUCACAUUAAACCCAGCGGUAAAUUUGAUGAGAUUUAAACCUCUGUGGGGACGCACAAGGAAAACAAACUGCCUUAUCUAUUUGGAAAAUGCUUCAGAUGCCCGCAUGAAGCUCCCAGAGCUUACGGCAGCUGAGCUGGCAACUCCAUAAUUAAUUGGCAUGUUAUUUAUAUAAAAAUAAUGUGUGCGCACAUAAAUGGAGCCGCAUGCAUUACUCUAUUUAUUUUGUGAAAAAUUACUUGUCAUUUAACUUGUUUUACCCCAUCUGAUGAGAUCAAGUUAGGUUGCCACCCUGUUUGUUUAUUAAAAUUUUGUUGUCAUUUCACUUUUUUUGCCAUCAGAUUAGAUCAAGUUGGUUGCUUCUCUCCAAUUAACAGCCAGCACAUUGCUUGCGGGGAAAAACAAAGGGCAAACAGCCAAUGCAACUGAGUCACGGUUCAUGCUGCAUUUUAUUUUUUAUUUAAUUGGUCCGCUAACAUUAUAAAAUUUGCUGCUGCUUUCCCUAACAAAUUUCAACAGCUUUAUUUUCUUGAAUGAUCCCAAAUUAAGCGUUCUUCUCACAUAUUUCUGGCUUUCUCCUUGGUGACCAAAGCACCCAUCCGUUGCAUCAACAAAUCGAAGUCAUCCUGGGACCUGAUGAGGCUCAGACGAGCGUAGCGGUUAUCCGCUCCAAAUUUGUACCCUGCGCGGGAGAUUAUUCCUCCAGCUCUCAAUACAGCAUGGCAGUUCCUGUCUUCCUCCUUCUCGCACUUCAACCAGGCGUAAGCUGCCGAAAAGCCGUCAACCAGAAUGACAAGAGAAAUCAUUAAUACAUGCUUUGGCAAUGCUCGGGUCUAAUUUCCAUGAAAGCUAUUAGCUAUGAUCGAUGAAACAUAAACAUGCCGUGCAGGAUGUUAGCUUAAGAAUUUCAAAGGCGGAUCGGAGAAAAGAGGGGGAGAGCAAAGAUAGGAUCGAUCGGAUAGACGCCUUCGAGUGAAGGGAGGUAAUUAAGAGUCACCUGGAGAAGGGUCCCUGAUCUUUCCAAAGUAGCUGCAGUACUCAGGACGCAUUAGUUGGAGGGAGAACCGGUCAGACGACGACACAAGCUUGUUCAAUUUGUGCCACCUUUCCCUCAUGGUACUAAAUGCAAACCCAAAGAUGCUCCCUGCCGCCCCUCUCUCUUCAGCCAGCAUCGCUUUCAAGAGCUUCAGACUUCUUAGAUGAGUAUCCCUGGAAACACCCAUCGUGUUGAUUCCCAGGUAGCUCAGCAUUCUCCUGUACACUCCUUCAUCCUUCACGAUCGCCCACCUGCAUGCCGAACAAAUAAAGCAUGAGACCACCUCCUGAAACUCAUACACAUUCCUAGAGCAGAGUCUCCGAUGCUUUUACCCGAAUCUGCUGCCGGCGUGACCUGUGAGCUUGGAGAUGGUGAAGAGCAUGAGAUCGCCAUCAGCCGGAGCUUUGACUGCCGAGAAGUGAGGCCAGUAGUAGGCGUGGUCGUAGAUGACGGAUGAACCUUGAAGAACUGGUUGCUGCAGGCGCCCAUCUGGGUUGUUGGGAGAUGUCACAAAUUCGAUAAAAUUCGCCGCAACUUCUCCACCCAUCUUUGACGUGACUCCUUUCCAUUCAUACGCUCGGGAGUUGAAGAACUCGGUCUGCGUCCUAUAAACCUGAACGUCGAAGACAAGACCCAAGCAGCCAUGCCAUUAGGAAGGAACUUGGCGACAUCGUUAACAGUCAUACUGGAAGGUGAUUAAGAUGGAGAGGCGACCGUAUAGUAGGGAACGGAUGCAACAACGCUGGCAGGUGAUGAUGCCGAGCUGUUGGGAGAAAGAGCAUGGACUGCUGCAUUGAUCAGCUGCGUGGAUCCGGCCCCAAAGACGACGAAUCUCCCAUCGGUGAUUGCAUUUCCUACAUGCGAAUGCAGUCUUCGAAUGUGUCUCUCGAGUUCGAUGGAGAUGAAGUUGUCACCAUCUGUUUGGUAGCUCAUGCGGUGCCAACCGGCCACAACAACUGCACUGCUCGCUGCAUGCUGCCUCCAGUAUGGCUCCAGGAACAGGGGAUCGCCACUGCAGCAGUCAAAUAAAUAGCGUUUAUGAGAAAUGAACAAUGCGAGGAAUGGCAAGGCCAACAAUGAUAGAAAGAUGAUGAUGAAUCUUCUAUUGUAGACUAGGAUCAUCUCUCUCUUCCUCUCUGCACACACACACACACACACACACACCAUAUAUAUUGCUUUCAUCAAAGCAAGUUGCAAAAAGCCUAGGGUGCUCUUUUGAUCGCUAACUAGGAAGAGCAUUACAUUACAUCUAAAUCAGGAGAGGCUCUAUAUCAUUAUUUCUUCUGAAUCUGUGCAAACUGAUAUAAUUGCACGCCAAGAAAAAAAAAUGCAUGUUGUUAUUGUUAACUUUGAAUGUCAAACUUUUUGCGUGCAUGACUGAUAUGAAACAUGUUUGCUUCUUAUUUAACACCGUUUCCUGUAAGCCUAAACAAUAAGAUAUCAAUCUUACUUGGUUUCCUCUUUAACAUUGAAAAACUAGUGCAAGAUUGUUCUUGAGAUAAAUCGGUCGAUAGAUAGGUAGAGAGAGAGAGAGAGACUUAGUUUAUAGGCAAGACUAUAAAUUAAAGAUAUUCUAUUGAUAUGUGUAGUGAUGUAAACUCGAAAAUCUAAUGCGAGAAAUUUAUAUAGACAUGACUAUAAAUUAAAAGAUAUCUUACUGAUAUGCUUAUUGAUACAAAUUCACCAGUUUGCGACCGAAUUCAAGAGCAUAAUUUGAGAUUCUGAAAUGUUUUAGGGUGCACACGGCACUGAAAUGAAUUUUCCCUAGUUGAUAUUGAAAACCAGGAAAAUUCUAUCCAUCUAAUUCAACACCAAGAGCCCCACCUUUCAGCAUCAGCAGCACAACCCUGCACAAACUCCGAGCAAUCUUGGCCUCUAUAGCAUGCAUUACACUCGCAGACAUGUUUGCCAUCGACGAGAAUCCCGUCCACAAAGGCUGAUCCAUGCCCAGAACACGAGAGAGCUGCAACAGCUUCAGCUUCUGUGGCUGCUCUGCUGCUCCAGCUUAGCUCAGGCGAUUGGAAGAGGGCUCUAGAGAUGAAGAAGAAAUUCAAACAUGGAGAACAUAAAAGCAAGAAUAGACAGAAGAGGUAUUUGGAGCUGUAGGCCUUGGUAUUAUUGGACUCUUUGGGCCCUUCUAUCAGUUUAGAGAGGUGGGAUGAAUCCAUAUUUAUUUGUUUUAUUUCCAUUAGUUUUCGAGUUCUAUGAGGUCCUUUUAUGUUCGAAGCUUUAGCUUGCGUGGAACAAACACCAAUCUGCAAAGAAACCAUUCAACACCCGGAAACUUUGAGCAGGUGCCCAUUUUGAAUACUAGAUUAGGAAUGACCACUUUGAUGAAGCACCAGAUCAGGAUCGUUGACUGGACCCAAUAAUCUUCAGAUCAAGGCGGAGGAAAUGACGGCCAAUAAACUAAAGCAAAAGUCAGCAUCGGCACCAUUGAGGCCGUCAUCUGCUUCGUUUCAGGAGGCACAGAUGAUAAUAAUAUGAUUCGCUUCUUGGUGCGGUUUCUUUGACCAAUCUUUCUGGUUUACGUUCUCAAAUUGUGUUCGCAGGUCAUGAAUGACGAUAACCAUUAGUAUUUCAAAAUAGACUGCAGUUCAACCCAUUGCUUCCAACUUGUUGCAUCUUACGGGAAAUUGUAAGCUUUGAAAAGUAUUCUAUGAAGACGCUAAAAAUAAUCAAUUGAAAUGUAAGAACAACCUGGAAUUGAGAGGAGAUGGCAAUUUCUUUUCUUCUUCUGCUUUUUUUUGUGUGUGUGUAGAAAAUUGUAAGCUUUGAAAAGGUACCAAUGCAAUUUACUAUGAUUUCAGAAAUCAGUUUUCACAAUAGUAACUUAAAAUUUAAUGGUUGCUGAUUUUUACUUCAGUUAUUCGGAGUUAAGAUACGAGAUUAAUCAAUUUAAGAGAUUAGGUUACAAACAAGUAUUAUAGUUGCUCUGAUCCUAAAAUAAUCUGAUCGUGGGAUAUUGAGAAACUUUCCGUUGCUAGGGUGUACUAAUCUGAUCUAAUCACUUGACUCAACAAUCAAAUCAACUCAAAUAAUAACAAAAACACAACCAAAUCAACUCAAACAAAAGCAACCAAUAAUGAAAUAGAAUAAAAAUAAUACAGACUCAAAUGAACCCAAUCCAGGGCCCGACUCAAACUGAUGGCUCAAAAUCAUCUCUUAGCCACAAUGAUGUCGAUCUCAAGUGCAAACGGCGGCGAGGGGCUUUGAUAGCUCUAUCAUAUGAAGGAAUGACUCUGAUGUCCCCAUCAAAUAUUCUCUGUAGACACUAAAAAAAAUCAAUUGCAAUGUAAGAACAACCUGGAAUUCAGUGGACAUCCAUUAUACCCUACUCCACCCCCAUCCAGGCCACACAGUCUGAGCCGCAAGCAGAUCGAGCCACAGCUUGCCGAACUGAGACUUUAUAUUUUAUGGGCGCAAUGCUCUUUGGACACGAAACCUGCCCCCUGCGGCCUUGCCACAAUUGACGAGGGCUGUUCCAUCCGAACAUAGGUUUAAUGGGUUCAACAGCAGCAUUUUCGAACGGAUAAGCAAGAUGCAGCUUUGAAGGGGAACAAGAGAACUUGUGGAAUCAAGACCUGUCGAUUUGUGCAAACAUGCUGACAUCUUGGAUUGUGGUUUAAUGCUAAAUUCGUGACUCCAAUGAGGGAUAUCCGAUCAUAAAGGUUGAAUCAGUCUCUGAGGCAAUUCAUCCUGGUAGAUGGUUUACUACGGAACAAUUGAUGCUGGGAACGUAGUUAUGAACGAUGUGCCUACCUUCUACCUAUAACAGAUGAGAUUUGCUUCCAAAAUUUCCUCACCAUAAAACAAGAGAAAAGUACUGCUGUUGAGAUCAUUUAUAACCACAUAUAUCAGAUAGUUGAUACUGUUAAUCACAAUUAUUGAUAAUAAUCUCAUAAUAAAGUAACAACAGGUUGCUCAUGCAAAAACUUGCUUUUACCUCAAAAAAAUAAAAGCAAUAUACAGGAAAGGAUGCAACUAUGCAGAUAAGCCUAUUAGACCAAAAGAGCCCAUGGAGCAGGAAUCAUUAGCUUGAAUUUCAGAAGCAAAACUAAGCCCCAACAGAACAGGGAGUGGUGUAAACAGAUGAUAACACCAAGUUCCGACCCUCAGCAAUGAUAAAUUUAAACAAAGCACCAGCAAAUAUUGGUAGCUUCCAAAGUACAAGGAAAAACCACAUUAUUUAAUUGCCAGUCGCAAGAAAGCAUUGAUCAGCUAAAUGAUCUUUGUUGUUCAGUAUCCCCAGUUGUCAUUACGGAUUUCAUCAUCAAACUUCUUCUUGAGCUCAGGGUGCUUCUCGAAAUACUCAUCAGCCGUCAUGGUGCUAAUCUUCUUCUGCACAGGAUAUGAGGUUUAUGAGAAUCAAUCACAUCACAAAGAGCACUGCAAAAAAUUGAUUAUAAUCCAAAAAAGAAAGUGGUUGGUGUAACAUGGAUUCAAGCUAUUCUUACCUUCAUCUCUUGAACCUCAACAAUUUCCUUCUCCAACCUUUCUGACUCCUUCAGAGAUUUCUGUUCUGCUUCUUUCAACUCCACCAACUGAAGAUUAAAAAUAUAUAUAUAUUUUUGUUGUCUCUUUUUUCAGAGAUAUAGAUUGGGAGAAAAAAAAAUAAAGGACAGUAAGGUAGACUAUCUCACCAAAGCAUCAAACUUGGGCUUGUAUUCUGGAGUCACAGUGUCAACAUACUUGGGGAUCUCUAUGCCUACAAAAGGAUGGCAUUUGCAUGAACUCAUUAGUGCAAUAAAAGAUGAAUCACCAAUAAAACUGCAGAUAUGCAUGAGACAAGAAUAAAUUAGUAAAUUGUGAUAUGAGUCUAAAUAGAAAUGCUUGGCGAUUCAUAAAGACAAGCCAAAUAGUCGGGACAAUGCUUCAAGUUUAAUCAAUUAUGGUUGUGGUAAAUUUCCACUAACAUAUAGAGUGAAAUCUUAUGGCACAUCCAUCAUAUUACUGAAAUGAACCUCCAAAAAUGAAGGGUACAUUAAAGAACUUCUUAGUUGGUGGGUUCAGACCAUCAAACCCAUGAGUUCACAUCCAAGAAUCAAGCCAUUGAUCAGACAGAUAAAAUCUGAACAGAUACUUCUUGGUUAUUUUAUCUUGACCCAAAAUAUGUUAGGCUUUUAGUACAGUAAAUUCUAGAAAGAUGGCAUAACUCUUGGCAUUAACUUCCAGACAAACGAAAUGUUUAGGAAUCUAAUUUCCUCAAAUUGCUGAAGAAAACUAGAAUAUGAAUCUUUGAGACCAGAUCAGCAGUAGGAUCAAUCAAUCAAAUCCCGUUCAGCAUCCAGUAUGGAGUGAAAAAACUGCUCUUAAAUAUUCUGAUGGGAUAAGCAGCAGACCAACUUGAUGGUUGCCCAUCUAGACAUAGAAGAUUGUAUGCAGUUUAUGGAUAAUAAUGAAAUUUUCCAGCUCAUAAAAUGUGAAAUAAAAAUUAACUAAAAUCUGUAUAUUAUAGAUGAUCCAAGCACUACUAAUACUUACUAACAUGAUAGUUAAACGUUAGAGGCAAAUAAUAUUCAUACUCCAAGCACUACUAAUACCUACUAGGGCUUCCAUCUCUGAGACGGAAAGAGAGAGGGGAAAUACAACAAAGAAGCAGAUGAAAGUGGAGCCAUACUGUAAAACAGGUGGGUGGUCAGAUUUCUUCUCUAACAGAAUUAUUGUUUUCCCCUUCCAGACCAAUCAAAAAUUUGUUGCACACCAUAAGUUUCCAAAUGUGACCUUCCAGCUGAAUUGACUAACUAAUAACACUUUCUUCUACAAUUAGGCCUCUAUGCAUUUCUAAAAUUAGAAUUUCCCCAUUCACUUCCACAAAAAGGCCUGUAACUACUUCUAAAACAUGUCAAGUUCUGACUGUACGGCGACUAUCACUUUCAACCCAAACACAUUACAUGCUCAGAAGAUGCUCCACUUGCCAAACCUGCCAAAAAGAAAUCAAGAAGAGUAUUAGGCAUAUCUCUCCCCUUUCUUCGUCAAGAUAUUAUGUCGUCCUCUCCGAGCCUCCCUGAAGACUAGAGGACAAUGAUGUGCCUUCCUCCGCAAGAUUCAUAACAACCUCCGACAAAUCAUCUUCUCAGACAACCUACCAGUUCUGGAAUGAAUAAUCACCACCAUCUACUAUGCACUGAGGUUCCUAAGACAGCAUAUACCAAUCUUAACAAGUCAAUUCCAGACAAGUUAAAGCUAAAGCCCUUUUCAAAUGAAGUAUUUUGAUGUCCACAUUGGUCAAUUCUUUAAAGAACUUAUAACACAUUCACAACAUUUGUUUACCAAGAUAUGCCAGAUAUGCCUAUAUCCCAAAUAAAACCAGUGAGCAGGUUGCCAACUAGUCCCUAAACUGGGUUGAGGCAAGCCCUCUAUCCUAAUGAAAGUGAUUUUAGACAGUAGACUAGUGGGUCGACGUUAUCCUCAAUGUGGCAUUCUCAUAAGCAUUGUCAGAACAUUUGGCAUCAUACCAAACAUAAAACCAUUAUAAGUAUCCAUCAAGACAAACUACUUAAAACCUUAAAGGACAUUUUUACAUAUGCAUGGAGGGACAAAAGACAAAUGAUUACAGAAACUGAAUUUGAAAUAACUUUGACAUAUUUAGUCAUGGAUAAGUGAUUGAUAAUUGCAAAGUUUCAAGCUUCAUAUUCAACAUCUUAUCAAGAUUUUUACAUGUAAGGCAGAUGAAAUACAUGUAGAAUAAGACAUUUCUUCAAUUUCAUAGUUCUUUAUAAUCUAAAUAUUUUCUCUUUACCAGGGUUAUUAUGAGAAAAAUAUAAUUGUAUGCGUGUGCAUGUGUUUCUCAUUCAUGCAGAGGUGCCAUUUAUUUCAUUUCCAUAACUUGCUUUUCUCAUAUAUGACCUAUCAUUGUGGGCUUAUAUAUUGUCAAGUUAUACAUACAUGCAUACAUAGAGAGCCAAGGUUUCUGAUGCUAUGUCAUAAACCAUUAUAGUGUCUAGAAAAAUCGACACUUCUAGACAUGACUUUUAAUAUUCAAGUUCUUCAUAACCCACCAUUUAAUAUACUCAUCUUGAACUUCAAAUUUUUAGCAUAAUUUUCCAUUUGCAAACUCAAUUUAUAUUAUUUACUGGCUGCUAUAAGCAUUACUGUCCUCUUAUUUGUGAUUUGGAAUCUUGAAGUUCCCAUUGCCAGUUCUGCAGACACCAUCUUUUGGUGCCAAAGCCCAUGCACAGAAAUGUCCUUUAAUUGAAUUCAUGCCAUUGUUAUUUCACCUCAAGAUACUCUUAUAUAUCCACUGAAGCUGAAUUAUCUCCCACAUCAUUUAUGCAAUGACUGUACCUACUUUUGUCUUCCAAGAUUUUACUGUAUAAAGAGAAAUUGAAUAACAAUUUAGUGACCUUAAUUCUGUACUUUAAGCACAAAAAUAUAGGCUGAAUGAAUUGCAUCUAUAUCCAGAUAUUAUCAGAUAUCCAUCCAAAUUUGUUUCUGUAAUUGAAUAUAUCCAUAUACAAAUACAAAUUACAACAUCUGAACUGAUAUCUAUGUCCAUAUUUUGUACCCAGCAAAGAAAAGCAAAUAUGGAUAUGGAUAUACCAACAUCCAAUCCAUAUCCAAAUAUCUAAUUCCAUCUACAAUUCUAUUUAGUUUCAUUGAGCUGUUAUAAACUUCCAGUGAAAAUAAGUGAUAGUAUCAACAGAUCUUUGGUUUAAUCUUCUUUUCAUGCAGUAACAUUUUUGAUUUAGUGGACAGCAUCCUCAAUAAUAAUCCGUUUUUCACUUCAAAACAUGCUAAGUAACUUUGGAGAAUUAUUAGGAUCCAUAGAAAAAGUCAGAUGACUAGAUGAAGGCAAUUAUAUCUUCAAAUAUUUAUCUUAGGAAUAAUAAAAAAGGGAGGCUUACAUACUUAAAAAUAGUUAAAAUAAAGUAGAACAAUAGUUUUAUCCAUAAAAUUUAAAAUCCAAUUUAUAUCAAUAUUUUUCAAUACCUGAUUCAUAUCUGAACCUGUCUAUGGCUACAAAUUUUAGCAUCCAUCUAAUAUUCAUACCCGGAUUCAUAUUCGAUAAACAAAGCAGAUAGAGAUAUGGGUCUACCAAUAUUCUAUCCGUAUUCAAUAUGUUUGCAGCCCUACUUGCAUCCAUAUUGUAUGUAAGCUUAAAUAUACAUAUAGAUCUUCAUAAAAUGCCAAGUUUAUAAUGUAACAACCAGAUUUCUUGGUUACAACAUGAAAACCAUAAGUCUAUCUCAUGAAAUGAGAAUAUAUCCUCUAAUCAGAUACCAGUAACGAGAAACUAAUUUUCCGAUGUUCCAUGAAGAUUAUAAGUAUGAAGAAAACAUACUCUCAUAAGCCUCUUUAUACAUAUCCACCAAGCGAGAUCCAAUUCCUUUUCUAUAAUAUUCCCAGUCGAUGGGUUCAGGUUCCUACAUGAGUAACAAGAGAAUAACAAGUAAUAGUUGUCAGCGUAUUAUAACAUGCGAGCUAGAAAUUAAUAUACAUGAAGCAAAGAGGACAAUGCCCUGUUUCUAGAGUUGGGGGGAGAGAGAGAGAGAAAAUCACAUCUACAUUUCAAAAAGUAACCUUACUACUUGUCAAACUAGUUAUAUAAUCAAUGAACUAAUUAAAAUAAAGGGAAUAUAUGUGCCUGAGUAACACUGAUGCGUAUGGAUACACCAUCAUUGAACUAUAGAUGGCAAAAGAAGCAUAGUAUCAUCUUCAGCAUCCAGCUGAUAUUCUUGAGAAAUAUUGGACCCUUGAAAAAAACUAAGAUGAGUAUGUUUGUGUGAGAUCUCAUGAGCCUGUAUACUUCACAUAAAAUAAUGUUAAUAUUUACAUGCUGGCAUACAUAAGCCUGAAGCUCAUGGUCAAAGGUCUCUCUCUCUCUCUCUCUCUCUCUCUGUGACUGUAAAGAAUAUAUGGAUGCAAAUUUAGUAGGAAAAUUACAGGAAAAAAAAACAAAAUAUUGCACUGGUAGAAAAAAUAAAUGACUGACUAAAAAAACUGUUUUUGUUUGCUCUCUCAAAAAGCAGAAAGAAAAACAAAUGAAGACACUCCAGUGAAACAAGAAUCAAAAAUAUGGCUUAUUUCCCCUGGAGUAUUCUUCAGAAAAGCACAAGCACGGAGGCCAACCAUGGAUAGAAAAUCAGGACUUGUGGGAAGACCCGGUUUGCAAAAGGCAUGAUUUGCUUUUCUUUUUUCUUGUCAGUAUACGAGUGAAUCAAUAUAUAUAUAUAUANNNNNNNNNNUAUAUAUAUAUAUAUAUAUAUAUAUAUAUAUAUAGGUUUCGAUCGUGAUGGUUAAUACAAGUAAGCCAACAGUGGACCAGGUUGGCAAGGACCUUUUUCCUCUACUUUUAAGAGAUUUGAAUACGGCAUGAAUCGGUGUCGAAAAAAAUCACUUUUUUUAAUCCUUGAACACAAAACAUCACAGCAUCUCGAAAGCAUACUUUCGGAAGUUUGUAUUUAAAUUUAGUUCUCGGACCAGAUCAUCCGAGCACAAGCCUCUCAACUGGGCACGAUCGGAACACCAUUUCAAGAAAUACAUCGGAAACAAGAAACGGAAGCCCUAUGGAAGAAUACAGCGAAUCUAGGAAAGAAACCCUAGAUCCCAAAGCAUUCAUGGAAUUGAAAAGAAGCAAAGAAGGACGCGACCGGAUGAGAUUACCUGGCUGAACUUGGUCCGUAGGGAGUGGUUGACCUCGUCGAAGGCGCGGCGGAGGUUGGCGAACUCCUUGCGGGCCUCCUCGGAGACGAGAAGCUUCGCCAUGCCCUCCCAAUCGAUCGACUUGGUGGCCUUCGCGGCCGUCUCCACCACCUUCUUCGUCCCGCUCCCGCUCAUCCUCGCUUCCUCUUGUUUUAGUGGGGAAGGCGGCGUUCCUUCUCCGCUUCCGCGAUCGCUUCUUCCAAUCCUGAGGGCAGGGGGAGCCCGAGGACAUGGCAAGGGAAUGAAUGCGGCUAAAAGAAGGCUCAAAUGGGCCGGACUGGGGUCUCGGCCUGGUCAAUGUACUCUGUUGACCCCGAGAGCCAGCCCGACACUGGCCGGCCCACAAAACGAAGGGCAGCAUGGGCUUGCAAGACAGUGCGAAAGGGCUUAUCGGUCGAUUCGACCUGUAAUUAAUAUUGGAAUCCAUAUAACUCGGUGCAAGUUUGAUACUUUGAGAAGAAUUGAUCAAAUUCCCUCCCGUCCUCCUCCUGAUUAAAAAAAUGCAGUGAAUCUAUGAGUCCUCCAUCGACAUUAGAGAAAUUGGUUGACUCGACUAAAUCCAGCUAAAAUGAUCCACGUAUUCCUGCUCACUUUAGGUUUGAUUAGCUAUAAUUCUGACUCAAUGUAAGAAAUUUGCAAAGUCCAGCAGACAAAUCUGAUAGCCAAGGAAUCAUUUCUGCAAUCCUAUUGUCCUUGAAUGGCUCUCCAUGCAAGUUUAAUGAAUCUUUCAAGUGCAAUCCUGUCUUGCUCGCUAACUUAAUCAAAUCUGCUGUAGCAUAAUUUUGUGCAAGUCUAUAGUGGAUCGAUCUUGUCUCGAUCUAUCCUUUGUACAUGCGUCAUUGAACCUUUUGAUCAUAAUGGCUACCCAUUUCCUCCCAUUCCCUCUGGCCUCUCGUACCUAUGCCCCAUAUUAGCGCAUAUCCCUUAUUGCUUUUAGAUAAAGUCCCUCUGCUCGACGCUUUCUCAUCUUCGUAGAAUUUAUCAACCUGAGAUAAAAUGAGAGCUAAUGACAUAUAUGAUACAUACCAUGGGCAUGUAGACUCUUGUCAUGUAGCCAACUCUUUUUCUCUGACUUUCUUCAUGCAUCAGAGGGCAUUUUUGUUUUGUUUGUAUGCAUAGUUGUGCAUGUAUUUCUUUGUUUUAAUACAUGAGCUGGGUAAAUUGAGUUUUCAAAUUUGGCCUGAGUUCCCUCUGUAAUGGAAUACUCUUUUGCUGUGCUUUGCUGUAGCAUCAUGUACUAUUCAAUUUUGACACCAUAUAGGAAAAAUUGCAUCCUACAAAACUGUACAUGGUAAAAACCACUACCAUUAUUACUCCGUAACAAUUUCAAGAAUCCAAAUCUACUUUACUCAUCAUUAGGGUUCUUCCUUGUUAGAGGAUAUUUAUCAUACUUUGUUUUUUGUGCAGCAUGCUUAAUCUGCUAUUUGGUUUAUGAUUGUAACUAACGUCGGUAGAACCGGUACUGGGCACCAUAUCGGUUGCCCGGCGGAACGAGUCGGUACGCACCCAUACCAUGCCAUGCCAUUCCAAGCCAGUACCGACACAGUAGAAGGCCGGCCUCGGCCGGCCUCUCUCUUCCUCCCUCUCCCUCUUCUUCUCUUCCUCGCUUUCUCUCUCUCUCUUUUUCUUUUUCUUCUCCUCUCCGGCGGCACUAUCUCGAUUUCAAUAUCGGAGACGUUCCGGUCCGUCACCGGUAUGGCCUGGGAUGCCCCAAAUCAAGGGGUUCGGGAUGAUUCCGCAGGCUUUGAUUAUAACAUUUACUCUAUGAGAGUUUUGUGCAUGAUCCUGUGCAAAUGUUAUUUGGCCUGAGUCAGCUUUUUUAAGGUAAUCCAAUAGCUGAUGCUAGAAAUAAGGCUCUUGUUAAACUUGGUAUAAAUACAAAGUUUUUUUUUUUUUUGUACAAUGGCGGCUCACACACGAUGGGUGUGGAUGCGGCCAACAAAAUCAGAAAAUAAAGAACUAUGUAAGGGCUCCGGCACAGGCUACUAUCCAUCUAGAUGAAACCUUCAGAGUGAUGAGCCGCAAAGGAAGCAACCAAGCCGGGGGCACCAUUUGCCUCCCUAUAGAUAUGCGUAGCCUAGUGAAAGCUACACUCUUCCAGUAAUCUGUGAAUGUUGUGGAGCAACGGCCGGUCCUCGCCCGCGCGUCCUCGACCCCGGAUCCACUCGAUUACCAUGGCCAAAUUCUCCUCGUGAAGGAAGCGGUCCGCGCCCAAUAUCCACUUAGCAUAAAGAAUACCCUCUCAAGCGGCUCUAAACUUAGUGCACACGACAGACGAGUCGAAGAUCCGUUGACCCUCCACUGUCACUAGUCUAGUGUUGUGAUCCCUGAUGACAAAACCUACACCUCCAUAUCUCCCGUUCUCAACCAUACUGCCAUCAAAGUUCAUCUUAAAGAAGCUAGGGAGGGGGCAUCUAGGAUACGAGCACAAUCCUGGACCACAAAGUUGUUUUCAAUGAUAUUAGUACAUGCUGCACGCGUAUCAGACUGCUUGCUGGUAGGAGAUGGCACCAUUAGCGGCUGCAAGUGCAAGUGCAACUGGACUGUCUGGUCUGAGUCUGAUCUAAAUAAUCCAAUCAUAUCUGCAUCCAAAAUUCAGAUGCAUCAUGUGGACCUCCCCCCAGUGUGCGACCUACAUGACUUCAAUCUGUACCCACACAGAAAUCCAGCUUGUGAAUGCUCGUAAGUCGUGGACAUUUCAAGCACGCAAGUUCCAACAAUCAUCAGACCAAACAGCCAGCAUGCAGCAUUUUGCUAAGCAGAUAGGAAGGUACACUGGCAUUGAGAUUUGAUAAACAUCGGAUCAUGCAGAGUCAAACGUCACCCAUAAAAACUGAGAAAAAUCAGGUUAUAGCUAAAACCAAAAUGGCAUUAAUCGACUACCUUGGCCUUUUAUCUCCAGAAUUUUGACUAUGAAAUUUGGUGGAUAUUUUUACCUUGCUAUUCAUCAACACGUCCCUAAUGUUCUGUGACUGAACUUUGCUCCCAAGGGUGUUCCUCGCAGAAUUUCACACUCCCAAUAAAGUGAAAUACCAACUACCUUUACCAGACAACGAAAUAUCAAUUACAACAGUCAGCUUGUCUGAAACAGUAGGAAUUUAUGCAGUGGUCUCAGAUAUAAACAAGACAAUUACAUUCACAGGGAAACCUAGAGAGCAACAGAGAAACACAUCCUAACAGUCAGCAAAUAACAAAUACAGUUCAAACAUAUGUGUUUGUCAACACGUGCCAAAAUGAGAGCAAAUGUGUAAUCCAUAACCCUACUUGAGCAGAACAACCUUUGCUCCAUUUACCAACAAAACUGGACUAAUAAUAUACUGGUCACCAUCUUCAGUUGCAAAUAAGUUUUGCUCAGGGAAGUCUUGGACUUACAGAGUUUCAAUUGCAAAUAUAGGCUUCAGAUCUGAUUGUGACUACAGGUUAUAGAAGAAAACAAUAUGACUGAUGGCCUAUUUUUAUUCCUAAUUGAAUUGUUUAAAUAACAAUUUCGUCACAUAACAUCCCCUGCCGCUGAAACAGUAAAUCAUCUCCAAAGGGAAGAAAACCCGCAUCAUUCAAUACCGUGGUUGUGGCUAAGGACAUCCUUUUUUGGCAUCACUGCUGUUUUGAUGGAUCAGAUUUUGUAUCCUCAGUGGAACCCCACUGGGAGGCUAGCCGCUUUGUCCUCUCUAGAACACUGAAGAAAAUUGAACCGCCAAUACCAAUCCAUAAAACUCUUGGUCCAAUACCCUGUCAAAGAAAUCAAAUCAUAUGAACGUAAAAGAAGUUCAAUCCUUUUUUACCUUCUGAAGUAUUCAUCUUUUUUUGAUAGUAGCAUCCUUAUUUGGUACAUAUACAACAUGUCUACUUCAUAUAGCAUAAAUCUUCCAAUUGGCACAAAACUGAAUGAUGGAUUAUGGAAUAAUGGGUCAGAAACCAUAUUAAUCUAUCAACAAAAAGGAUGCUUUAACCUAGACUGAUGUUAGUUAUCAGAUGCCUAGAUCAUUGUGUAUAGCAUUCAGUCUGUUAAUACCACAUGUACAAAUAGUUUGAUUUAAUUACUUCAAUUGCAGAAAUUACGUUAGUAUAAUUAACAUAAGCAGUCUUUGGUACAACAAAAAAAUGCACAAGACAAUGGCUCCAGAUCAUUCCCAAUUUUACAUCCUAGAGACAAGAUUAUCAUGAUGAAGCCUCCUAACAACCUUGCUAUACUGGCAAUUUGUGUUAACCAAGAUUAAAAAGUACGUGCCAGUUCAAUAGGUAAUGGGUACCCAAGAUAGCUGCUUUUGUGGUGAUAAGAAGCAUGGUAUAUUGCCACAUAAUAUACUACUGGGGGUAUAUAUGGGUUUCUAGAUUGACUAAAGGCAGAAAAGCACAAGAUAAUGCGAUCAGACCUUCAAAAAAGCAGCUGGACCUUCUUCUCUCAUAAUAGUCUGAGCACAAUUAAGCAGCCCAUUGUAUUGGUUUGCCGAGCCCUGCGACACAAGCCCGAUGAACAACUAAAUUUCAACAAGGUUAUUACACAUAGCAAAAUUUAAAAGAACAAACAAUUCUACCUGAACCAUCAAUCUUGUCUUCAUUACAUCAAGUGGCGUAGUUACAGCUCCAGUUAUUGCACCUGUAAACAUGAGAAAUUCUAUCAACAGAGGCAAAAAAGAUAGAAUUUUGACACACUACCUAGAAAUUUAUUGGUGCAAUUUUUAAGUGGAUGCACAUGACUAAUAUUGUAAUUGUGCAUGUACAUGCAAGCAUUAGUUGUUUCCGGAAUGAUGUGACUUGAUAAGUGAUAUAAUAGUUAGCUGCGUAAACCAACGGUCUACUUGCACUUUGCUGAAGAUGGCCAACUACCCGAUGGGUCAUCUUCCACGGUACAUCCAAGUAAAACCAUGAUGACUCAUGCAGAAGUCAUUUUCAUGACAGUGAAAGUCAUAGUUAGGAAAAAAAAAUGCCACAAGUAACCUUCAGGUUUAAGACUUUUUGGUACUAAUUUUUGGAUAGGCGCCCUGAAUCUGAGAAUAGAAUCCAUGUGUACAAAACAUGUCUGGCAUUAAGAACACGAAGUUGAUAACGGAAUUUAUGAGGUGUAGUGUAGACGAGUUAUAUACAUCUAGGUAACAGCACACAAGGCACUAGAAACAAGACCAUCGAAAGGAUUUGGAUGUACCAGCAAAGGCACCAAUUACAGCAUUCUCUGGAUCAUUUAACUCUCUCCUUGCCUGCAUGAAUAAGAAAAAUAAAAGAGGAAAGAAGAGGGCAUUAGUUUUUAGUUUACAUCUUCCCUGGCGUCAUUCCCCAUCUUCUCAACACAAAGUUCCUGUACAGGAAUACAAGUCAAACAAGAAACAUUGGAAACAAACUAGUCUAUCUAGCUUCUUUCAAACCAUAUGAUACAGCAUCGUAUAUUAUACUUUCUUUUUUUUUUCUGGGAUAGAGAUGAAGGCAACAUACUUUAUUGACUUAUGGUACGAAGAAAUCUCAUGGAUUAACUACAGAUUAGCACAUUUCAAUCUCAACAAGAACCUUUUUCCUUUGAAAACCCAUAUGCCUAAAAACAUGAGCACCUUUAAACCCCAAGAUACAUAUCCUUGUCUGCAGACAGGACACAUGGUAAAACUCCAAAAGAUUAAAUGUAAAAGAUCAUCACACUUUCCAUGUAAAUGCAUUACCUGGACUAUCCUAAUGAACAAAUUCAUCUAAGACAAUUUCUUGUGCGCUUGUACAUCUAUUCCUCAGUGUCCACCUGAGUGUCAACACUUCUUAGUUUAAGGCGGGACUCCCCUUUUUGGAGCAAUUAGGCUUAAUUUGCAAGAUGAACUUCAAAAGUUCAUAAUAGUGAGGUCUGGAAUUGCCUUAAGCUUUCAUCAGCAUCAUAAUCAUUGGAGGAAGAUUGGAUCAAGCAGCUAAAUGACUAUUUCAUGGUAUUGUUCCUUAACUUUCAGAUUAAACUUAGGAGAGGUAAGGCCUUUCACCUUAUGCUCUUCACAAUUGCACCAAAAGUUUUGAGAGAGACAAAUGCUUAGUCCGCUUGCACGAUAGAUCCUUCUAGAUAAUUUGUCGCGACUCCCAAAUUUCUUCACUAACAAAUCCCUUGUAAGAAGAAGACUUAAGAGGAAUUCCCAAAUAUGUGAUGGGAAGGGAAACAAUCAUUGAACUCAAAGCUUCCACCAGAAUCUUAACUCUCCCCCGAUGCCCAUUCAACCUCCCUACAAAUUUCGAAGUCACAUCAAACAAUGAAGCACAAACUUGAGACUUCAAAAAAUUGUUCAAAUUUUUCUUUUAGGUAGCUCAGCCUCCACUGAGAUCCAAAUUCUCAAAUCUUGUUCACGCCCUAAAAAAGGAAAGUACUAUUUCCAACAUUGGACAGGUGGUGUGCAAAGCCAACCAGUUGCUUCAUGAGCACCUUUAAACCAUUCGAUGAUGUUGUCAGUUGGAAAUUAGAUGUUUUCAAAUCUAGUGUGUGUCAAGAAUUUUAAGAACAGGAAAUAAAUAAUUGACUAGGAUCAACUGAAUAUAAUUAUAUGAAUGGCAUGAAUACUCUUUCUACACCAUGUAAGAAGCACUAGCUUCAUUACAAAGAUAUCUUGAGGCAGAUAAUAAAUCAUCUCCAUCAAAUGAGUACAAAUGCAGUAUGUCAUCUUACAAAAAUUAGUUAGUAUGAAGCAUACCGCAAUCUUAUAUCCAAUUCGAAGCUGCUCAUAUAUACAAAAUUGGAUGGCAUCAAAUGGUAGAUCUCGCAACAGAAAGGAACUGUAUCCCUACAAACACAAAAAGGAACAAUGCCAAGCAUCAGAUACAUAAAAUCAUCACAUGGCCUCAAAUGCUGUUAUAGUUGUUAAGUAUCUAUAAUGACAUGAAAUUAGCAACAAUAUAAGAGGUCACAAACUCAAUUAAAUAAAAGCAUAAGGACAUCAUAAAUUUAAGUUAGGCUGAACACAAUACAUACAGCAUAAAGACCUCUAAAACCUUCUUUAGCAAUGAUAAGACGAACAGCAUCAGGUGCAGAGGCAAACUGCCCAGUCUGCAUCCUUUGUUUGACUACCUGAAACAUGGCAACAGCAAGAGUGAACUUAGAGAAAUCUUAGAAACUCUACCAAAAAAAUAUGUACUUACCUCUGUAGGAACACGAAUAAGUGAAGAAGCAGCUCCUCCAAUGGCACCUGCAGUCUGAGUGGAAUUUUUCAUCUUAGCGAAACUAACAGAAAAGUAACAUAAUUCCAAUAACAUCUUAAUGCUGGUCAACUAAAUCUAAAAUAACAAUGUCAUCUAUAUCUAGUUUAAGGGAUAUGUUGCAUUUAAUUGUCAGCAAGCCAUGAAAAAGCACUGAUAAGCCUAUUUAUUGUGAAAAAGCCAGACUCAGGAGUUUAAAGCCCUACCAAGCUUUGAACAACAACCCAGAAAUAUAAGCCACUUUACAAAAUUUAAUUAUUAACAGAGUUGCACCCAUGGUUUGCCGUACCGGCCUGAACCAGAUGGUACGGGGCGUACCGUACUGUACCGUACUGGUUCAGUACCAAUACCUAGUAUGUGUGGCAUACCGACACUCGGUACACAAAAAAAAUUCCGUUCUGUAGUACCGACACAGUACUAGUGUGACACCGAUGCGAGGUCUGGUACCAAGACGGUAAACCUUGGUUGCACCGAUGUAUAAUAUGUACUAUACACAUAACAGAUUUUAUACUAUAAAUGGAUCAGAAUUCAAUUUCUGAAUUCAACAGUGCUAACACUGUAAGGACAUCUAUACUAAAUGAACAUCUCGCUCACAUAUGGAAGGAAAUUUGGUGGGCUAUAGAAGUCUGCAGUAUCAUGGAUGACUAAAGUAGACAAGUAUUUCCAUAGGUAUCAAAACUUCCAAACUAAUAGAUAGUGCUCGUUCUAGGGAUGGAAGAUCCAGUCCUGAAUAUGGGUACAAACGCAGUCGACAGAGCAGUAAUCAUCAUGUGACAUCAAAAUAAUCUCCCCGAGUAACAAGUCAGAGAGAUCAUUGGAGAAAGAGAUUGCUUCUAUUGAGUUAUGCAAUUAAGAUUCUUUAAAGUAGAAAAUGCUAAUCAAUUGCUCGAGCAUCCUUCUUCCCAAAUUACAAGAAUAGAAGGACAGGCACAAAUAUGAAACAAUAAUGGAGUUGGCAAACAAACAACUAUAUAAUUAUAAUAGAUACUGAUUGAAUAAAGAUAAUGUUAAAUGAAUAUGAUACUUAUGGAGGAGUUGCAUGGACUUAUUCCGGGUAGCGAAUUACCAGGAUUAUUAGUUGUGCAAAUACUUGCAACUUCUCAAAAGUAACUAGUUCGCAAAAUGCUUGGAACCUUUGAUCAACUUGGGGAACGCAUGUAAUGAAGGUUGAGAAAUAGUAACUGGAAAGGUGCUGUGUCAGACAUAACGAUGGGUUAUAGCAAGAUCAUAAUUACAGUACUAGGGAUAAGAAACAAGAAUGAGUGGUGAAGGUGGGAGUUUUACAGAAGUGGUGGACCAAGGGCUGGUCUUUUUGCCAUGUCCUCCUUACACUUGUCAUAGUAGUCCAGGCGGUUCAUAUUGCAGAAUCCCCAUGUCUCAUGCUAUACAUUGCUGCUAUUCAUGUGGGUGGUGCUGCUAAUUCUUGAAGCAUUAACAUAAUCCAAUGCAUAUAAGAAUGUAUAAAUACAAGUUGAGUAGGCGUGUAAUAAGCUACAGAAUGAUUCAAAUCUUGCAUGACGGGGAAACUCCUGGUUUCCCCACAGAACUGGACAUGCCACGUCCAACAUAGUCAUAGUAGCCAUCUUGAUCAAGUGUUCUAAUACUUUCUUGGGCCGCCCUUUUAUCUAUCUUUUAUUUUUUAUUUAUCUUAGAAGUUUUAUUGUUUUAUUUGUUAUAAAAUUAUUGGACUCUUCAAGUAGCAUAUUUAGUUUUAUCAAAAAAAGUAGCAUAUUUAGUUUUAUCAAAAAAAGUAGCAUAUUUAGGGUGAAUUGGCCUUAUUUAUUGUACUCUAAGGCUAAUAUUUGCUAUGGUCAAAACCUAUGUAACUCUGCUUGUAUCUAUUUCUUUGCAUUGUUAUUAGUCAGUACCUAAAACUAGCUUCAAGUCGCUACGCUUGUUCCCACUAUUUUAAAUUUAAAAUAUUUUUUAAUAAUUUUCACAUAAUUUUUAUUCACACCCCCCAAUGGGUACUUCAUAUGUUUUUUCCAACCUGAGAGUAGUAUCUUGGUCAGAAUAGUUUUAAAUUAAUUUUGAUAUUUGGGUGUAGAUUUGGGUAUUGCCAAACACAUCCAAAAUUUAUCCAUAAGAAACACUGGCCUUGCAUAUGUGGUGAGCAGAUAGUUUUUGUAAAUCUUUAAUUCUUUUAGAUAAACAGAGAUUAAUGCAUAUGAUGCUUUCUCUUAACAAUUUAAUCUUAUAAACUAAUUCUACCUAACAAGAAAAUAUAUUAUGCUAUAAUGACGUCAUAUAUUAUCCAUUCUGUUGGAACAAUAAUUUACAUUCAUGGACAUAAUUAGCAAUAACUAAUAAAUGAGAAAACAUUAUACAAAUGCAAGUUACCUUCCAUCAAGCACAUAACAGAAUAUUUCUAAGACAAUUGCUGGAAAAUUUCAUGAAAAACAUAAAAAGCCUGAAAUAAAUGAAAUCAGUUUGCACUUACCAGAUGAGCAAAAGCGCUAAGAUUUGCAGGAAAAACCUCUAGUAAUUUUCGCUUAGUAGGUUCAUAUAUACCCACAAAUACAGCAGAUGCUCUGUUCGAUAAAAAGGAAUAUUAAUUUGCAAAUUGCAGAAUUUCAAAGCAAUAAUAGAAUAUGAAUAAUGCCAUAGCUGAACAUAAGAAAGAAUUCUCCUAGCUCUCAAUAAAAAAUAACAGCAAAUGAAGCUAUAAGAUGGGCAGCAAACAUUUGGAAGAACUCAACCAGAAAAGACUAAAGAGAAACCACACAAACUAGGGUUUCUUUAAUAUUAUCCAAGAACAAUAUUUCCACAGAAAAAUCAAUGGCAAUGCCUUUAUAUAAGACAGAUAACUCUGUAAGUAUUUCCACAUAUGCAAAGAGUGAUGAGAAGAAGAAAUCAAGACAGCUAAUAGUGAUCCAGCUGCAACAUAGAAUUUGAAACAAAAUGACUGUAUACGCAAAAGCGCAAGAAAGAAAGAGGUUAUUAGAAAAAAGGCCCAAUGGAUAACACUUCUAUUUAGAUAAAUUCAUGAAGAAGUAAAUCUAUAUUAUCCAGCUUAGCAUGAGAAACCUAUAACUUGCGUUUAAGAUACUCACGGUAACACCCCAGCAAGAUUGCCUGCCAAUCCUGAAUAAAGACCUUUCCAAUAAAUUUUGCUUCCACCAUGAGCAGCCUGGGAGGGAAAGAGAUUCCCCGUUUAAAAGGACUUUACCAUAUUGUUUCAACAAAAUGUUAUCUCAAGUGGAACAACCAUAAAAGCCCAGACUUGAUAUUAUACCAAAAACAAAAUUAAAUACAACCUUAAGGCAAGCUAAUGACCAGCACAGGCAUGGAGUUAUAACAUAUGGAAAACAAAUGGAAAGUGAAGCAGAACAUAAGGUAGAUCAAUAGAAAUGAACAUUAUAGUUUACAAGAUUUAAAGAUCAUAUGAUGCCGCAUAAGCUUCUUUCAUAUUUUCUAUGUGAGGAUAUCAAAUGGGCAAGCAGAAGCUAUCGUGAUACCAAGACAAAAGCAUGUCAAAGUUUUGCUUGUAGACAGGGCAGUGGUGGUUGAUUUGUCAGCUGCACAUGCAAAAAGAAAAUUAUUUUUAUCUCACAUCUAGAACAUGACUAGCAUCAGGAAAUUUGGAGUUCACACUUGUAUACAGCAAAUUCUAAGUAAAUCCAGCAAAUCAUGGAAGGAGUUGUUCGAAAAUGAAACCACCAAAUACAACACAUCCAGCUUGUCCAGUUAUAGUGCAUCCUGCAUAUCAAGAUGGAUCUGGCAAUAAACCCAGAAAUGCAAAAAUUUAUUCACUCAAGCAAGAACCAAAAUUACAACCAAAAAAAUCCUCCUUGCCACAGAUAAGGAAAAGCUUGAUAUUAAUCAAACAGUAUCUUUUCAUUUCUCCAUGGGGUUCAUCACAAUGUUAGCACAAUCCUCCCAAAUGGGGCUUGGACAAUAACAUUAGAUACUUACAGGAACUAUAGCACUCUUGAAGGAUCUAAGCAAGGUUUAAUUUUACAACCAGAUGAAUAUUUUGGAAAAACCAUUUCAAUUCUUGAGGAUUUAAAGGAAGAAGUGAUGCCAAAACAGGUAUUAGCCAAUGUUGAAAAUCUGUCCUUCUUAGACAAAAAAUCUAUGGUUUUGUCUGGAAUGCUGUAUUUUUGGAUGGAACUGUUUGUCUGAAACAAUGGAACGUCAGCAUUCACAACCUACCUUUCAUAUUACAGAAACUCGUUCAGAAAAUAAUAACUGAAUGGUCGCUACUAUAAAGUGUAAGGUCAAGAAUCCAUCAAAAUUAGUCUCGCAUCUAUCAGCAGCACAACUUGGCACAUGGAGGGCUAAUGUAUAUAAAUGCAGUAUGCAAUCCAAUAAGACAUUUACCUCUGGCAUAGAAAUAUCUACUGACAUUCAUGAUUUUAUCAAACAUUACACAUUAUAACAUCACGUCCAAAACCAUUAAGAGCCAUAACAUUUCUGCAGGCAGGCUAAGAACAGUGAUAUAAUAGUAAAAGAAAAAACAAUAACAAAUGCUUUCUGGAUGAUUAGCCUGCCUGAAGCCGAGUCUUUAUCGUAUCAAUUGGAUAUAAAACUGUUUCGACAACAACACCAGCAGUACCUCCAGCUAUAAUACCCUCUGAAAAAAACACAAAUAUCUACUUUAAACAAAAAUAAGUGAUAUGUAAUGUAAAAGAUAUUUACGGUGAGAUAUGGUUCCACCGCAAAAGCAUACUAUAAUACUAAUAUACUCAUGAGAGGAUUGCUCAGAUGGUCCUCUCACCUUUGAAGUCAAUGAUAGGCCAUCUAAAUUCAAGAUUCAGACUGUGUUUCCCAUGUCGGACCAUGCCAGGUGCACUAUACCAUACCACAAAACAACCCGUACUAAUAUUGUACUAGAAUGGUAUUGGUAUGGGUACUACAACCCGUAGUGUGAACCUUGAUUUAAACCGUUGAACAUGAUAUAGCGUUACAAAAAAAAUAUAUCUAGAAACUAAACUUCAUAUAUUUUGAUGGUCUAUGACCUAAUCAUCAAGAAAGUAUCAAAAUGAACAUCUUUAAUGGCAUGAUACCAUAUUUUACUAUGAUCUAAUCAUCAAAACAUAGUGAACCUAAAUCUGCCUAUGGUUUAAAUGGGUAAAUUAUGAAGGGAGGGAGGAUCUGCAUUCUACUUUCACCCAUGCCAAAAAAGGCAGACUGAUAACCCGAUGCACUGCCAAGGUCAGGGAAGCUCACCAGAAACAUUUUUACCAUGCUUCCACUAAAGAGAAAAAGUACUCUUCACGGGAUCUCUUGUGGAAAAUUCAACUCUUCCAAGGAUGAGAACAAUUUAUGUGCCCUAUCUUUUUAUUUUACCAUACUAAUGCAGUUGAUAUAGUUCAUUUUCGUACCUGAUUUGAUGCAUAGGUUAGAGACCACCAAAACAUAUGAAGUUUGGUUUCUACACAUUUUGUGUGGUAUAGGUCAUGCUCAACAAUUUGGAUGGCAUAUCAUUGAUUUUGAAGGUGGGAGGAGCAUCUCAACCAUCCUCUUGCGAGUAAGCAUCGAUACAUUCACACAUACAUAUGUUCUUCUCCCUUAUCUCAUGAAUCAACAUGCACUUCUAAUUGAAUAACAAAAGGUUAUAGAACCAGAGUGCUUUGUUGCAUGUUCUACUUUUCCAUGUGUGGAUGCGUGAGAAUAAAUAUCAUUACAUCCAUGUGUGAAAUAUUUGAAACUUCAAUAAUGGGUAUAGAUCUAUGACUUAAUAAAAGUAUAAUGCAUCAUUAAAUACCAAUCAUAUAUUCACUGUAAUGUACAUUUUCUUUUCUUAAGGUAAUCUGAUUGCAACACCACGAUCUCAUGAUUCCAAACCAAGAAAGACCAACAUGUUAACCUAGAAGUUGAACCUUUGCAUCAUAUUUGCUAUUGGAUUAUUGUACAAUUUAUUUAGAAUUUUGAAAAGCAAUUCUUAAGCCUGAUAAUGUUAUUUUACUUCAGAUGGUGACAUGUCUAUGCAAAUCUUUUAUUGAUGUAUAUGGUUUGACCUCCUUAAAGCAAGGCAGACAGUUCAACAAGCCAAUUUCAUUGUUUCAUUUUAAAACAUUGUAGUACAAGUCUUGAGCAGUCAGACAGGAAUUAUUAUAAACAAAUUUAUAAGAUGCAGAAUUUACCACAGAAUACGCGAAGAAAAUUCAAUGGCUUUUCUCCUCCCACGGUAACUGAUGAAAAGGGCUUUGGUGUCUCCAUUAUAGGGUGAUGGAACUUACUUGAGGAUGCAUCUACAAAACCAAAAAUGAAAAAUAAAUAGCCUGCUUAGGGGGGAAAAUGGUGAGAAUAAGCAUGAUCUUUUUGAUAACACAUGAAUAUAAUGGCACCAACUUCAGCUACUAAAAUUUAUUAUUUGAUCAGGUUCUGUAACACAUACAAUGUCUACAUGGGUACAAAGACUACAUGCAUCAAAGACUAGGCAUGCAUCAAUGAAUCCCGAGGACUCCUAUCUGCAAAUUGAAGGAUAUUCGUUAUAAAAAAUGAAGAGAAUAUUUGUUAAGGUUCAUAGCAGAUGAUUAAUCUGUUGUGUCAAGGGCCAGGAAGAGUUUUAGCAUUCCUCAGAGGAGUACAGAGAAAUGUUAUGCCUUAUUGAUGACAAGUAGGUUUCUUUAUGAAGAAAAUAUAAAAUAAUGGCACAACAGAUAACAACGGAAGGACACAAAAGUAUCAAAAGAAAUCAAGCUUUUAUGCUAAUAUAUUACGAGGUAUAUUAAAGUGUUUAGUUGUGUUGUUUUACGCUUCCAAUCUAUAUACCAUCAUAUCAGUACAAAAAUUUAUCACCAAGAAAGAAAGGGGAAAAACCAGAUAAGACAAGAGGUUAAUCCAAAAUACAAAGCCUCUACCAGUCAUGCAUCACAAUUAAAAUCAUCCCGGAAAUGCUACUUAUAACACUCCAACCAAAGUAUCAUUUGUAGAUUAUAUCUUCCUUUAUGUGAUUACUAUGCAAAACAGCAGAAGCUACCUGAUGAAACUGCAGAACUUCUAGUAUCGACAGCCAAUAUUGGAGGGCCCAUCAAGUUCCAACUAUCUGCACCUGGGGUCAACAAAAGAUAAUUUUCAACUUGAACCAUCACGCAUCAUCAAACUCUUCAUAAAAUGUGAGACUUCAGUUUCAUUAUCAAAGGCGGAAAAUUCUAUGCACAUAAAUCAAAAGGAAGAUUAUAGUGAUUGGUUACAAAGCUAGGAAUUGAAUAAUUUCAGGGAGAAAUCCUGCUCUAAUAAUUGUUAGAUAAGGCAUAUUUUUGUCAAAUUUAUGACUCUGAAUUAAUAAGCAUGAAUGUACUGUCAUAGAUGUCAGCAAGAAAAGAAAGAAAGAGAGAGCGAAGAAAAGAAUAGCAUUCCCAUCGGUACUAUGUCAAAAAAAAAAAAUGUCAUACAUUAUAUAGCAUGACCAUGCAAUCCUUAAAGACUGAAUACAUCCGUCAGAAGCAUUAUUUAUUAAAAACUAACCAGAUUAGCAUUUUAAAUUAAUGCCUACAGAUAGAGAAUUGGAGAUGAAGAAAAAACAGCAUGAUCCACAUCUGUCUGAAAACUAAAUUGAAAGACACUGUUUGAGAGCAAUUUGUACUACCAAAUAUACCCAUUAUAGGAAAAAGGAAACGAAAGAAAAAAAAAUGAUGACCAGGAAUCUUUCCCCUUUGCAGUCCACCAAAAAUGACAUUCUUGGUUCUAUCAUCACAGAAACUUCACGAAAAUCAAAUACCAAAGAAAACGAAAAUAAAAGAAUUUGUCGCGAAACGCAACCUCUGUAGAUGCAGUUCAAAACCAUGCCCACGAAACUAAAUUUCAAAGAAAUCCCUUUACUCAGUAACGCCUGGAAAUUAAUCUAUAAAUUAAAAAAGAUACAGCUUAUAAUCAAAUCGUGUCACCAAACAUAGACAUCAAAGAUCAAGAAAGGAAGAAAGAAGAAAGACAAAGAAAAUGCGCCCCAGGUUCUUCCCCGAUUACAUGGUGAUGGUGUUCUUCGUCAUAUCGCUCCAUAAAGCUCGGAAAAAAAAAAGCAUCGAUUACAGAAUUCGAAGAGAAGAUAACAAGAAUUUUGCCACGAAAUGUAAAAUCUUGCAGAUAUCGCCGCAUAAAAAUAACGUAAGUUUACCUUUUUGGAAGACCGGCUUUCUUGGAAGAACGGCCUUCUUGGGAGGACUGCAGGAAGAGGGAGGGACAGAGCGAGCGAGCUGUGGAUGUGAAUCGGUGAGAUGGGGUGUUAAGAGGGGAUUUCUUGAGGGUUUUGGUUGGCGGCGGCUCAGGUCAGGUCUGACUUCCGACCCAGCGACCGGGCCGAACCCGGCCCGUUCCGUCCCGGCCAGAUUCACCUCUCAGGCCCAUGCAUAGAUCGGACCGGAACCGUCGCUGGUUGGGCAGCCCAUUUAUAGAGCAAGGCGCUGGGCGCCACCCCUCGUGUGUCAAACGCCAACUGUUUUAAAGGAAAUUUUUGUUGCAGGAAAAAUAUAAACAUAAUAAAAUAAGAAUAAAAAAACAAAAUCUUUUUCAUGUAAAAGAAAAAGUAUUUCUGGAGACGUAGGAAAAGACAUGCUAAAAUUAUCAACUUUCUGUUGAAACAAACGAUUUAAGACUAGAUUUUUCAAGGAAAACAACUUUCCAAUUCAGAUUUUCCUUGCAGCCAAGCAUGUCCCCAACAGAAAACGGUUUCCUCCUACCUUCCUCUCCCGCCAUUGUUAAGAGACUCCAUCGAACAUCAUCAACAAGGGACCUCUUCUCAAAUCUUCCUCCUCCCAGCAGCUCCCAAUGGAGCCUCCUCGCCGAAGAACCAUGAUAUGGGUCCUGUGCGCUGCCCUGGUGGCCUCGGCCGCAUCCACGGAAGCCAUCGGCGUGAACUGGGGGACCCAGACGUCGCACCCGAUGCCCCCAAAGAUCGUCGUCCAGAUGCUCAAGGACAACGGGAUCCAGAAGGUCAAGCUGUUCGACGCGGAGUCGUCGGUGAUGAGCGCCCUGGCCAACACAGGGAUCGAGGUCAUGGUUGCCAUCCCGAACGAUCAGCUCGAGCAGAUGGGCACCUACUCGAACGCAAAAGCCUGGGUUCACGAGAACGUCACAGGUUACCGAGAUGUCAAUAUCAAGUAUGAUGAAUUAAAUUAUAGUUGGCCAUCUUUGCAUCAUCUCUUAGCUUCUUUUAUAUAAUAAUAUUACAUAAACAUGCAUUUCUGGUCAGGUAUGUUGCCGUGGGGAACGAACCCUUCCUCAAGAGCUACAAUGGCACGUUCUUGAAAGCCACGUUCCCUGCACUCAAGAACAUUCAGAAGGCCCUGGAUGAGAUGGGAAGCAAGCAGAUCAAGGCCACCGUCCCCAUGAAUGCCGACAUCUACAGCUCCCCAGAGGACAACUCCGUGCCUUCUGCAGGGGACUUCCGCUCCGAAAUUCGUGAUCUCAUGGUCGAAAUCGCGCGGUUCCUUAGCUCCAACGGCUCGCCCUUCGUCAUCAACAUCUACCCCUUCCUCAGCCUCUACGAAAAUCCCAACUUUCCGGCGGACUUCGCCUUCUUCGAUGGCGGCGGCCGGUCGAUCAACGAUAAGGGCACCAAGUACACCAACGUGUUCGACGCCAACUUCGACACACUCGUGUGGGCCUUGAAGAAGGCUGGCAUCUCCAGCAUGAAGAUCAUAGUCGGCGAAGUCGGCUGGCCGACGGAUGGCAGCAAGAAUGCGGACGUAGCAGGUGCGAAGAGAUUCUACGAUGGGUUGAUGAAGAAGAUGGCGAGCAAUACUGGCACGCCGGUGAGGCCCGGGCCGAUGGACGUCUACCUCUUCGCCUUCAUCGACGAGGACAUGAAGAGCAUCCAGCCGGGCUACUUUGAGCGGCACUGGGGGAUCUUCACGUACGACGGGAAGCCCAAGUUCCCGAUGGACCUCUCGGGCAAGGGAAAUGGUAAGUACUUGGCAGGCGCAUCCGGGGUGGAGUAUCUAUCGGAUGAGUGGUGCGUCUACGAUCCGAGUGCGAGGAAUCAGGAGGCAGUGCCACGGAGCAUGGAUUUUGCGUGCUCCAACGGGGACUGCACGGCAUUGAUGGGCUCAUCGCCGUGCAGCAAGUUGGAUCGCAGCGGCAGGGUAUCGUAUGCCUUCAACAUGUAUUUCCAGAUGAAGGACCAGGACGUCAGGGCGUGCGACUUCCAAGGCUUGGCGAAGAUCACCAGCAGGAAUGCGUCCCGAGAUGGCUGCUUGUUCCCCAUACAAAUUGUGAAUGCCGCUGGAAGAAGCCCGGCGGAGUUGGGCUUACUGAUGCUGCCAUGGAUUGCUGUAUUAUUAUUUCUAUGAGAGAGAGGACUCACUCGGAAGGGUACUGGUGGGGGCUGCUUGUACAGUAGAUUUGGUGAAUGUCUGGGGGCCAACUAAUACAUAUUAGUUUAUCAUGAAUUCAAAUUCAUAUAAAUCUAAUCACAAAUAUUACGAUCGAUCAUGAUUGGUCAAUUCUAAUAGGUUCGUACUGCAGUGUCUCCUAGUUCAUAUAGAUUAUAAGCCAGAUCCGCUCUGAUAUCAUUAGAUUGUGGCCUGCACGGCUCUUGAAAUAGCCGUUGCAUAAUUCGAUCUGGAUAUGUGCGAGGGAUCCAACCCCUGUUCUAUAAUCACAGCCUAUUUUUAGCAAGCACAACCGUACAUUCUCAGUCUCAAGUUUCAAAUAUCUGGGCGAAGAAGAAGGCAAAAAAGAUGAUUGAAAAUACAAAGUAUUUUCAACCAUUCAUAGAAUAUUCUUUUGUCUUAAAUAAGUUACAUACAUUACACUUGCUAGUUACUCCUUAAAAAUAUGCCAACACAUUAAACUAACAAUACCAAAAAAUGACGGAAAGCACUUGAAUUACAUUAAGGAGUGAGGGUCACUUGCUAAAUGAAAGGCUAUAUAUCUCAUAAGUAGAUAUUUCAGGACAUGGCAUAGUUUGUACGUUCAUAUGAACAUGCGAAUGCUUCACAAUUUUGGGAUGGUUCAUGUGGACUACUAUAAAUCUCAUUAACCUUGAACUGCAUGGCCCAAUACAAAUCUGAAACAGAGAGAGAAACCUACACAUGACCUAUAGAGUUUUUGAGAUUCACGAGAAGUUGCAAAAUAGAUUGCAACCAAAAUCUGAUACCAAGUUAACUUCAUUCUUAUUUUCUUUUCUAGGUUGGCGUUGCCAUGUUUUUUGCGAGGUUCGUUUAUUUAAAAACUUCUAAAUCUUUUCAACCCUUGAAAGGAGAAGGGUCGACAUCAAGUCAUCUAUAUAUCUAUAUAUAAUCAUGGGGAGAUCUAGAAGGAAUGAAACUAUUUACUAUGAAGAAUGGCAAAUGUUAGUGAGCAUCUCAUGCCUAGACUCGAGACUAGAGCAUUUGAAAACCCCUUAAUGUGUGUUAUUUGAAAAAUAAUCUUGCAAAUCAAUAGUUAAGUGGCUUCUUUGUGCAAGGUUUAUAUCUAGCUAUAAUAUAUAUAUUGUGUGCACGUAUGUAUAAAUUGCAAGGCUAAUAAACUUUCUUCCCUGAGCAUAGCACAGCACACGAAUAUUGCAAAUGUAAAAUAUUUGAUGGCCAUGUGCAUGCAUUUCUUGGAAUCAAUGAUUCUUUGAAUGCAAUUUAUUUUUAACUUAAAAAGCAUCAGUUGGAGAGAGUAUUCUUAUGACAUGAAAACCAUAAGCACUCAAAAUUCAAUAUAAUUGAAAAUGACGAUGAUGGAUGUCUCUAAAUUUCAUUCUAGAUAAUCAAUGUUUUUAAAACCAAUUGGGAACCAGUCGUCGCCUAUCCAUUUAGGUUGAAAGGAUCAUUUAAAGAAGGUCAAAAUUCGAUCGAACUCAGGAGAACCGGAUAAACUAGUCAGACCAGUUGGUUUGAUCUAGUUUGGAUUUUUUUUUGAAAAAAUCAACUCAAAAAUAGCUGCGGAUGAAAUAGAUUUUUUUUUCUUCUUUUUUAGACCGAAACUUAAGCAUCCGAGGCUCUUCCUUUAUUCUCUGGUCUCCGACGGCCCUCUCUCUCCUAUUGUCUUCUCUUUGAUGCUGUUGAUGAAGAUGAUGACCAUAUGUGGAUGGUCAUUGGUGCUGUGGUGCAACAUGCACGUCUUCAGCGCAUUGAUGAAAAACUUCAGAUUUCAAAUUUGUGUGGAUCCCCCACGAUCCCAUAUGUCGACGAUUUUAACGAGGGAUAGGGCUAAUGUGGUCCAUGAUCAUGAGCACAUCAAGGACGUCAUCACAGCCAUCAAGGUGUUGAUCCCCAACUCCAAGGACCCCAUGAUUGCCCCUUUCGUCCACGAUCUCCAGUCCCGGGUCUAUAGUUCUCCCGACAUUCUUCGUCAGAUAGUGAUUGCGAAUUUCUUUCUUCUUUUGGAUUUAUUAUUUGUAAUAUACUCUGAAAAUCUGAUCUUUUUUGUGGUUUUUGGCUUAUUUGGUCGGGACAAAAGAUAUUAUGCCUAGAUUGCUAGUUUUUUCUUAUGGAUUUAUAAUCACUAAAUUCUAGUAAUAAUUUAGAAAAGUGCAACAGAUUUGAAUGCUUUUGGUUUCGUAGUUAUGGUCUUUGUGUUAUCAUUGUUUCUAUGUUAGCUUUUAUGUUUUGUUGCUGUUGAGAAUUGACUGGCCUCAAGCACCAUGGCGAAAGGCGUGACGACACUGGAGAGCUCAGCGGUCGGCUGUUUUUGUCAGAUUCGAGGAAAGUGAAUAGUGCUCGGUCGCUGCGAAUAAGAUCCUCGUCCGAUAAAGGCACCUCCAACCUGAAACAGCACAGAGCAAAGAAGUCCAUUGACCGGAAUGUAUCCAGCAGAGAAUAGAAGUCCACUAGCCGGAAUGUAUACAGCGGAGACCAUCUGAUGCCUAAGUCAAUAAAAUUAUCAAGGAAUAGAAGGAGGCACUCUCUCAAGUUGUAAGAGUGAUCUCUUUUUUUUACCUCUUUUUUUUGUAUAUAUUGGGUGGAAAAGUUUACCUGCCACUAGAAAAUGUGGGUACGUGGGUCGACCAAAAGUGACUGGUUUGAGUAUGACUUGGAUAUCGGACGUGAAUGCUUUGCAUAUGAAUGAUAUCCUGUCUAUCAUAUCGGUGGAAUUGCGAUAAUCACUAGGUCUCCCAAUAAAAAUACAGGCAAUUGUAGAAAGUUCUCGAUAGGUAAGCUCGUCGGUAUGGCGUUGGGCCCGCCCAGUAAUCACUCUUGAUCCACCACAUAUUGGAGCUGUAGUAUGGUUUGAUUGGCUAGUCCUCUUGGUAAGAAGUAGCCAAUUUGGAGGCGUAUUAUGUUUUAUGUCUAACUUGGAAGCUGGUUGGGGAAUUCUUUGAAUUCUUUAUAUCUUAAACAAAGAAGAGGCAUCUCGUAUGUCGACCCAGCCUUUUCUUUGGGGGGGGGGGGGGGUGGGUGAGCGUCAUAUAUCUACCAUUAAGUUGUGAUUAAUCACUGAGAUCCAAAUUCUCAUUUAUAACUAGAGAAAUAAUAUUGUACUAAUUUAUCUUGCUAGGAAUUGGAUCAGAGAGGAUUACUAAUUGAAUUAGGGAUACAGUUUUCCUUUUUUAUUAUUUUUUAAAAUAAAAAUAUAAUUGUGAUGCCAUGAUGACAUCUUGCCGAUAUUACCGACUGGAUCAGCUAACUCGGGAACCAGUUUGCUAGUUUGAUGUCCUAUCCAAUUUUAAAAAUGUUGUGGAUAACAAGACACAUUCCUUCCGAAUUAUUAGGAUAAAAUGAAUUCAUCUAAUAAUUUUACUUUAAAAUGAAAUGAAUCCAUGUAGGAUAGUUUCACCUUUAGUUGCAUGGGGACACGGUCCACCCAAGAAUUAGUACUUGGUUGCGGCGGAGCCCGCACAGGAAACGCGUAGCACCGAGAGGCCGCACCCAGUGGGAAAAACACUGUUCCCGCCGCCGUUGCGAUACCAAAUAGGAAGCGCAGCUGCGACGCGCUUCGCUCGCUGCAACGCCUCCCAGCUCCACGCCUCCGACUGCCCACCGCGGCGUCGACCGAACACGCGUCUCCAUCCCACUCGUCCGUUUUUUCUAUUUUUGUCUUUCUUGGCCGUUAUCGACGCCGUUUCCACCGGCAUCUAUUUAUAGGUCUCUAUGCUUCCUCCUUUCCCUCAUUCGUCUCUCUCCCGUUCUUUUUUCUCUUCUUCCCAGGGCUAGGGUUUCCAGCGAAAGGAAAGAAGAAGAAGAAGAAGAAGAAGAAGUUUCAGCAAAAAAAAGGAAAGAAGAAGCCGUUCCUGGGUUUUAUCUGUUUCUUCUUCUUCUUCUUCUUCUUUUCUCUUGAUCCAUUCUGAUACGAGAAAAAAUGGUGGCGCUCGAGGUGGGCAGCGCAAAUGACGCCGUGGAGAGGAUCCCCAAGGAGGCGAUGAGGAUUCUUGACAGAUUGGCGUCGGAAUGGAGCGACGUGGCCGACUCCAAGGCCUUGGAGGUGGUGCACCUCAAGGGGGCGAUGACCAACCAGGUCUACCAGAUCAACUGGCCGACCAUGGGGAAGGACGGCGUCUCUCGGAAGGUGCUCGUCCGGAUCUACGGCGACGGGGUGGAUGUCUUCUUCGACCGGGAGGACGAGAUCCGGACGUUCGAGUGCAUGUCUAGGCACGGGCAGGGGCCGCGCCUUCUUGGGCGGUUUCCCAAUGGCCGGGUCGAGGAGUUCAUCAACGCCAGGGUAUGCCCAAUUUCGCAAGAAAUUUUCUUUCUUUCUUUCUUUCUUUUUUGUUUAGUUAAUCUUUUAAUUUCUAGGUGCGUGCCGAUUCAUUGAUUGCUCUGUUUGCUAUUAGUUGUUUUAACAUAUUACUAGAUGAGGUAUGUAGAAUUUGUUAUUUGUUUUAUCAUUGUAAUUGUUUUUUUUUCCAUUUUCUUCCAUGGUUGAUGAGAACGAUUUGAAGUCAUGAAUGUUUUCAAGCUGAAAUUUUCUUUCUUCCUUCUUUCUUUCUUCGCCCCCCAAGCCGGAUCUUUUGAUAUUUAUUAUUUUCCUUAUUAAGAUCGGUGUGCUGUCACUAACAUAUACUAGAGAUUUGAUAUGGAGAAGGAUGGAUGCAUAUGGUGUGUAUUUUGGGCUCUUUGUGUGGGAAGACUAGGUCUUUUAUUCGCUUACUAUUUAGUCCAAAAGUGCUUGUGGGGUCAAGAAGCUUUAUGCUUUGCUACUUUAUGAUUUAUGCUGUCACUGUUGCUGUUGUUGCCGGUAGUUUAUCCGCAUAAGAUUCUAACAUGUGAAAAGGCAUUCUUUAGGACCUCAGCACAUGCUAAACUGUAAGUGAAUAAUGGUAGCCUAGCACCAAAUAGUCAGAAACCUUGUUUACAACUGUGAGUAGAGAGAAGUCCUGGUAAAUUUACAUCUAAAGGUGGAAUAUACCUUCAUAUAUGAAGAGAGCUUGGAAUCAGGUGCAUUCAUCUUUUAUUGAAUAGACAACCUUAGGGUCUGUAGGAUCGACCUCAGCUUAAGUGCUUUAAUUUUUUAAAGAUUAAAUGGUGCUUACUUUAAAGCAGAAGAGGAUUAUGACAGCCCACGGUAUCUAGGUUGCUAAGGUAGCAACAUACCUGGACUUACAAGUUACUCCUUACAUUUCCCCUGGCUUGUGAAUUUGGAUUCAUGUAGCAUCAUGCCUCGUGGCUUUUGUUCAGAUCGUGCUUGUUAGGACAACGGUGCCUCUGGUCCCACUUAGAAUGUGUUCUGAAAAAGUGUUUCCUCUCAAAACGAGAUAAAUGGUGUUCUUGGAAUCAUCUUCAUAAUGAAGGUGCCAGUGAGACAGUGACGAUGGGAGCAAGAUAUUUCUUACUCUGAUGUCAAGUCCUCCAUUUCUUUGAAAAAUCUUUUGGCAAUAGAUUUUAGAAAGAUGCAAUGAAAAUAAUCUCAUGGCUUCUUUUUAGCCAUACCACUAUCAUCCACACAGGUUUCAUACAGGAUUUUUUUAAUUGAAGUUUAACAUCAGUUGGGUGACAAGCAUCAAGGAUGGAGAGAGAUAAUUGUGGGAGUGUUAUUUGCUACAGGUCAGCUUCUUCGUUGCUGUUAUGCAAAGAUGGAAAAUGAUGUAGUUAUGGUUCUUAGGUUUUGAUUGGGGUCGCUUGACUCCAUACCUGGAUUAUCUAUCUGAAGUAUACACUUUGUGUCCUCAUCUAAAUGGCUGUGGCUGUCCGGUAAGAUGAUUUUUUCCCCUUUUGCCAGAUGAUCUGACUUCCUCAUGAUCAUUCUCGGUUGCAUGAAGAAUGAACCAAACAUUUGCUAAGAUACGUGUUGUGAUGUUGGUACGUGAAUGCUGUUUGAUUUCAUCAAGUUGUAAUUGCUGCUUAAGAGCUCCUAAAUCACCUGGUCAUCCCAUGAUUUUAUUAGUUACUUAUGCAUGGAAAGCUCUGUGGUUUUUCUUGUGUAAUCUACUCAUGGUAAUCUUUAAACAGCAAUGGUGGCAUUACUUGUUAAAUUUUCANNNNNNNNNNNNCAAUGUUCUGAAUUGGUCAUGCUGCUUUUGCUAUUUUAGACACUUUCUGCAGCUGAUCUGCGGGACCCAGAAAUAUCUGCUCUUGUAGCAUCAAAAUUAAAGGAGUUUCAUGACCUUGACAUGCCCAGUCCAAGGAAUGUAUUCUUAUGGGAAAGAUUGAGGUAUAUUUUAAUUAUCUAUCAAACUUUGGGCUUAACUUUGAUCAGUGAUGUGCCUGAUAGCUUAUAUUAUCUCUCUUUAUCUCAGAAAAUGGCUGAAAACAGCUCGAAAUUUGUGCUUACCUGAAGAAUCUAAAGAAUUUCGCUUGGAUACCCUAGCGGAGGAGAUAGCUGCUUUAGAAAGUUUUUUCUCUGGGAAAGAUCAGAGAAUAGGAUUCUGUCAUAAUGAUCUCCAGUAUGGGAAUAUCAUGGUUGACGAGGAGACCAGACAAGUAACUAUAAUAGUAAGUUGCUUUCUCUAAUACACUUAAUCUACGGGCUCUUUUAGUCAAUUUCUUAAAAGUUAACUUUUCAAACUUCCGUUUCUGCUAAGUGAGAUGGAAAACGUUAUAGUUUUGGUUGAAUGGUUAGAGUGCUAGUUCCUUUAGGAGUCCUAUCUUNNNNNNNNNNNNNNNNNNNNUUUGGUUUCCCAACCAAAUUGUUUUUCUCCAGGGAGGAUUCCAUCUCAUAUGGAAUUGUUGCUGCAGCUUGGUCAUGAAGUUCUGAUAGUAGCUGUGAGAUCUUAAGCCAUGAAAAGCAUAAACUAAGCACUGCAUUGCCAAUGAUGAGUCUUUUUCUUGUCCUUUUCAAUUUGUUCUUUUUCCCUAUCAACUUUAGGGAGAGUGAUGCGGGCCAAGGAACAUUAGAUCUUAGGAUUUCAGUAUAUUUCAUUUCAUACCAUAACUUCAAAAGUUCAAAGAUAUCAUAAGGAGUAAAAUGGUUUGCUUUGUAGAGAAUGGCACAAUUAAUGACUCCAUAAGAUAUGCAAGAAGUUCUGAUAUUAGCUGUGAAUGUUUUAAGAAAGGUUCAUAGUACUACUUCUGGUGCCUAUACUAGUACCAUUUUGGUAUAGUGUCUGUGCAGUCGGUUCGUGGUACGAACACUUUGUACGCUUCCCAUACUUAGUAUUGGUUCACUACCAGUACGGUUUGGUAUUGUCCGAUACAAGGUAUUACGGUUUGGUAUGGCAAGUCAUGGUUUUAAGCCAUGAAAAAUAUGGUGGGUAUUGGCCCUACUCUUGUGGUGUAUGCUCCCAAACUAAGUACUACACUACCAAUGACGAGUCAAAUCUUUUUUUUUCCAUUUUAAUUUGUUUGCUUUUUAGAGAAUAGUACAGUUAACAACUUGAGGUUCCUAAUUACAUAGAUUAAUCACGUUAAUCUUUAGUUGGUGAGAAGUUUAUCUCUUAAUAGGGCCAAAUAUAGUGUCUUGAGAAGUCAUAUUUGAAUCACAUUGUCCCAACAGUCAAUUUUUUGGAGUAAAUUUUGGUGCAUGGCCAUAUGUAAGCAUAUAAUGGGGCUGUCUUGUAUUAUAUGUUGUCUGAGAAUGUAAACGGUUACUUUGUUAACUGUCAUUCUUUAUGUGAAAACUUAUCUGCAUAGGUAAUGUAUUGGUAGUUUCCUGUAUGCGUGUUGUGUGAGAAUAUGAAUGAAUGAAAAUUUCAGCAUUCUUUGAUCUGCGUUAGAAGCAAAGUGAUUGAACUUUGCAAAUGGUGUACCAUUCGUGCCAAUGAUAAUCAUCCUUUUUUUUUGUGGGUUGGGGUUGGGGGGCUGUGUUCUAGCAAUUGCUAGUUAUUUAUGCUGAGGAAUGCCUCGAGUGUUCUGUCUCUUUAGUUGCUGGAAGCAGGAGCAGGUGUGGAGGUGGGUGUGGGUGUGGGUAAGGGGAAAUUGGUUUGUCACAUCAUAAAAGAAAAAUAGGGAAAUGCUUAAGAAACAGGUGCAAGGAUGUCCUGACUGCCUCUUUAGUUUCUAGAGCGGGUAUGCUCCACUAAAUAGAAGUGGUCAGCUAAGGUCUGCUCGUGGAAUGGUAUGACUUGGCAUGUCAAAUGAUUAUAUGUUGUAUUCUAGCGAUUGUAACAUCAUGCCUGUUGUUAUAGAGUUGUAUAUCCAGACACUCUGCAUAUCCGUACUCUGGUGUUUACUUAUCUUUUUAGUUAUGCACUAAGACAUUUCUGUGACUUCUGGAUGGAGAUAGAAAUCAUAUUUCUCUUAUUCUUUAAUUUAUUGAUCAAUUUUAAGCCUGCUUCUUGAUGCAUCAAUGAUAUAAUCGGGGCCAAUCUCUAGCAUAGCCAGCAUUCUGUUUUAAUUUUUUUUUCUCGACCUCUCAACACCAGACUGAAUGCAGAAAUAUAUGAAAUUAUGUAGGAUGUCCAUGGUGUCCACUUCUCAUUAUUCUUUAUUUUUACAAUUUCUAGGACUAUGAGUAUGCAAGUUUCAACCCCAUUGCAUAUGAUCUUGCCAAUCACUUUUGUGAGAUGGCUGCUGAUUACCAUACAGGGACUCCUCACAUUUUGGAUUUCAAUAAAUACCCAGGUUUGUUAUUCUUGGUUUUCAGUUUGCUGACAUUGAAAUGGACACUCCUAUGCUGGUGUUAAUGCUCUGUUUCUGAUCUUUUUGGAAGCAGAUUAUGAGGAGCGCAAGAGAUUUGUGCAGGCAUAUCUGAGUUCGUCAGGUAAUCUGUUCAAAGGCUGCAUAAAAAACACAUAAAGAGAACUGAUCUUUUUGGUUCAACUUGUACCUCAACAACAGAUUGAAAUAACUUAUCACGAUCUUAAGCAGUCUUAGACAUUCCAUACGUGCAUGUAUAAGUGCAGUGGUGUAAAUGCAUACAUGAUAUUAGAACUGAUAGGUGUAAGUUUCAUACAGAUCCUACUUCUUUUCCACACUAUGAAGGUUGAAUUACAGAACUAAGUGGUUAUUUUGACAUCGAGAUGAUGAGUUAGGAAACUAUAAAUUUCUUGCCUUUUUUAAUGUGUUCAUGUGUCGCUAUAGCUCACUAAACCUUGUAGAUUGAUGAGUUACAGUUUUUCAAUUGUAUAUCAAGUAGGAAGCAUUAAGCAUGAUGACCGUCAGGAGUUUAUCAGAUUAUGUGGUCGCCAUAGGAUUGCACAUACAAUGAGAUAUAUUGGACCACAUUAAUAGUUUGAUAGCAUCAAUGUGAAUUUAGAUCAUCUUUCAAUAAGAAAGACAAAUAAAAACUCUUCGUGGCCUGGAAGCUAUUUAAUCAUCUUAAUAUGUGUAAUGCUGGGUCAUUUUUCAAGAUACGGAUGCUAGAGGUUGUUAGUCAAAAUUUUCGGCACUAUCAGAUUUGAAUUUUAUUUCUGUUCCCCAAGAUGGUUAUUCAAAAUUUUUGGAACUACCCAAUCUCAAUUUUAUUUCUGCUCCCCACACCCCUUCUCCUUUUUAAAAUUUUCGUGGACUCUAUAUUCUUUUAUCUAUAGGUGAAACAGGCAAUCUCGUGGAAAUUGACAAUUUACUGGAGCUUAUUGAGAAGUAUACUCUUGCAAGUCAUCUUGUUUGGGGCCUAUGGGGAAUAAUAUCAGUAAGGCACUUCGGUUUGUUUUCUUGUUCGGUCGGGCUCUUGUUGCUUGGAAGUUGGUUUCAACCUUUUCAAUUCAUUUAUCCAUUUGUCUGCAGGAACAUGUCAAUGAUAUUGACUUCAAUUACAUGGAGUAUGCAAAGCAGAGGUUUCAGCAGUACUGGUUGAGGAAGUCUGCCACAUUGGGAGCUGGGUGGGUGAAUUGAAUGGUUUACGUGCCUUUGUACUUACUUGUCAGCGUUAGAAGCCACUUUGAAUACAUCGCAUGGGUUCUUCAAUACUGAAAUUAGAUUUUUUGAGUGUUGCAAAAUAAUACAGCUAUGUUCAAUAAACCGAAGGCAGCCCCUGGUGUUUUUGUUUUGGUUUUAGGAUUACAGUUAAUACGAGAAAAUUUUCACAUUGGUCGUUAGCAUUCAUAAAAAAAAAAGAGAGAUGCUUUAAUGAAAGCAUUUUGUAAUGUUUUGUUGUUCAAUAUUUAGUAGUAGUAUUAGCUUUUNNNNNNNNNNNNNNNNNNNNNNNNNNNNNNNNNNNNNNNNNNNNNNNNNNNNNNNNNNNNNNNNNNNNNNNNNNNNNNNNNNNNNNNNNNNNNNNNNNNNNNNNNNNNNNNNNNNNNNNNNNNNNNNNNNNNNNNNNNNNNNNNNNNNNNNNNNNNNNNNNNNNNNNNNNNNNNNNNNNNNNNNNNNNNNNNNNNNNNNNNNNNNNNNNNNNNNNNNNNNNNNNNNNNNNNNNNNNNNNNNNNNNNNNNNNNNNNNNNNNNNNNNNNNNNNNNNNNNNNNNNNNNNNNNNNNNNNNNNNNNNNNNNNNNNNNNNNNNNNNNNNNNNNNNNNNNNNNNNNNNNNNNNNNNNNNNNNNNNNNNNNNNNNNNNNNNNNNNNNNNNNNNNNNNNNNNNNNNNNNNNNNNNNNNNNNNNNNNNNNNNNNNNNNNNNNNNNNNNNNNNNNNNNNNNNNNNNNNNNNNNNNNNNNNNNNNNNNNNNNNNNNNNNNNNNNNNNNNNNNNNNNNNNNNNNNNNNNNNNNNNNNNNNNNNNNNNNNNNNNNNNNNNNNNNNNNNNNNNNNNNNNNNNNNNNNNNNNNNNNNNNNNNNNNNNNNNNNNNNNNNNNNNNNNNNNNNNNNNNNNNNNNNNNNNNNNNNNNCAUAGCUCUAGAUCUUCGAUCUAGGUUGUUUUAAGAAUCAUUCUUUAUUCAAAAUAACUCUUCACAGAGAACCAUGAAGACAUGAUGUCAAAGCUGUAAAUGUGCAACGGGGUUAAUAUCUUUUUGUUUAAGUUUCUCUAAUGAGUUCACAAAGGUUGCUGUAGUACUCUGAGAUUAGGCUUACAUGAUACCGGAUUCAAUUUUCAGGUAAUGUGAGUUAGCUGCCCUUCUGGUGCAUAACUCAAUAUACAUAUCUAGUUUUACAACUAUUGGUUUCAAAAGAUGCCUUAAUGUUCCGUAUCUUUCAUACUACAGCUUUUUGGCAGUUCUUGUUGCAGGAGUCCUGAACUUUGAGUUACAAUAAGAUGACAAGGUUGCACCUAGAUCAAUGCCAACACUGGCAUAGGUUGGAUCGGUUCUUUCUAAUUCUAAAUUGAUGGAUCCCACAUUGCUUAAAAGGUUCUUUCUCCCUCUCAAGAUAGCAGAUUAAAGCACUUGUUUGAGUUAAACAAAGAUACUGUUUGGCAGGUUAUUUCGAAGUCAUGUUAAUAUAGGGUGUUGAGACCAUAGCGACAUUAUGACAUACCAGUUAAUCACUGCUUGUGGCCGAAUAGUUUUCUCAUAAGGAAUCUCUAAUGAAUACUUUAUGAGUCCAAGGAACUGAUACUUUUCAAUAAAGUAUUUUAAGAUAGAACAAAUGCAUCUGUAUCACUUGUUUGCUUCAGCAACUUCUUGUAUGCUGUUCUUGUGAUCAAGGGAUAAGGCUGGAAGUGGGCCGGGCUAUGCCCCUACCCAAAUCUGGCCCAAAAAUUUUUUGACAAUCCAAGCCUGAGCCCAACCCGAGCCUAGCCCUAGGCCUGACCUGAACUUGAUUGGGCCCAGCCACGUCAUUGAAGUUUAAUAUUUCAUAAUAUUGCUUCACAAGUAAAUGAGCUAGCUAAAAAUUGGACUCUCUCCUAUAAAACAAAUAAAUGAUACAUGAUACAUUAUUCUCUGCUCAACCCAUUUUAAUUUUUUGUUUACUUUCUCAUUAUUCUCUCUAAAUAACAACAUACAAAAACAAAUUGAUCCGGGCUUGAUUUCGAGCUCCAUUUCAGGCCUUGUUCGGACUUGGGCUAGGCCCGGGUCGGGCCAAUGACAUACCCAAGCCCGGCUCGAAAAAUAAAUGGGCUCUACAUUUAAGCCCAAACCCGCUCUAAACAUUUUCGGGCCUAGUCUGAAACCCGGCCCGAAAGGCCUCGGGCUGGCCCGAGCCCAUUUCCAGCCCUAUCAAGGGAAGGUUCUGAUUAUAUUCAAGCCUAGAUCAAAUCUGAAAUGGCAAGCACCGAGUACUGCUUUUAGUUUUUGGCUUUGGAAUAUUGAAACAUUCACACCCAUGCUGAAGUAUUCAGAGUAAAAGGCAUUCUUGGAUGAAUGAUAUUACAAAGGAAUUCUAGACCUUGUUUACUGACCUGAACUCUCUUGUUUCGAGCAUAUUGUAGCACCCCAUCAAACUUGCUUUCACUGAACUGCAGUGAGAAAAUAUCAUCAGUAAGUUCAAGAUUGUAAGUUUGAAACCCAGGCAGAAACCCAGGCAGAUUGUUAUUAUAUAUUCAGACUACAAAUCAAAUUAUCUGUCUAAAGAACUCAAAACAAUAAAUGAGAAUUAAGUGAUAGGAAACUGUAUAAUGAAGGAAUGCAGCAAUAGAAUAAGUAGUUUUAAAAUGACAUUAAACAAAACCUAAGUUAAACAGUAAUACCAAAUCCAUCUAUAUCGUUUGCUCAUUUGAGAAGUAUGAAUAAAAAGAAAGCAACCUGCAAAUCCUCGGUCAAAGGUGUUGUGUACAUGCCACCAGAAGAAACUGUAAUAACCCGAGCAUCGGGUGCUGCUUUCUCCAAUGAUGGCAUCAUUAAUUCUGUAAUAGCAUAUGUUGCUGCUACAUUAACAGCAAGUUUAACUCCAAUCUGGUAGAAGAUGACAAAAAGUUAUAGGCAAGUUGUCAGUUUCAGGAUGGUUAGAAAAGAAAUUUUCAUCCCCUAAGCCAGAGAAGUUCUAGCUACAUAAAUGACUAUAUUAAAUUGAAUGGGAACGAUAGGGUGAACUUCAUAUGCAAAGACUAAAUAAAGAUCAAAUUUAUAUGGCAAAUAAUGAAAGGGGCACACCCUUCUGCUGUGGUAACUCGGUUGUGCUCCAGUAAACCAGCAUUGUUAACCUAAAUGCACAAGUCUGUCAGAACCUUCUCAUUUCUCACUUGUAUAAAGCAUUUACUUUGCUAUAAUCACAAGGUGAAAAAGAUCUAGGCAGAAUAAACUUCCCCAGGAUUUUGGAAAGAGCCGGGCAUGGUGAAAUUACUCGAAGAAAACACAACUAUUUUAUAGCAUCAUUUGUUUCGGUAUUAUUUUCCUGUCCAUAAAUCUAUGGACCACUUCGCUAAAGAAUGCUGACGUAUUUUGCCUAUAAUAUUUGGAUGCUCUGAAGAGACAAUAGGGUAACACAUUGCCAGAAAUACAAAUAAACAGGCUUUCAAGGCAGACAUGAGUGCCUUCAUGAAUCCCUUGAGGGAGGUUCCAGUUCAGACCAUGGACGUGGCAUCCCCACUGUACUUCUUUUUUUUUCUUUUGAAAAAAAAAGAGUCAAUAAAUCCCUAUGGUUCAAUAAGAAAAGGUGUAAUAAUUUAAAAAUAAAGAAAAGAUAAAGCACAUAUUAUUUACAGAAAAUUGUGGCCAUCAUAGGCCAUAUGCCAUCAUGAAGGUCACCCGUUGGCCAGGAAUAUCUGUGACUCCAUCGACUUCAUCUAAGUUGGCCAGAAAUAUCUGGGGUACCUUUUCUGCUGUUGCAGCGCUUAGGUAUGCUUCUCUUUCCUGGGUACUCCCACCCUCUGGUUAUCUUAAGAUGAAUUUUGAUGGCGGUAUGGCGAUGGAUAGAGCUUCUGGGGGAGUAGGCUUUAUUAUUAGGAACCAUUAUGGUAGAUUGAUUGCAGCUGGUGGUCAGAGCAUACCUGGCUUGAUUGUUGUUGGGGCAGAGCUAUGGGCUGCUUGGGAGGGUAUCUGGUAUGCGAGAUGUGAGCUGGGUGUCAACAGAUUGUGCAUUGAGGGAGACUCUGCCACGGUGAUUGACUGGAUACGGGGAGUGGAUAGGUAUGGCGACGGUCACCCGUUGAUUCGGAAGAUUCGCAGAUUGGUUCAGGAGAUGUUCGCCGUCCAGAUUGGUCAUGCAUUUCGUGAGGUGAACAAAGCUGCGGAUUGGGUAGCCUCAUACGUGGUACCUCACUCUGGGGACGUCAUCUGGAUGAGUUUAGCAAGUGUUCUCCACUUGUUGCAUUGUUUACUUUCUUUUGAUUUGGCAAGAUGUACUCAAACUUGAUUUAAUGGAAAUGAAAUGCCGUUUUGACCAAAAAAAAAAAGCAGCCUCUCCCCUCUUCUUACUGCGAUAGACCAUAUAAACCGUUGCACCACUAAAAGGAAUAGGAUACAAUAUUAUGUGAAAACACUCUUCCUGAGAGUAAACAGCCAAGAGCUUCAAUAGAAGAAUAACAUCAUUCGGAUCACUGGACCAUGGCCUACCAAACACAUUGAUCUUAGAUUACUGGGAAUCAAAUCACUCCAGCAUUCGGAUCACUGGAGAUCUUAGAUCACCGUGGUAAUCUUGUUGGGGUUACCAAAUGCCCCCUUAGGGCUUCCGAAGGUACGUAGGCACGAGGCGGCCAUACCAUCACCUAUGGAUCCUACCAAGUCAUGCAGGCAUGAGCUAGGGGUUGCAAGCCUCCUCCACUUUCCUGAAGAAUCUUGGAAAAAGCGAAGACUAUAUGAUUUUCCCCAAGCCAAAAGGAAUCCACAAGAGGUAAAUAAUGAAAGAAGGGUAGAUGGCAGAACGUAGAAGUCAACCAUAGAUGGUAGGACAUAGAAGUCAGUCAACACUAGCCGGCAGUUAGAACAUUCUAGGAAUAAUGGACAAAAUUGUGAGUGGAUUGGGAUAAGAAAGAAAUCAUGACCAUUGGAAAAUGUGAGGCUCCAGUUCUGCCCCAACGUUCGUUAUUUAUAAAAGCUAGAGCUUGGUAGAAGGAUCAUCGCAUUUCAGGAGAACGAGGUAGAGCGGAUAAAAGGAAAAUGCUUCUUCCAAAGACAUUCCUCCUACUCUAUCUGCUUCUCCUUUCCACUUCAUUCAUUCCAAAUGGGACCNNNNNNNNNNNNNNNNNNNNNNNNNNNNNNNNNNNNNNNNNNNNNNNNNNNNNNNNNNNNNNNNNNNNNNNNNNNNNNNNNNNNNNNNNNNNNNNNNNNNNNNNNNNNNNNGCUACUGCACCAAGACAUGGGCCAUAUGUAUAAAAAAAUAAGCAUUUAGCUAGGGUAAGUUGAAUGAUUUUUUUAUAAAAAACCGUUAAAACAUCAUUUAUAUUUGCUUUAUAUGCCAUGCUAUCAAAUCUAUCUCAUGAUCAGAAUCCAUCUCAUUUCUUAGCUCAACUGGUUGGCAUCCAUCUCGAUCUCGAAGAGAUCCAAGGCUCGAACCUAGGCGGUGGUGCUGCCAUCAUAUUUUUCUUCAAAAAAUAAAAGAAAACGGGAACAAAAUCAGCUAAGCUUAGGUUUUAGUGUGCUUCCCCCGUAAGAAAUCAUAAAAAUCUUUUCCGCUGAAAGAAAACAUUCCAAACAUAAUUAUAUCUUGCUUGUUGGUUAAAUAUGAAGACGGAUAUAACUUGCUGUUGGUGCAUGGGUGCAGCAACUGGUGGCCAGACGCCUGUGGAUGCCACAGACCGCAUCGGAUAUGGUGCCAACCCAUAUCGUCCCCGGCCACCAAUGUCUGGCCGUCCAUAUUCUCGGAGGUGCAAGAAGAACAAUUACCAUUGUCGACCCCCGGUCCCAUAGCUGCAGAGUAAAAUCGUAGGUGUGCUACUAUACUAAUGGCUGCAGCGACUGCUACAUCCUCGCAUAAAUUGCCCUGAAAUGGGCAUAUGAACUAAUUAAAUAAGCGGCCGUAUCAAGAUGUCAUGUUCGCUUUGUUGUACGCGUACUGUGUACCUAAUGGUAAUUGGGAAUUUUAAAGAUGCUGCGCUGUUCUGUUGCUAUUGUAUUGAGUUACGGGCUCUCUUUUAUCUACUUCCUUUUCACUAUUUUUUGCAAUCCUCUGUUGCUCGGAUGGGAAUUUUGACAUCCUCUAUUCCUUGCAUUAAUUAUUAAUUAAAUGGCCGCUUGCCCGAGUUGUUUCCAACACCGCAACCAAUAACCACUUCUGGCGGAGAACGCUGCGUAGGCACUUUUGCAGCUGUGCCUCCCAUAAAAAAAUAUAAAAAUAUAUAAAUAAAUUUAUUUUAUUCUAUUAAUUUAAGUUUUUGAGACAAGUGAUGAUUUUAACAUGAUAUAGAAUUUGUCCACGAAAAAAAAAGUCGUUCAUGAGACCUCGAAUUCCCACGUUCCAGCGUGCAUUAUGCAUAACUUGCUGCAUCUCACGCACCGAGAAUUUUCCUCCACUCUUGCAAUCAACUAUUCUUUGAUUGAGAUGGACUCUCGCAUCUUCCUUCACUAAAGCUCUCCCCUUUGGGUCCUGAUAAAUAACUCUACGGUUUCUCUAGGCUGGCUGCAAAGCUUCAGAAGAAUCACUCACAGGUUUUGUCAUGCUCCAAAUCCGCGAUUUAGGUUGGCCACAUGACACGGCCACACACUUUCUAGAGUAGGGCCCUAGAGAAUAUGCUAAGUCUGAAAUUUUAUUACAGCCUCAAAAAUUUAUAACAAAAAUAAUCUCAUUUCAUAAUAAGAAUAAACAUGUAUAGGAUGCAUGGCCCAGGCUCUAAUACAAAGCUUAGUGUGGUGGAUUAUAGGAUGCAUGCCCAGGCUCUGACGCUGGCGGUGCUCUCGGGUGCAGCGCUGCUACACUACUACGACGCCAAGCAUGCAAUUGAGGACGACGAAAAAGUUUCUCCCACCCCCCUUGUCUAGAUAAGUUCAAGGGGCUUAUAAUAUGUCCGUUAACUUUGUUGGCAAUGGCCAUAAGAGUGAGAAGUAGUGAUGUUGUUGAGGGGGUAAGACUCCUACUCUCGACAUCUUGCCCAUUUGUACUUGGUAUAUAUGGACUACGUUAUGCGAUUUUGAGCAUAUAUAAAAACAAUUUCAAUCUAGUAUGAUCUCUUCUGUGACAAAUUUCUCCGCCUGGCCAGUGUGAUCAAACUUAAUGCUUUCAUCAGGGUGUUGAAAAUUUGAGAGAGAACAAAAAUAUAUAUCCUAUAUUGAUGGAUGAAGCGAUUAGGCGGAUACCUUGAGCAUCAUCAAGUGUAAAAUGUGGCAGUUUGCCAACUUCGCCAUAUGCGGAAAGUGUGCAUAGGGCUUGUGUUCGUGUGUAGAACGGAACGGAGGAUGCAUUUACCUAAAUAUCUUACCCUGUUUGAUUAAGCUAAUCAGCCAAAGUAAUCACAUGCUAUCAAUCAUCUAUUGGACCACCCAUGUUUGUUAUACUACGAUAAUUUGGCUAAUAACAUCACAUUGUUCUUCCAAAAGACUGACUUGUCGCGUAAAGUUCUUCGGCCGAGCUAACCUGACAUGAUAACAGCCAAUGUGUUGCUAAACCGAAAUCUUAUUUGAGUUGCACUAAGUUGGCAGAGGUUAGCGGUUAGACCUCCGUACCAGGCUUAAAAGUUUACCUCUUGCUUUCGGAUUACUUGCCCCAUAUCCUAAGUAACUUGGCCCAAUCAAUUCCAUGGCAAAUCGGUCAAGCCGCUUACUGAAUAAAAAAUAAAUGGGUAGAAAGGAUAGGAUUCUUAUGUUUUAGGUGAGGAGGUAGUCCAUGAAUAUCAGGAGGCGAAUAAUGCAGUGGAUUGGAUGACCUUUGAUCUAGGAGAACACUUCGGCUACCUCUCUCUGCUCAGUUUAGAGAUAUUUUAUUUUCUGAAGCCUCUGAUUGUAUUCACACAAGAUUGAUUUGAUGUAACUACUCAAAAAAAAUAAAAUAAACACACACACACACACACACAAAGAAGAGGCCCUUGUUCUACCAUGGUCGCUGGACUCUAGGAUAUCCAACCAAAUGGCCAAACCUAAUUUGGUUUGUCCGGGCCUCUCUUCAUGUACACAAAUGCAAUAAAUCCAGACUCUUCAGGCCGGCCCAUUAGCCCUGUAAUAUCUGGCUAUUACAGGUUCUUUCUGAAAUUUGAUACUCUUCCCCCUGCCGUCGACUGGAGUCCGCCUUGUUACUUCGAGGCCGAUCAUAUUUUGAAGCUUCUGCUACCUCCUCCCAAGUUGUAUUCUCUCGAGUUUUCAUAUCACAUCCCACUGUAAUUCUUUGUGAAUCUCUUUCUUCUUCUCUGCUAUGUAAUCUUCUCUCUGAAUCAAUAAAUUCGGGUUUAGGUGGUCCAUGGCCUCCUCCUUCGUGAAAACAAAAAAAAAACAACUAAUUGCAAUCAUAAAAGCUAGGCAUUAUUAUUAUUUUUUUUUGAUUUUUGAUGGAGAAAAGGAACCAAUGAUAAAUUCCGUUUAUGAAUCACUGGUCGAGAAAUAGCAAUGGCUAAAGCAGGAAUCUCCAGAUGGGCACAGCUUAGAGCACAAACUCUGACCAAAGCCUCUUUCCUGCAUUAGACCCCCAUUAGCAACAAUUUGAUGGCUCACCAGACACUACCCUUCUGCUGGCGGUUGGUAUCAUUUUCUGUCUAAAAUUCAGAUAUGUGACUGCCUUUUCUCGGUUUCGGUUAGCAGAGGGUGCAGUAACUAAAUUGUUCCAAUAUUUUACUGAUCGUAAUUGUUACAAAAAGAAAACACACAGUAGUAAUACUUGGCUAGUGGAACACAUUACUUCUUGUUAGAAAAAAGAACACAUUAUUCGAACCAUGAACUGACACCGGGACAGACAGACAAGUAAACUAUUCAUCAGAUCCUUACAUUGCAAAUGCAUUUCUAAUUGCACUCAUUUUGUUGACCACAGUUUGCAUAUCCAGCCGCAAAUUUGGUGCCUNNNNNNNNNNNNNNNNNNNNNNNNNNNNNNNNNNNNNNNNNNNNNNNNNNNNNNNNNNNNNNNNNNNNNNNNNNNNNNNNNNNNNNNNNNNNNNNNNNNNNNNNNNNNNNNNNNNNNNNNNNNNNNNNNNNNNNNNNNNNNNNNNNNNNNNNNNNNNNNNNNNNNNNNNNNNNNNNNNNNNNNNNNNNNNNNNNNNNNNNNNNNNNNNNNNNNNNNNNNNNNNNNNNNNNNNNNNNNNNNNNNNNNNNNNNNNNNNNNNNNNNNNNNNNNNNNNNNNNNNNNNNNNNNNNNNNNNNNNNNNNNNNNNNNNNNNNNNNNNNNNNNNNNNNNNNNNNNNNNNNNNNNNNNNNNNNNNNNNNNNNNNNNNNNNNNNNNNNNNNNNNNNNNNNNNNNNNNNNNNNNNNNNNNNNNNNNNNNNNNNNNNNNNNNNNNNNNNNNNNNNNNNNNNNNNNNNNNNNNNNNNNNNNNNNNNNNNNNNNNNNNNNNNNNNNNNNNNNNNNNNNNNNNNNNNNNNNNNNNNNNNNNNNNNNNNNNNNNNNNNNNNNNNNNNNNNNNNNNNNNNNNNNNNNNNNNNNNNNNNNNNNNNNNNNNNNNNNNNNNNNNNNNNNNNNNNNNNNNNNNNNNNNNNNNNNNNNNNNNNNNNNNNNNNNNNNNNNNNNNNNNNNNNNNNNNNNNNNNNNNNNNNNNNNNNNNNNNNNNNNNNNNNNNNNNNNNNNNNNNNNNNNNNNNNNNNNNNNNNNNNNNNNNNNNNNNNNNNNNNNNNNNNNNNNNNNNNNNNNNNNNNNNNNNNNNNNNNNNNNNNNNNNNNNNNNNNNNNNNNNNNNNNNNNNNNNNNNNNNNNNNNNNNNNNNNNNNNNNNNNNNNNNNNNNNNNNNNNNNNNNNNNNNNNNNNNNNNNNNNNNNNNNNNNNNNNNNNNNNNNNNNNNNNNNNNNNNNNNNNNNNNNNNNNNNNNNNNNNNNNNNNNNNNNNNNNNNNNNNNNNNNNNNNNNNNNNNNNNNNNNNNNNNNNNNNNNNNNNNNNNNNNNNNNNNNNNNNNNNNNNNNNNNNNNNNNNNNNNNNNNNNNNNNNNNNNNNNNNNNNNNNNNNNNNNNNNNNNNNNNNNNNNNNNNNNNNNNNNNNNNNNNNNNNNNNNNNNNNNNNNNNNNNNNNNNNNNNNNNNNNNNNNNNNNNNNNNNNNNNNNNNNNNNNNNNNNNNNNNNNNNNNNNNNNNNNNNNNNNNNNNNNNNNNNNNNNNNNNNNNNNNNNNNNNNNNNNNNNNNNNNNNNNNNNNNNNNNNNNNNNNNNNNNNNNNNNNNNNNNNNNNNNNNNNNNNNNNNNNNNNNNNNNNNNNNNNNNNNNNNNNNNNNNNNNNNNNNNNNNNNNNNNNNNNNNNNNNNNNNNNNNNNNNNNNNNNNNNNNNUCACUUGUAUAAAGCAUUUACUUUGCUAUAAUCACAAGGUGAAAAAGAUCUAGGCAGAAUAAACUUCCCCAGGAUUUUGGAAAGAGCCGGGCAUGGUGAAAUUACUCGAAGAAAACACAACUAUUUUAUAGCAUCAUUUGUUUCGGUAUUAUUUUCCUGUCCAUAAAUCUAUGGACCACUUCGCUAAAGAAUGCUGACGUAUUUUGCCUAUAAUAUUUGGAUGCUCUGAAGAGACAAUAGGGUAACACAUUGCCAGAAAUACAAAUAAACAGGCUUUCAAGGCAGACAUGAGUGCCUUCAUGAAUCCCUUGAGGGAGGUUCCAGUUCAGACCAUGGACGUGGCAUCCCCACUGUACUUCUUUUUUUUUCUUUUGAAAAAAAAAGAGUCAAUAAAUCCCUAUGGUUCAAUAAGAAAAGGUGUAAUAAUUUAAAAAUAAAGAAAAGAUAAAGCACAUAUUAUUUACAGAAAAUUGUGGCCAUCAUAGGCCAUAUGCCAUCAUGAAGGUCACCCGUUGGCCAGGAAUAUCUGUGACUCCAUCGACUUCAUCUAAGUUGGCCAGAAAUAUCUGGGGUACCUUUUCUGCUGUUGCAGCGCUUAGGUAUGCUUCUCUUUCCUGGGUACUCCCACCCUCUGGUUAUCUUAAGAUGAAUUUUGAUGGCGGUAUGGCGAUGGAUAGAGCUUCUGGGGGAGUAGGCUUUAUUAUUAGGAACCAUUAUGGUAGAUUGAUUGCAGCUGGUGGUCAGAGCAUACCUGGCUUGAUUGUUGUUGGGGCAGAGCUAUGGGCUGCUUGGGAGGGUAUCUGGUAUGCGAGAUGUGAGCUGGGUGUCAACAGAUUGUGCAUUGAGGGAGACUCUGCCACGGUGAUUGACUGGAUACGGGGAGUGGAUAGGUAUGGCGACGGUCACCCGUUGAUUCGGAAGAUUCGCAGAUUGGUUCAGGAGAUGUUCGCCGUCCAGAUUGGUCAUGCAUUUCGUGAGGUGAACAAAGCUGCGGAUUGGGUAGCCUCAUACGUGGUACCUCACUCUGGGGACGUCAUCUGGAUGAGUUUAGCAAGUGUUCUCCACUUGUUGCAUUGUUUACUUUCUUUUGAUUUGGCAAGAUGUACUCAAACUUGAUUUAAUGGAAAUGAAAUGCCGUUUUGACCAAAAAAAAAAAGCAGCCUCUCCCCUCUUCUUACUGCGAUAGACCAUAUAAACCGUUGCACCACUAAAAGGAAUAGGAUACAAUAUUAUGUGAAAACACUCUUCCUGAGAGUAAACAGCCAAGAGCUUCAAUAGAAGAAUAACAUCAUUCGGAUCACUGGACCAUGGCCUACCAAACACAUUGAUCUUAGAUUACUGGGAAUCAAAUCACUCCAGCAUUCGGAUCACUGGAGAUCUUAGAUCACCGUGGUAAUCUUGUUGGGGUUACCAAAUGCCCCCUUAGGGCUUCCGAAGGUACGUAGGCACGAGGCGGCCAUACCAUCACCUAUGGAUCCUACCAAGUCAUGCAGGCAUGAGCUAGGGGUUGCAAGCCUCCUCCACUUUCCUGAAGAAUCUUGGAAAAAGCGAAGACUAUAUGAUUUUCCCCAAGCCAAAAGGAAUCCACAAGAGGUAAAUAAUGAAAGAAGGGUAGAUGGCAGAACGUAGAAGUCAACCAUAGAUGGUAGGACAUAGAAGUCAGUCAACACUAGCCGGCAGUUAGAACAUUCUAGGAAUAAUGGACAAAAUUGUGAGUGGAUUGGGAUAAGAAAGAAAUCAUGACCAUUGGAAAAUGUGAGGCUCCAGUUCUGCCCCAACGUUCGUUAUUUAUAAAAGCUAGAGCUUGGUAGAAGGAUCAUCGCAUUUCAGGAGAACGAGGUAGAGCGGAUAAAAGGAAAAUGCUUCUUCCAAAGACAUUCCUCCUACUCUAUCUGCUUCUCCUUUCCACUUCAUUCAUUCCAAAUGGGACCNNNNNNNNNNNNNNNNNNNNNNNNNNNNNNNNNNNNNNNNNNNNNNNNNNNNNNNNNNNNNNNNNNNNNNNNNNNNNNNNNNNNNNNNNNNNNNNNNNNNNNNNNNNNNNNGCUACUGCACCAAGACAUGGGCCAUAUGUAUAAAAAAAUAAGCAUUUAGCUAGGGUAAGUUGAAUGAUUUUUUUAUAAAAAACCGUUAAAACAUCAUUUAUAUUUGCUUUAUAUGCCAUGCUAUCAAAUCUAUCUCAUGAUCAGAAUCCAUCUCAUUUCUUAGCUCAACUGGUUGGCAUCCAUCUCGAUCUCGAAGAGAUCCAAGGCUCGAACCUAGGCGGUGGUGCUGCCAUCAUAUUUUUCUUCAAAAAAUAAAAGAAAACGGGAACAAAAUCAGCUAAGCUUAGGUUUUAGUGUGCUUCCCCCGUAAGAAAUCAUAAAAAUCUUUUCCGCUGAAAGAAAACAUUCCAAACAUAAUUAUAUCUUGCUUGUUGGUUAAAUCUGAAUACGGAUAUAACUUGCUAUUGGUGCAUGGGUGCAGGAACUGGUGGCCAGACGCCUGUGGAUGCCUACAUCCCAUAUCCUGUGAUCCGGCCGGCACCACGUCCCCGUCGCAGCUGCAACAAGAACUAUUACCAUUGUCCACCUCCGGUCCCAUAGCUGCAGAGAAAAAUCGUAGGUGUACUACUAGUAAUGGCUGCAGCGGGUGCUACAUGCUCGCAUAUAGUGCCUUGAAAUGGGCAUAUGAACUAAAUAAGCAGUCGUAUCAUGAUGCCAUGUUCGGUUUGUUGAACGUGUACUGUGUACCUAAUGGUAGUUGGGAAUUUUAAAGCUGCCGCGUUGUUUCUGUUGCUGUUAUAUUGAAUUACGGGCUCUCUCUUAUCUACUUCUUUUUCACUAUUUUUUGCAAUGCUCGUUGCUCUGAUGGGACUUUUGACAUCCUCUACUCCUUGCAUUAAUUAUUAAAUGGCCGCUUGCCCGAGUUGUUUCCACACCGGAUCCCUUUUAAAAAUUAAAGCCUUCGUUGUGUCGCUGAGCCGGUGGACUUGUCAAACUACAGACCAACACGAACAAAGAUGCAUGCAUCGCAUUCUCUUGGACCAACACAUACAAAAGAUGCAUGCACCACAACCAAUAAUCACUUCUGGCAGAGAACUUUGGUGGCUGCGUAGGAACUUUGGUACGUAGCUGCGCUUUCUACGAUGAUGCACCCUGAAAUAGUUGACCACGUCCUCCUAUCUUGUUCUUCUGUCUCUCGGUUUUGGUCAUUCCUCAGUGAUGUCAAGGAUUCUCCAGUUCCUCCACAUAACUAGCUGCAUCUCGCGCACCGAGAAUUUUCCUCCGUUCUUGCAAUCAGCUAUUCUGAUGCUUUUAGUGCCAUUUGAUUGGAGCUGUUGUUGGACUCAGAUGAAAUCUCGCAUCGUCCUUCACUAGAGCUCUCCCCUUUGGGUCCGGAUAAAUAACUCUACAGCUUCUCUAGGCUGGCUGCAAAGCUUCAGGAGAAUCACUCGCAGGUUCUGUCGUGCCCUAAACCCGUCAUCCAGGUAGAGAGUAAGGUCCUAGAGAAUAUGCUAGGCCUGAAAUUUUAUUACAACCUCAAAAAUUCAUAAACAAAAAUCAUCUCAUUUUAUAAUAAGAAAAAACCUGUAAAGGAUGCAUGGCCCAGGCUUUAAUACAAAGCUUGGUGUGGUGGAUUAUAGGAUGCAUGCCCAGGCUCUGACGCUGGCGGUGCUCUCGGGUGCAGCGCUGCUACACUACUACGACGCCAAGCAUGCCAUCGAUGACGACGAAAAACUUCAGUCCUUAAAUUGUAGCGAGUCCAUAUCCAGCCUCCACCUUGGCUUUCAUUGCAGAUCUGCAUUCGAAAUGAACGACCUCUUCGUCUCUACUGCCUCCUUCAAGUAGCACACCGACCUGAAGCAGCUGGUCCACCUGGACGAGAUGGAAGUCCGGCAUGACGGGCGGAAUGGGGGAGGCCGGCAAGGAGAGCGUCAACCUGCACAAGUUCUUCGAGGACGUCGAGACCGUGAAGGACGACCUCCGUGGCCUCGAGAAGCUGUACCGCCGCCUCCAGGGGGCCAACGAGGCUCUAGAGCAAGAAGAAGACGACGAAAGAACUCCGGGCGCGCAUGGAUGCCGACAUCAAUCGAGCAGGUCCUCCGCCGCGCCGAGGCCGUGAAGGGAACCUCCUCCGCCGCCCUCAAAUCUGGAGGUCACACUAAUAAUACCACAUUGUCGCAGGUUACAGUUUUUCAAUUGUAUAUCAAGUUGGAAGCAUUAAGCAUGACGACCGUCAGGAGUUUAUCAGAUUAUGUGGUCGCCAUAGGAUUGCACAUACAAUGAGAUAUGUUGGACCACAUUAAUAGUUUGAUAGCAUCAAUGUGAAUUUAGAUCAUCUUCCAAUAAGAAAGACAAAUAAAAACUCUUCUUGCCCUGGAAGCAAUUUAAUCAUCUUAUUAUGUGUAAUGCAGGGUCAUUUUUCAAGAGACGGAUGCUAGAGGCUGUUAGUCAAAAUUUUCGGCACUAUCAGAUUUGAAUUUUAUUUCUGUUCCCCAAGGUGGUUAUUCAAAAUUUUUGGAACUGCCCAAUCUCAAUUUUAUUUCUGCUCCCCACACCCCUUCUCCUUUUUAAAAUUUUCGUGGACUCUAUAUUCUUUUAUCUAUAGGUGAAACAGGCAAUCUCGCGGAAGUUGACAAUUUACUGGAGCUUAUUGAGAAGUAUACUCUUAUUAUCGGCAGACCAUACCAGGUAUAUAAAAGACAAUUCAGUAAUGCAACGAUGUAUGGGACGCAUGAAAACUCUUCUCCGCUCUCCUGCCUUUUCACCCUCUUGAAAGUUAUAAGUCUGAAAAUAGAACAUGAAAGGUUUUUAGAAAUAGUAUUAAAUUAUUAUUUUUUAGGAAUGUGUGAUAUAACUGAGUACAUGCCUGCUGCAUGCAGGAGCAUUGAAGCUGCAUUUGCUGCAAAAUCAUACAGAGGUAAGCCAUUAGAACACGCUAUUGUUAAUUCUUUUUGUUAAAAUCAUAUGAUUGAUUAGGUUCAUUGAUUAAUUGAUUAUGCCAAACUUAAUCGGGGCCCUACCAAAUUUUGUCAGUUUUUAGUCUAUAUAAAGGUUGCUCAUGUAUAUUGUAAAGACAAGGUAGAAAUACAAUUUCCUUGUCACUUUUUCUUCUUUCAACAUAGUAUCAGAGCUACCGAUCAUGUAACCUGCUGCCGUCCUCUCUUCCGCUUUCUUAUGGUCGUCGUCAUCGCUCAUAGAUCCUCUGUAUCUUCUGCGGGGGUAGCCGGAGCUCCGGCCUCGGCAGCUUUCAAAACUUUCUUCUUUUUUUUUCGUUGAAAUCCUGAUGACAUUAUAGACUUUUUUUUCUUUCUUUCUUUUUUUUUAAAAUUAUUUUUUGUUUGUCUUUCGUUCAAAAAAGAAAAAAUGCCGCUGACGGUGUGCUUCACGUGAAGGGGGGAGGCUUGCUUCACGUGGGGAGGCAUCAGAGGGUUGUGCGUGUUCUCUCAUCAUGAGUUAUACCAGCAGAUUGAGUUGUUGGGUCAGAAUUUGUUUGGAAGUAUUUGGGGCUGCGAGCCCUUGACUUCUAUCAUGCAGUGCGUCACCUAGUGUUACCUUGAUUUCACAUAGAUGAGGGAGUUAAUCUCUCUGAGCAACCACUUCCGGUGCUCAUGUUCCUCCAUGCCGGUAAAAUCUAAACUCCAGCAACGGCGCGUCAAACCGUACUGUCAGAGCUUGGCGGAUAAAUUUAGCAGACGCGAUCUCGUUCCAAAUUCCAACAGUGGCAUGUCAAACCGUACCGUCAAAAGCUUGGCGGAUAAUUUUGGCAGGCACGAUAUCAUUCCAAAUUCCAGCGGCGGUGCGUCAAACCGUACUGUCAGAAAUUGGACGGAUAAAUUUGGCAGGUAUGAUCUCGCUCUCGAUCAUGGAGGCAUACAUUUACAUGGCAUCGCCCCGGUUCUCAAUCUCCGGCUUUAUUUGCUGCCUCCGGCUCCUUCAUCAUCUAAUUCGAGGUCCCAUGCUCUUCUUCUAUGGUGCUUUCGUCUACGAGCAUUGUUAAACUUCAGUUGCCUUCCCUCUGAGAUUUAUCCUCGCUGCGGACGUUUUCACCAAAGCUUAUCCUUAUGGCAUCUUUCGAUCUUUUGCUUCCAAACUCAAGUUAGUGUCCACUUUACCACCUUGAGUUUGAGGGGGGCUGUUAAAAUCAUAUGAUUAAUUAGGUCCAUUGAUUGAUUAUGCCAAACUUAGUCGGCCUUAUCAAAUUUCGUUAUUUUUCUAGUCUAUAUAAAGGUUGCUCAUGUACAUUAUAAAGACAAGGCAGAAAUACAAUUCUCUUCUCCCUUUCUCUUCUUUCAACACUUUUAAUCAAUAUCAAAAUGAGAGAGAAAAUACCCAUUAUUCCAACGGUUAGAAGUAAGCUAGCUGCCUCCCAUUUUUUAUGAGCCUACGAAGAGAGAUGAUUCAGCUGAUGUUGCCCGAGAUUGGUUUAGACUAUUUAUAAUGGUCACAGCUCGAGUGAGCAACUUCUUUUUCAGUACAGUGGACAGGUAAAAUGGGAGUACUUGGCUGUGUUUUCUUGACACGGGCAGCCAGCAAAAGAAUAUUGCUUCAUGCUGUGGAUGUGAGCCGCCCUUCUAAAUUGUCAGGCAAUUCUUGCUAUUUUCCUUUCUCAUGUUCUGCAACUGCCACCACCUUCCUUUCUUAUGUUUUGUAAUUGCCACCACUUUAAUUCUAUCUAAAAUAAAAAACCUAGUCUUUCUAUAAAUAACCUAGUUUUUCUAUAAGCAAGGAAUGCUCCUAUGCAUGCAUCUUAUAAACGUCUUCGCGGUAUCUGCUCCUGUCAGAGGCAAUAUUUGAUAUGUUUCCAAGUACUGAAAUCUAGAUAAUUAUAGGGCUUGUUUGGUUCGCAGGAAAAGAAGAGAAAAAAGUAUGCUCAAUGGAAAAGUAAAGAGAUGCCUCUUAUUUGGUUGGAGUUUUCAAAGGAGAGAGACGAGAAAGUUGUAUUCCCAUGGAAAUAUAAUUCCCACGUUUCAUGAAAAAGUCUUUCCCAUGAGAAACAUGAGAAAGUUAUUUUUCGUGAUCCAGAAAUCAAAAUAUUUUUUUCCAAAAAAGUCCCUUCAGCAUCAAAUCAAGGAUCCUUAUUUGAUCCAAAGCAUGAAACUAAUUUUUAUUAAGAGUAUAAUAGGAAUUACAUAUAACUUUUCCAGAAAAGUGGAUGGUUAACUAAACAUAAAUACUCUGAAAAUCUGUCACUUUUCCAUGGUCAACCAAACAUGCAUGCCAAAAAUACUUUUUCAGGCAUCCUCUUUUCAGAAAUUGAGUUUUUAGGAAUCAUAUUUCUAUGAAAAAAAUACUCUCCGCGAACCAAACGAGCCCAUAGGGUGAAUGUGUGGUCUUCUCUCUCUCAAAAAAAAAGAUUAAAUCUUGAAAAGCUAUAAGAAGCGGAUUCUCUAGCAAAACCAAUUAUCGAUAGUUCUCUACUACUACUUCGUAGCUUCUAAAUUAUCAGGAAUUUCUUGCUAUUUUUCUCUCUCAAGUUUUGCAGCUGCCGGCACCUUUCUUUCUUAUGUUUUGUAACUGUUUUAGACGGAAUUAAUAACAUAUCAAUAUAUUAUGUUAUUAUGAUAUAAUGUAAUACAAUAUUAUAUUUAUAGUAUAAUACAAUAAUAAAGAUAUAAAAUAUUAUAAUUAUUAGCGUAAAUUAAUUUUUUAUAAUAUAACAAAUUUUUUAUCUAGAUGAUAAAAUUGGCUAAACAAUUAUUAAAGGGAUAUUUUGUGUAAUUGUUAUAUUUUAUCACAGAUAUUUUGGUCAAAAAAUAACUUUUCGAUUGAGCCUAAAAGUGUUUUUCUGAAAAGCUCUAAAAUGGAGCUUCUCCUAAAAAGUUGUUUUUAGUUUUUUGAAAAACCUAAAACAGUUUUUAGAAAUUUUUAUCAAAUAUCAUUAUUUUAUCUAAAAAUGCUUUUGGAAGGCCAGAAGCUCUUCCAAAUGGGGCCUAAGUGAUUUUCUCCAAGCCAAAAGGAUCCACAAAAGAGGUAAAUGAUGAAAGAAGGGCCGAUGGUGGCGGAAUGUAGAAGUCAGUAAAUGCUAGAUGGCAGGACAUAGAAGUCAGUCAACACUAAAUGACAGUCAGAAAAUUCUAGGAAUAAUGGACAAAAUUGUGAGUGGGUAGGAUAAUAAAGAAAUCAUGACCAUUGGAAAAUGUGAGGCUCCAGUUCUGCCCCAACUCUCGUUCGUUAUAAAAGCCAGAGCUUGGUAGAAGGAUCAUCGCAUUUCAGGAGAACGAGGUAAUAGAGCGGAUAAAAGGAAAAUGCUUCUUCCAAAGACAUUCCUCCUACUCUAUCUGCUUCUCCUUUCCACUUCAUUCAUUCCAAAUGGGACAACAGCUAGGGAGCUUGUUAAACCAAGUGAGCCUGAUUUAUUUUUUCUCCCAAGAAGUAAAUUUAAUCUAUCAUGUUCUUUCUUACUCUUUUGUACUUGACCUCCCUACUGCACCAAGACAUGGGCCAUUUAGUUGAAUGUUUUUUUUUUUUCUUAAAAGGCCGCUAAAACAUCAUUUAUAUUUGCUUUAUAUGCCAUGCUAUCGAAUCUAUCUCAUGAUCAGAAUCCAUCUCAUUUCUUAGCUCAACUGGUUGGCAUCCAUCUCGAUCUUGAAGAGAUCCAAGGCUCAAACCUAAAGGGUGGUGCUGCCAUCAUAUUUUUCUUAAAAAAACAAAGAAAAGGAAAACAGUGGGCUUAAGUAUAUUCAGUGUCAGCUACAUAUAUAUCCUACCCCCUAGAUGUUCUCACCCUUGCCAGAAUCAGCAAAGCUUAGGACCUUAGGUUUUAGUGUGUUUCCCCCCGUAAGAAAUCAUAAAAAUCUUUUCCGUUGCUAGAAAACAUUCCAAACAUAAUUAUAUCUUGCUUGUUGGUUAAAUCUGAAUACGGAUAUAACUUGCUAUUGGUGCAUGGGUGCAGGAACUGGUGGCCAGACGCCUGUGGACGCCGCGCGCCAGGUUGCAUAUCGUGCCCUGUCACCAGGGCCUGUCCUGCCAUCAAGGCGUGGCCAGCCAUAUACUCGCGGGUGCAAGAGGAUCUAUUGUCGUGGUGGACCCCCGGUCCCAUAGCUGCAGAGUAAAAUCGUAGGUGGACUACUAGUAAUGGCUGCAGCGGGUGCUACAUCCUCGCAUAUACUGCCUUGAAAUGGGCGUAUGAACUAAAUAAGCGGCCGUAUCAUGAUGCCAUUUUCGCUUUGUUGUACGCGUACUGUGUACCUAAU